rnacentral:lncRNA from 1 species
UUACUCCUAUGUCUGUAUGAUAUGCAGAGGCUGUUUUUGUACAAACUAAACCAAUAGUCGCUUCAGUUUUGGAUGGCUACAAUGUCUGCAUAUUCGCCUAUGGACAAACUGGAACUGGAAAGACAUUUACUAUGGAGGGCAGCCAAGAAAAUAGGGGAGUGAACUACAGAACAUUGGAUGAGUUGUUCUCAAGAGAGAAGUGGCAUUAUGAGAUAUGGUCUUUUUGUUAGUAUGAUGGAGUUUACAAUGAGAAGAUAAGGGACCUCUUGAUUGAUAGUUCCAAUCAACCACCUAAAAAGUUAGUUUCCUCUUUUAUUGCUACUGUAUUGAUCUGAUAAUCAAAAUAUAGUCAUUAUGUCAAAUUUUUUGGUUGCAAAAAUUUUAUAUUAACAAUUUUCUGUAGCACUGAUUUAUAUCAUUUUGCUACUUGAUGAGGGAAAUUAACUAUUGGUUAGUACAAACAUCAUGCGUGUGGCUAUUUGACAAGAAAAGUGGAUCGUGGAAGUUCUGUAUUAGCCCAAUUUUUUCGAUAGCAAAUGAUAAUAAAUACCUUGCUCCUCUCUAGUGUAGAUAAGCAUGACAUCUAAUUGGAAUUAGGGUUUAAAAGAUUAUGUAGAAGACUCCUAUUUGGAAGCCCACUGGUAUGAAAGGUUUAAAGUCUAACGAUAAGAAAUUGAGUUACAUGAAUGAAGUUUGAUGAAAUUUUAGUUUUCUUACAUGCAUGAAGGUUGGAGAUAAAACAAACAGCUGAAGGAACACAAGAAGUCCCAGGACUUGUUGAAACUCGGGUGACUGGCACAGAGGAUGUGUGGGAUUUACUCAAGUCUGGAAGUCGGGCCAGGUCUCUUGGAUCAACCAGCGCUAAUGAGCUUAGCAGCCGUUCUCAUGGGUAAAAAUGAACUCUGCUUUCUUUUCUUGGUUUAUUCUUUCUAAGAAUAUACUUUAUGUUAUAUCACAUAUAAUAGCAAGUAAAUAGUUUUUUGGAUCUGUGAAUCCAAACUAUUCAAGAAAUAUACUGAUUAAUUGAAGUGGUAGUACUAAUGACCACAACAUUGUUGUUCUGUAGUUUGUUGCGAGUAACAGUGAAAGGAGUGAAUUUAAUAGAUGGACAAAAGACAAGAAGUCACCUAUGGAUGGUGGAUUUGGCUGGUAGUGAACGUGUGGGAAAGAUUGAUGUUGAAGGUGAAAGAUUGAAGGAAUCGCAAUUCAUUAAAUCUCUUUCAGCAUCUAAAACUGUAUAAAUAAGUCCCUAGACUUAUUAGUUCUUUGAAUUUUAGUCAAAUUGAUUUCCAAACCUUAUUACUCUUUCAUAUUAACACCUGAUUAAGCCCAUUCAAAGUACAAUUAGGUCCUUGGCUUCUUUAUUUUUUGCCAUUUUGCCCCCAUCUUCAGCUUUCUUCUUAAUUAAGCCUUCAUCUAUCAAAAUUGGACUGCCAAACUUUGCAGCAUUGUCCAUGUUGGUUCUCAAACCUCUAAUUUGUUCGGUCUUGACCACAUUUACAAUUCGCUUUCUAAAUUUCUUCAACAAGACCUGAAAUUGUCCAUCCACCUUAUCAGCUAUGAAUUAAAUAUUUGUCCGAACAUGAUUCAAAGCUUUAUUUAUUUAUUUAUUUAUUAUUAUUAUUAUUAUUUUAAACUUAGAAUAUUUGGAUUGUGACACAUACAUGCAAACUGUAAUCCUGUCAUCCUCUAUGGAAUGUGAUCUAGCAAUAACGUGACUAAAAUCCAAAAUUUAUCGUAAAUGGAGUAUGAUCAAAACUUUUAGUAGUUAUUGCAAGUUUUGCUAAAAAAUGUUUGAUGGUUUUGUUUUUAUAAUGUGUUCUUCUCUCUUUCUCUCUUUAAACAGUUAGGUGGCAGUUAACUAGGAAUUGGACUCGUUCUUGCUGCUUAGGAAAAUGGAAAAGGUGAAAGAAAAGAAAUAAGAACUGAUUUUGAAUGAUCAAGUUCUCAAUGGGAUCAUUGUUCCACAAGAACAAUAUGCUCUCUCUGCUACCUGCAAUGCAUCAGUUCCAUAUACUGAUUUUAACAAAGGAAUGAGCAAAGAAUAGAAGCCAUCGUCCCAACAAGUUUUUCAGUGAAAAACUAAAACACCAUUCACUUGUAUGGAAGAUGUUUCCACAAUAAAUUUUGUGAUUCAAUCCACAACAGCUUCGAACAGACUGGUGGCAAGUUCAUCUUAACGCCUGGGAUUUUUUUUUCAAAAGAUCAGGCCAUGGUUUUAUUUCAACAUUUCACGUCUAGUAUGAAGAACUAAACAUGACAUAUUACCUGUUGAUAUAAUUAACAACAAUGCAGCAGCAAAUUGAAACAGAAUGUCAUUGUUAGAGAAUAAUAUAAAUCAUAUCCUGGGAUCUCACCUAAUAGUUUAAGCUAUUGGGUUGAGAUGAUUAUUUGACAUGGUAUCAGAGCCUUGAUGACCAAGAGGUCACGAGUUCAAAUCUCACCAUCCCUAUUUAUUUGAUAAAAAUUAAGUACAAGGUAAAAUGGAUCUGUGCAAGUUUCAAGCCCAAAUAACUUUCACUUGAGGGGGUGUGUUAGAGAAUAAUAUAAAUCAUAUUCUGGGACCUCACCUAAUAGUUUAAGCUAUUGGGUUGAGAUGGUUAUUUGACAAUCAUCAUACAUGAAAAUGCAGGUUGCCAUACUCAGAUUUAGAACCAACCGAAUGAUUACCAUCAAGAACAUUUGGCCAUUCAGGAUCUUUCUUUCAAGCAGAAAAGAAAAUCACCAGGAAAUUACACGACCUUUUCGAUGCUUUAACUCAUCUUGGCCAGUGGGACAUCCUACUUUUUGACUAAUUUAUACACCCAACGUACGUUUAACACAAGAUCUACUCUACAUCAAUAAUUCAUAAGAAAUUGGCAUUCCACUCUCUCAUCAAUUAUUUAAGAUAUGACAGAGGAGAUAAGAAAACGAUUGCUAUUAUCGACAGUCUUCCUCUCCAGUCUCUGUCCCAACUAAAAAUAGUUUAAGCAAAAGUCAUGUUAAAUGAACAAUUCUGUUUUUUACCUUUUAUUUGGUCCUCAAACUAUAUUUUUUCGUGAGUCAACCCAUCCGACUAUUCUAUAAAAUUAACAAUUUUCGCAUCCCAAACUAAUUGAUCAGAUAUGUUGGGCGAAGCAUAUUAUAAUGGAUUGUGUAUGGUACAAUUCAUAGUAAAUAACUAAUGUCUAUCUUAAAAUUACAAAUAAAAUUAAAAUGCAUAAUAUUUUAUUAUGAUUAUUUUAUUGUGGAUUGUGCACACUAUAAUUUACAAUUUAUAGUAGACUGAUGUCUCCCUUAAAAAACAAAAUAAUUAAAUAAAUACUUAGGGUUAAUUUUGUAUUUUCAUAUCUUUAUUACACAAUAUAAUUACUCCUAUGGUCCUUGAAAAAAGAAUAGCAUAGGUAAUGUUUGGCGCUUGCUCUGCACAAGUUCUAUUUUAAUCUUAUCUUUUAAUAUUGAACUGAUUGAAGAUUAAAAUUUAUAAUUUGUUUUCAUUUGUUUUCCAUGCGGUUAUCUUGAUUUUAUAAUCCAGGUCGCGAGUAUUGACAAGUUAACUCAGGUAGUGUUUUUAGAUCUUUUUUAAUUGAUUUUUUUUUCAAUUCACUACAACAUUUAGUAGUUUUAACAACAAAAUUUUUCUGUCAGAGUAAGAUUACUACUCUGUCAGUGGAAAUUUCACCAACUAAUUUAUUAAUGGAAUGUUUCUGUUGGUAUACCGUUCGUCGGUAAUUCCACUAUUUGUCGCUAAUUCUAUCAAGAAAAAAAAUUAAAAAACAAUGAUUUUACAAACAUUUAGGAUCUUUCAUUCAAGCAGAAAAAGAACACAAUUCUAUUUUGGAUUUAAUAAAAAAGUAAAAUUUAAUCCUAAUGAUCCAAUUAAAAUCCAUGACUCAAACCUUGAUUAAGGUGGAAACCCAUGUCGGCACUAAAAACUAUGCAUCAUAUGUUAGGAGAAAAGUAGUAAAUUCUUCAGUGGAAACUUUAAUCAUGGUCUAGCAAGGGUUGUCUGGAAAAAGAUUCCGGAAGACCACCAGUAUCCACAAGGAAAUCACAAGGAAAUCACUGCUUGGCUGUGUUCAAAAAAGCAAAAAGGCACACAGCAAGUCAAGCAUCCGCGUACACGACGCUUUAACUCCUUUUGGCCGGUGGGACAUACUACUUUUUGACUAAUUUAUACACCCAGCUAGCGUUUAACACAAGAUAGAGCUCUACAUCAAUAAUAUGAUUGAUAUGAAACCGACCUCAACUUUUCCUCACCGACUAACAAAUUGUUUGGAAAUAUGGUGUAAAUUAUAUUUUUAAAAAAUUUAAUUUUUUUUGUUAAAAUUUAAUACAGUUUGUAUGUUUUAAAUUGUUUUGAUGUGCUGAUGUCAAAAAUAAUUUUUAAAAAAUAAAAAAAAUCAUUAGCAUAUAUUUUGGCAUGAAAAGUUAUUUGACAAGCAAUUGCUACCACACUGUCAAACAUGUCAAACAUACAAGUAAAGAAAAAGAAAAAUCGUUUUGAAUUGAGGUUGAAAUAAUUUUUUUUUGUUUUGUUAAAAUUUAGAUUUUUUUAGUGUUUUUACAUUGUAUUUUAAAGUAUUUAAUUUUUUUUUAAUUUUAAAUUAAUUUAUUUUAAUAAUUUUAUAUUGUUUUGAUAUGAUGAUGUAAAAAAUAAAUUAUAAAAAUUAUAAAAAUAUUAAUUUAAUAUAUUUUCAAAUAAAAAAUAUUUUAAAACACUGUAACAUUAAUAAACCGGCUGCCGGCUGUAAGGGCUUCAAUGUUUUAUACAAUUUGUGGGGUUUGGUUGGAGAUAAUAAUUAAUAAAAUCUAAUGCACACCUGGAUAAUCUCUAUUAAUUCAACUUUUUAAAAUAAUUAAUUACAAAAAAAUGUUGAGUCUUUGUCUGGUGAGUACUCUAUUAAAUUAUUAAUUUUCAUUCCCAACUUAUAAUUGGUUAAUUAGAUAAUAUAUAUUUGCUCAGCGUAUGGUAGUAAACAAUAUAUAGUAGUUUGAUGUUAUACACAUUCCUUCCAGGAAACUGACCUCAACGUCUCUUCCAUGGCACAUUAAGGAAACAAGAGAAAGAAGACGAUAUAUCCUCGUUGAGGCACACAGAGGGUUAAAGAUCAACAAGCUGCCCUUGAUUAAUAACUGGUACAACUUUCUUCCUAUUCGUCCAUUAAUUUCUCUCUGUUUUGGGUUAGAUUCCACUUGUUUGGCCAUUGCUGUAGCAUCAUUCAUGUUGUCUAUGUUAUUGAGUUUUCCCUUUUAGCUCAAAAUGACUCUGUAAUUAAUUAAGAUCUCAGCUAAUUUCCCACUGGCUCCUCUCUUUAUAACUCUCAUUGCUCUUCUUUGCUGGGCUCAUAUUUUUCUUCUUAAAUAUUCCUGCUCUGUUCUUUCUAUCUCAUUAUCUUCUGACAGUUAUUAUUCACUUCUAUCUCCUUCUUUCUGAUUUUCCACAUGUUUUGGGCUAGAACCUCUGAGCUAUAGACCACUAUAUUUGUCUGAUCAUUCUAAUACACUCUUGUUUGAUCAUAUUUAGCCUUUAUUUAUGAGAUAUAAAAUAAUCUCCCAAAGAAUAAAAAUAUGCCUUCUAUCUCCUUCUCUCUUUAUUUAUCAGUUGUAAGAUCUCAACUAGUCUUUGACUAAUAGUGAAUCUGAAAGAAUAAAAAUAUGGAUUGUCAAUCAAUUUUUGCCGUCUGCCUUCUGAUCUCACUUCUCCAUCUGAAUUUUCCAGUUGGUGUUAAAUAAUAUGGUUUUGGUUUUAACGAAUAUUCAUCGACAUGGCUCUUAUUGCUUGUUUGAUCAUAUUUAGCCUUUAUAUUACUCAUCAUUAUAAUUAUAUCGUUUGUUUUCUUAUUGCUUGUUACAGGGAAUAAUUAUAACAAGUAGAAAGCUUACGUCUACAUAUAUCAAUCAUAUACAACUAUGGCUUCCUCUUCUUCUCCCACUACUCCAUAUUUGAAGCACGAUGUGUUUCUCAGUUUUAGAGGCGCAGACACCCGCAAAGGUUUCACCAGUCAUCUUUAUGAUGCUUUAAAGCGAAGCCAAAUUGAUGCUUACAUCGAUAAUAAACUUGAUGGAGGAGAAAAGAUCGAGCCUGCCCUCUUGAAAAGGAUUGAAGAGUCGUUUAUUUCGCUAGUCAUUUUCUCUGAAAAUUAUGCAGAUUCUACUUUCUGUUUGAGGGAACUCUCCAAGAUUCUUGAGUGCAUGGAGACCAAACAACAGAUGGUGUUACCAGUUUUUUACCGACUUGAUCCAAGCCAUGUUCAAAAUCUGACUGGGAGCUAUGGAGAUGCACUUUGCAAGCAUGAAAGAGAUUGCAGUUCUGAAGAAGUAGAGAGUUGGGGACAUGCUUUGAAAGAAAUAGCUAGUGUCAAGGGCUGGGAUUCAAACGUCAUUAAGUAAGUUAUUACUUUAGUUGCAGCAUAUUAAACCCCAACUUAUGUAAACAAUUUUGUUCGAGAAUCAAUGUUGUGUUUGAUGUUAUGAUAAAAUUUCUUAGGUUAUGACAGCAUGUCUUUGUUCUUUAUUUGUUAUGCACUGCAGGGAUGAGACCAAGCUAAUUCAGGAAAUCGUUUCCGACAUUCGAAAGAAAUUGAGCCAUGAGCUGUCACUCUCACUCGAUGCAGAAGGCCUUGUUGGAAUAAAAUCACGCGUUGAAGACGUCGAAUCAUUACUAUCCUUUGGAUCAACUGGUGUGCUCAUUGUGGGAAUCUGGGGGAUGGGUGGUAUAGGUAAGUCAAGGACGGCUGAUUUUGUGUAUCAUCGAAACCGUAGUAAAUUUGAUGGCCAUUGCUUUUUCCAAAAUGUGAGGGAAGAAUCAAAGAAGCAUGGAGUGAAUCAUGUAAGACAGGAAAUUCUUGGUGAAGUAUUAGAGAAAAAAGAUAUGACUAUACGCCCAAUAGGGUUACCCCCGGACAUUAAGCGAAUGCUUCAAAGAAAAAAAGUCCUCAUAGUUCUUGAUGAUGUCAAUGAUCCACAAGAUUUAAAAUAUUUACUAGGAGAGGAUGGUUUGUUUGGCCAAGGAAGUAGAAUCAUUGUGACAAGUAGAGAUAGGCAAGUGCUUAUAAAUGCAUGUGAUGAAGACAAAAUUUACGAGGUUAAAAUUUUAGAUGAAGACGAUGCACUUCGACUCUUCAGCUUACAUGCUUUUAAACAAGAUCGUCCCAUGGAAGGAUAUACUGGGCUAUCAAAAACUGUGGUAAGCUGUGUUAAGGGCAUUCCAUUAGUUCUCAAGGUUUUAGGUGCCAAUCUAUACAAUAAAAGGAGUGUUGAAUACUGGGAAAGUAAGGUGGCACAGCUAAGAACAAAUGGUAGCGAGGACAUUAAGAAACAUUUGGAAAUGUGUUAUCAUGAAUUAAAUCAGACAGAAAAGAAAAUAUUUCUUGAUAUAGCAUGUUUCUUUGGACUGUGCGAAAGGGAUAUCCUCCAACAAACACUAGAUCUGAAAGAAAAAAGUGGGAUCGAUCGUCUCGCUGAUAUGUGUCUCAUAAAAAUUGUUCAAGACAAGAUCUGGAUGCAUGAUGUACUACUACUUCUAGGGCGAGAAAUCGUCCUCCGAGAAAAUGAUGACCCUAGAGAACGUAGCAGGUUGUGGGAGGCUGAUGAUAUCUAUCGUGUAUUAACAACUCAGGUAACGUUUCCAAGUGAUUUAAUUGACUGUUUCUUGACUUUCUUGUUUAUAGCUAAGAGAUGUAGCCUUGGACAAGAAUAAAUAUCAAGGCCAGCUUCUUCUUCUUCUUCUUCUUCUUCUUUAUUUGUUAUAUAUAUACUGAUUUACAGUUUGCUUUAAUUUGUUAAAUAGGGGACUAGAUCAAAAGUGGAAAGCAUAUCCCUCAUCUUGGAUGCAAAAGAUCAAUUGAGAUUAAGUCCUACAGCAUUUGAAGGGAUGUAUAAUUUAAGACUGCUCAAAAUCUACUACCCACCGUUCUUAGAGGAUCGUUCAAAGAAGCAAAUUAUGAAUGGAAAGAGGGUCGGAAUCCACCUUCCAGGAGGGCUUCACUUUCUUUCAAGUGAGCUAAGGUUUCUCUACUGGUAUAAUUACCCUUUGAAAUCCUUGCCAUCAAAUUUUUUCCCUGAGAAACCUUUUCAACUUGAAAUGCCCUGUAGCCAGCUUGAACAACUUUGGAAUGAAGGCCAGGUAUAUAUGCUUUAUCACCCUUCUUUUUCAAAUAUAGGACAUUUUUGAAAUUAUUCAUAACAUUUAUCUUGUCUUACAUUACUUUUUUUUUUAUUUACAGCCACUUGAGAAUUUAGAAUUAACGAACCCCCCUUCCUCAAAGCUGAGCUCAAUUGAUUCAGACCUGUCUAAAGUCCCACACCUUGAGGUUCUACAUCCAGGUAUACCUUCCUCGAUUAAAUACAGCACCAGACUUACCACAUUAGAGCUUCCCAGAUUCGAGAGUUUCUGUACUUUGCCAUCAUCAAUUCUAAGAUUAAACUUAUCUUUUUGUGAAAGUCUUGCUAGUCUACCAGACAACAUUGAUGAGUUGAAAUCUCUUGUAGAGCUUGAUCUUUAUUCUUGCUCAAAACUAGUAAGGCUUCCAAAUAGCAUUUGCAAGUUGAAAUGUCUUGCUAAGCUUAAUCUUGGUGGUCAGCCAAAACUAGCAAAUUUACCAGACAACAUUGGGGAAUUGAGAUCUCUUGCAGAGCUUAAUGUUUAUUCUUGCUCAAAACUAGCAAGUCUACCAGACAGCAUUGGUGAGUUGAGAUCUCUUGGAGCGCUUAAUGUUUUUUCUUGCUUAGGACUAGCAAGUCUACCGGACAGCAUUGGCGAGUUGAGAUCUCUUCAUUGUCUUUAUAUUACUUAUUGCUCAGGACUAUCAAGUCUACCAGACACCAUUGACGGGUUGAAAUCUCUCAAAGUGCUUGAUCUUAGUGAUUCCCCAGGACUAGCAAGUCUACCAGACAGUAUUGGUGCGUUGAAAUCACUUGAAUGCCUUGAUCUUCCUUGUUGCUCAGGACUAGUAAGUCUACCAGAUAGUAUUGGUGCGUUGAAAUCACUUCAACGCCUUGAUCUUAUUUGUUGCUCAGGACUAGCAAGUCUACCAGACAGUAUUGGUGCGAUGAAAUCUCUUAAACAACUUGAUCUUAGUGGUUGCUCAGGGCUAGCAAGUCUACCAGACAGUAUUGGUGCGAUGAAAUCUCUUAAACGGCUUGAUCUUAGUGGUUGCUCAGGACUAGCAAGUCUACCAGACAGCAUUUGCGUGUUGAAAUCUCUUAAAUUGCUUGAUCUUAGUGGUUGCUCAGGACUAGCAAGUCUACCGGACAGAAUUGGCGAGUUGAAAUAUCUUGAAUCGCUUGAACUUUGUGGUUGCUCAGGACUAGCAAGUCUACCAGACAGCAUUUACGAGUUGAAAUGUCUUGAAUGGCUUGAUCUUAGUGAUUGCUCGGACUAAAAAGUCUACCGGAAAACAUUGACGAGUUGAAACAUCUUACUAUGCUCUUUCUCAGUGGUUGCUUAAAACUAGCAAGUCUUCCAGACAACUUCAUUGAUCUUGAAUUAGAGGACUUGACAAAAAGCGUUGUUAUAUGCUGAGAGGAUUCCAGAAAGUAGAAGAAAUUGCAUCAUCCACCUAUAAAUUGGGCUGCCAUGAAUUUUUAAAUUUGGGAAAUUCUCGUGUGUUAAAAGCUCUAGAGAGCUUAGGCUCUUUGGUGUCGCUAACACGAUUGAGAUUAUCUAAGAUUGAUUUUGAGAGGAUACCUGCAAGCAUCAAGCACCUUACUAAGCUACGUGAACUCUAUUUAGAUGACUGCAAGCGGCUUCAAUGUUUACCAGAGCUUCCAUCGACUCUACAAGUUUUAAUCGCAUCAGGUUGCAUCUCUCUAAAAUCUGUAGCAAGUAUAUCCAUGCAAGGUGAUAGAGAAUAUGAAGAUGCUUCUCAGGAAUUCAAUUUCUCUGCAUGCCUCCAACUGGAUCAGAAUUCACGCACUAGAAUUAUGGGUGAUGCCCGUUUACGAAUUCAACGCAUAGCAACAUCAUUGUUUUAUAAGGUGAAUUCCUCCCUCGAUCUUGAUUUAUUUAAAGAAAAAAAUCACAAUAAUUUUUUAUAUGUAUCUCACAUUCUCACUCUCUUCGGUGUAGGAAUGUCAUUGUCAGCACUUUAGAGUUCGGUUGUGUAUUCCUGGGUUGGAAGUCCCGGAGUGUUUCAGUUAUAAAAAUAGAGAAGGAUCUUCAGUAAAAAUCCGGCAACCAGCUCAUUGGCAUCAUGGUUUCACUUUAUGCGCUGUUGUUUCAUUUGGCCAAAGAGGGGAAAGGCGUCCGGUUAAUAUUGAAUGUGAAUGCCAUUUGAUAAUCAAAGAUGGAACCCAGAUGGAUCUCAGUUCCUACAACUACAACGAAUAUGAAAGAGAGGAUAGGAGUACUAUAUGGAAAAGGGAGCAUGUGUUCAUUUGGAGUGUCAACUCUUAAGUGCUUUUUGAAGGAGGCCUCGUUUCAUUUCAAACCACUGUGCGGAGCUACUGAUGUGGUGGUUAGGUGUAGAGUCCAUCCAGUGUUAAAGUAGGAGCAACCAUACGCUAAAAUGGACAAACUUGUGGCAUUGGUAACUCGUCUUCUCCUCUUCUUUUUCUAUACAAAUAUGAAACAACUCAAUUAAAAUGAAACCAAACAGUCUUAUGAAUUAGAGAUGAAAAGGAUAUAUUUAUCCUCCUACUUUAACAUGAUUCUUAACCCCACCAUUAAAAUUGGAUCCAGUCUAUCACAUAUUACCAAUUAACCCCACCAUUAAAAUUUAUGGUAUAAAUGAUAUCAUUUUAAGGGGUACAUGGUUCUAAGGUCUUGAUAAAAAAAAAAAAAAUUAGUUUCGCAGGUUAACUCGGGUCAUUUUUUGUUUUUUUUAAUAUAUUUUUUUCUCAAUUUCAUAUUUCAACACUGAGUUAAUUGAGAAUUUGGCUUCAUAUGUUUUUUUAGUUUUCUAUGAGUUUAUCGUGAUCUUAAGAUCCAGGUCACAAGUUUUACGAGUUAGCAAGGUUGGCUAAAGUUUUUUUUUUUGUCCUUUUUUUUUUAUUUUUUUUUUAUUUUCAUCCCUCAACAUUGGGUUGAUUGAGAAUUUAACUUCAUAUUUUUAUUUUAUUUUAUUUUAAUCUAUAGAUUUGUCCUAGUCUCAUGAUUCGAGUUUAUCAUAUUAACCCGGGUUGACUCAAGAUAUUUUUUUAAUUGAUUUUUUUUCAAUUGAAUCCUUCAACAUUGGGUUGAUUGAAAAUUAUGCUUUGUAAUUUUUUUCUAUAGGGUUACCAUGAUCUCAUGACCCGGGUCGAUGGUUAGCUCGGUUGCCUCGAGUUGUUUUGUGUUCUUUUUAAAUGUAUUUGUUUUUCAAUUUCUUCUAUUAAUAUUGGGUUAAUUGUAAAUUAGGUUUCAUAAUUCAUUUUGGUUUGCUUUCUAUGAAGAUAUCUUGACCUCAUAACUCGAGUCACGGGUUUGGUUUGUGAACUUGGGUUGAAUCGAGUUGUUUUUUUAUGUUUUUUUGUUAAUUUUUUUUUUUACAAUUUUGUUUUUCAAUAUUGGAUUGAUUGAGAAUUAAGUUUUCUAAUUUUAAUUUGACUGGCAGUGUAGCGUGGAAAAUUAUUUAGUAUUAACUAUAAACUAAAAGAGGAGAGGUUUUUACUGUACCCCUCGUCACAAAGCAGUAUUCAUUGGAAUUAUGAUUUGCUUCUUAUUUUCCAUGCUUUUUUUGUUUAAUCAAUCUUUUUUUUAAUUUCAUCUUUUAAUAUUAGAUUUGUUUUUAUUGAGUUAUUUCAUUCUCAUGACACGGAUUGCUGGCUUGACGAGUUAACCUAGUUGACUCAAAUUUUUCUUCAAUUUCAUCAUUUAAUAUUGAUUUGAUAGGAAAUUAGAUUUCAUGAUCUGUUUUGUUUACUUUCUAUUGUGUUAUUUGCCUUAUGAUCGGAGAAUCAUGUUUAACAAGUUAACUCAAGUUGACUAAUAGUUUUUUGUGUCUUCUUUUAAUUUUAUUUUUUAAUUUUAUCCACUACAAGAUUUCACAGUUUUACCGACGGAAAUAUUCGGUAUGAAAGAUUAUGUACAAGACUAUGUACAAGACUAAUAUUCGGUAUGAUAAUCAAAAUAUAGUCAUUUAUGUCAAAUUUUUUGGUUGCAAAAAUUUUAUAUUAAUAAUUUUCUGUAGCUCUGAUUUAUAUCAUUUUGUUACUUGAUGAUAAUUAACUAUUGGUUAGUACAAACAUCAUGCCUGUGGCUAUUUGACAAGAAAAGUGGAUCAUGGAAGUUCUGUAUUAGCCCAAUUUUCAUUUGAGCACUCUAUCUGCAAAUGAUAAUAAAUACCUUGUUCCUCUCUAGUGUAGAUAAGCACGACAUCUAAUUGGGUUUAGGGUUUAAAAGAUUAUGUACAAGACUCCUAUUUGGAAGCCCACUGGUAUGAAAGAUUUAUAGUCUAACGGUAAGAAAUUGAGUUACAUGAAUGAAGUUUGAUGAAAUUUUAGUUUUCUUACAUGCAUGAAGGUUGGAGAUAAAACAAACAGCUGAAGGAACACAAGAAGUCCCAGGACUUGUUGAAACUCGGGUGACUGGCACAGAGGAUGUGUUGGAUUUACUCAAGUCUGGAAGUCGGGCCAGGUCUGUUGGAUCAAUCAGCGCUAAUGAGCUUAGCAGCCGUUCUCAUUGGUAAAAAUGAACUCUGCUUUCUUUUCUUGGUUUAUUCUUUCUAAGAAUAUACUUUAUGUUAUACCACAUAUAAUAGCAAGUGAAUAGUUUUUUGGAUCUGUGAAUCCAAACUAUUCAAGAAAUAUACCGAUUAAUUAAAGUGGUAGUACUAAUGACCACAACAUUGUUGGUCUGUAGUUUUUUGCGAGUAACAGUGAAAGGGGAGAAUUUAAUUGAUGGACAAAAGACAAGGAGUCACCUAUGGAUGGUCGAUUUGGCUGGAAGUGAACGUGUGGGAAAGAUUGAUGUUGAUGGUGAAGAUGGAAGGAAUCGCAAUUCAUUAAUAAUUCUCUUUCAGCAUCUAAAACUGGCCACAGUCCUUACAGGUCUUUCUCUCACACAGUCACUCUUGUACCAUGCUAUCCAAUUACCAUAUUAAUGAAGAUAUUUGUUUUCUUCCGAUUAGGAACUCAAAGCUAACCCAUUUGCUACAGAGCUCUCUCGGUGAGUAUUAAGUUUACUAUUUUUUAUGGUUACCAGUCAUUCUUAUUGUCUUGUUUGUCAGUAAAUGAUGCUAAGUGAAACAUGAAUGCAGGAGGAGAUUGUAUGUAAGACCUUGAUGUUUGUCCAAAUAAGUCCAAGUGUUACUGACCUUGGAGAGACUCUUUGCUCGCUAAAAUUUUGCGAGUCGAGUGCGAGGAACUGAAAGUGGUCAUGCCCGCAAACAGGCUGAUCUCACUGAACUUUUCAAAUACAAGCAAAUGGGGUAAAUACAUACUGCUCGUAUUUGAUGAAAUUUCUUUUGUCUCAGUUUCUUUUAUCUUGAUUCAUAUUUUCUUUCUUUUUUCUUUCCUUUUUUAAUUACAAAUAAUCAAGUUGAAAAGUUAAAGCAUGACGAGAAGGAAACAAAGAAGUGGCAGGAUAGCUUGCAAUCAUUGCAAUUGAGGCUUGCUGCUAGAGAACAUAUCUGCAGAUCUCUCCAAGAAAAGGUAAUUAUGAUGGCUUGAGCUCCAUUUAAUGCUUUUAUUUAUUUAUUAUUACUAUGAAACAUGUGGAAAAUUUAUUGGAGCUGUUUUUUCGUUUUUCUUUUGCGUUUAUUGUCCCUUAAAUGGCAUUUUUAAGUCAUUUUGUAGACUAACAAAUAACUUUUCUUACAAUAGGUUCGAGAGCUUGAGAAUCAGUUAGGUGAGGAAAGAAAAACUAGACUAAAGUAGGAAUCAAGAGCCUUUGCCGCUGCUACUUCUCAGUCUACGAAACAAGUAGAAGAGAAGAGAAGAGAAAAGUAGAUAAGAAGCCACCUCUGUGUCCUUCAAAGUUGAGGAUGCUUUUGAGAAAAAUCACCAAUUUCAUGCCUCCACCAUCUCCUCUACAAAAACAGAAAACUGGUUCUGUUUUAUCUUCAAUGCAUGAAAAAGAAAACAAUCCAAGGACCACAGUUGUGGUUUACUUCUUAUGUCUUACCAUUAACUUGUUCUUGCAUUGAUUCUGCAGUGUCUUGGAGGUGCCUUACGAUUGUUCAGCUGAGGCAGACUCGCUGCAUUCACUUAUGUUAAAGCUAGGUUCGAGAACAAUCGAUUCCAGAAGCCAAGGAAGCAACCAGAGACUUCAAGCAUACAUGUUGAUUGGUUUUGAUAUUGAAACACCCAGUACAUUCGUAUUGACAUUUUCACUUUCAGAUUUUGUGUUCUGCUCAGGACUCAAAACUCAGCACUAAAUAUGUGAGAUUUUCUGAUAUCAUUCAAUUGUACAUCUCAACUCCUUGAAUGAUGUGUCCCCUACGUCCUUGAGUGACAUGAAGGAUUGUAUUCCUUCAUGAUAAUUUUGUAUAUGUAUCUCACAUUCUCACUCUCUUCGGUGCAGGAAUAUUUUGUUAAGCCAAUUAGAGUUAGGCUGUGUAUUCCUGGGUUGGAAGUCCCGGAGUGGUUCUGUUAUAAAAAUACAGGAGGACCUUCAUUAAAUAUUCCAGCUCAUUGGCACCGUACUACUAACACUGAUCAGUUCCUGGGAUUCACCUUCUGCGCUGUUGUUUCAUUUGGCCACAGUAAGAAAAAGCGUCCCGUUAAUAUUAGAUGUGAAUGCCAUUUGAUAACCCAAGGUGGAAACCAGAGUGAUCUCAAUUUCUACUGCUAUGAAGAAGUUGAAAGAAAGGAGCGGUGUUUAUGGGAAAGGGAUCAUGUUUUCAUCUGGAGUAUCAACUCUAACUUCUUUUUCAAGGAGGCCUCGUUUCAUUUCAAACCACUGUGGGGAACUGCUGAUGUGGUGGUUAAGUGUGGAGUCCAUCCACUGUUUGUCCAAGACCGUUGAUGAAUCCUCUGUUAUUCAAAGAAUGUCCAUGGUGUCCAUGUUAAUGUGUUCAAAGAGCCCCCCUGCCUUCACUUAUGCUUCUUCGGCUGGAACUGUACAGGCGACGUCUCAAGGUUUGUCUACUAUCCAGUGAUCGGAUUUUUGAGUGUCUUUGGUCUCUGUGAGCUAGCCUCUAUAAAAAAAAAAGCAGCAAGGCAAAUAGAUGAUGCAUAAAGUUUUACUGAUGCAUUGCAGGCUCUUUGAAUUGAUUUAAUAAGCAAAUAAAGCCACAGUUGUGGUUUACUUCUUAUGUCUUAUCAUUAAGCUGUUCUUGCAUUGAUUCUGCAGUUUCUUGGAGGUGCCUUACGAUUGUUCAGCUGAGGCAGACUUGCUGCAUUCCCUUAUCGUUAGAGCUAGGUUCGAGAACAAUCGAUUCCAGAAGCCAAAGAAGCAACCAGAGACUUCAAGCAAACAUGUUGAUUGGUUUUGAUAUUGAAACACCCAGUACAUUCGUAUUGAGAUUUUCACUUUCAGAUUUUGUGUUCUGCUCAGGACUCAAAACUCAACACUAAAUAUGUGAGAUUUUCUGAUAUCAUUCAAUUGUACAUCUCAACUCCUUGAAUUAUGUAUCCUUUAAGUUCUCUGAAUGAUGUGUCCCCUGCUUCCUUGAGUGACAUGAAGGAUUUGUAUGGUAUAUUUGCAGUUCAGGCAUGUCAAAGUUUCAUGUUUUUGUUCUUUUGGGGGUGUAUGGUUUGUACUCCUCUUAUUAACUUUAUGUUCAUUGUGAAUGAAACCAAAGUAGAGUAUAAAAACUCUAUUUUCACGACUAUGCAUGGUAAGAAACUUCUGAACAGAAUACUUCUUAGCAAGAUUCCCACAUACCAAAAACCACUUUCUUCCCCCCAAAUCAACAAACAGGAACGAACAUAUAACAAGAAACCCAGUGACCAAAAAGCAUUCAACUAUAUUAAUUACCUGAACAGAAUACUUCUUAGCAAGACUAGUAACAGAAUCUCCUCUAGCAAUCUUAUGUGAAAUAGCAAACUUCCAAAUCCCAUUCUCUCUCCAAAAACUCCCAGACACAGGCUCCCCCACUAUCUCCUUCAACUUCCAUGGUUCCAUAAACGCAGGCCUCACAAUCGCAUCAUCAGAAGCCAUGUCUCUCCACAGCUUGCAAACACAGCUUGCACGUGCCAAGUCUCGAGCUCCGAGCUUUCGUAAGAUCAUAAUUAGUGUGUCCCUGCAUGUGAAGGAUGCGAGUGACACGUGGGAGUCCAUUGCCUUGGUGGUUUUGUUAUUCUUGAGUGGUGUAUUGAGAGAGGGAGGGGUAGAGGAGGCCUAGUGUUAGGGAGAGGGUAGUGGUAGAAGGUAAAGUCUUCCUCUUCGAUUUCAACUGAUUUGUAUAUGGGUUUUGGAUUUCUCUUGGUGGUGUUUUCAGUGGUGAUAGUGUCGGCGCUGGCGGCGGCGGAGGCGGCGAUUGUGUUUUGAUGGCCACAGGAUUAGGUGAAGAAGAAACGGUGGGUUUUCUUUUUGGGAAGAGGGUAAUAGUAGAAAAGGGAGUCUGUGUCAUCCAUCCUCUGUAUAGUUUGACUGGCUUGGUGUGUAUUGGAAAAGCUUUUUAAUUUUCAUUUAUCCUAGAUUAAAAUCUAGGUUAAAAAAACCCCAAUUGAUUAGGGCAAAACUCAAUUAAAGAUUCGUUGACUUUUCAAUAUUUUAGAUAAGCCUUUUUAAUCUAUGGCCCAAACCUUACCCUGUCUGUAUCAAUCCUAAAAUCUUAAAAUUAUGUUUUUGAAAAGCAAAUUGAUAUGAAUAUCUUUUUUAUCAUCUAAUACAAAAAAAUCACCUAUUAAUAACAAUAUAAUAAAAUGUAGUGAUGAGUGCUAAGAUAUAUUUAAAUAAUGACGUUGACAUUAAUAAUUUACCAUAAAUUUAGUAUUUAGUAUGAUGUAAGAGUGAAUUCUGUGAAAGUAACGGAAAACAUUGCGUAUUAUAAAUGCUGUAGUUAAAUCCAUGGACGGUCAAGGAUUAUUUCGAGCAUAGUUUUGAAAUUUGGCCAGCAGGUCGAUUUGGAAACCGACUGACUCGGGAUUAGAAUUGGACUGGGUUAAAAAAAAUAGAAAAAAUCAUGACCCGGUAUGACCCGGUUGCAACCCGAUCAAAAACCUAGUUGCAACCCGUUGACUUUUAUUUAUUUAUUUUUUUAUUAAAACAACGUCGUUUUAAUUUUUUUAAUAGGGAUUGACCCGGACGACUCGGUCAAAACCUGAAACCUGAACCUUGAAUCAAGCUAGAUUUAAAAACUAUAAUUUCAAUUGUAUCUCUUUGAAAAUAUGUUGUUUUUUUUUAAGAAAAAAUCCUUGAAACUUAAUAAAACAUAGUCCCCUUCAUUUUCACACUUAAAAAUGUUGAUCUUAUAUUUGAUUAUUAUUACUUUAUUAUUAUUUUGUAACUCAAAAUUGGGUUAUUACAUAGACAGUUGCAAGUAAACUGUAAUUUUUUUUUAUUAAGGUGAGUGUCUGGGUCAGCUUGUGUGUAUCUCAACUAAUUUCACGGGUUCUAAAAUUAAUGAUAAUGUAAGUCUCCAGUGAUCCUGAGAUCUGUGAAACUCAAAUCAAUAAUCUAAAAAAAAAAACAAAUCUAGAAUUUAAUUAAUUGAAGUACAUCCUUUUUUAUAUAUAACUUGGGGUGUUCGGGCUGUUAAAGUAAUUGAGAUCAAAUACAAAAAGGAGGCUACAAUUCUGAAUAAUCUGUUUAUUAUGAAUGCAUUGUGUUAACCUAAAUACAAAUAAAGUAUAUAUAGGUCAAACUGAAAGUAUUAUUCUACCCUUAAUAAAUAAGACUACAUAAAUAUUAUUUAACAUCUCCCCUCAAACUCACGAUGCGGCAGCUACAAGCAUCGAGAGUUUGCCAACCAGAAAACGAAAACGAGAGAUGGAAUGCGCCUUGGUAAAGAAAUUGCAAUCUGCAAGGAAGAAGGAACAAAAGGCAAAGCAAUGGUGCCAUGUUUGAGAUGAUGACGAGUAAGAUGACAAUCGAUCUCAAUGUGCUUAGUGCGCUCAUGAAAAACCGAGUUAUGAGCAAUCUGAAUAGAACUCUGGUUGUCACAAUACAUAGGAGUAGGAUGAGAAAAGGAAAUUCCCAUAUCAGCAAGUAACCAACGUAGCCAAACAAUCUCUUUGGUAGUAGAUGCCAUGGCACGAUAUUCUGCUUCGGUGGAUGAUUGAGAAACAAUAGAUUGUUUCUUGCUCUUCCAAGAAAUAAGAGAAUCACCUAAAAAGAUACAGAACCCGGUAACAGACUUGCGAUCUGUGGGAUCACUACCAUGAUCAGCAUCAGAGUAUGCACGCAACUCCAAGGAAGAGGUGGAUGAAAGUAACAGACUUUGAAAAACUGUACCCCAAAGAUAUCGCAAAAUACGAAGAACAGCUGCCCAGUGAACAGUAGUAGGAGAAGCAACAAACUGACUAACAACAUGAACAGCAUAUGCAAUAUCUGGACGAGUAAUUGUGAGAUAUACCAAACUCCCAACAAUAGUACGGUAUAAAGUAGGAUCUAUCAAAGGUAAACCAUCAGAAGAAGAGUACCUCGCGUUGACCUCAAUAGGAGUAUCUACAGUCUUGUUAUCAGUAAGUCUAGCUCGCUCAAGAAUAUCUGUAACAUAUUUUAACUGAGAAAGAAGGUAACCUCUAGGUGAGUAUGCUACCUCAAUACCUAGGAAAUAUCGAAGAUAACCCAAAUCCUUCAUUUCAAAUCGUCUAGCCAACUCUGUCUUCAAAACUGAAAUACCAUCAAUAUCAUCACCAGUAAUAAUCAUGUCAUCAACAUAUAAAGACAGAAUGAUACGACCUGCAUCAGUGCACUUAAUAAAAAGAGCAGAAUCAUGACUGCUAGAAACAAAGCCAAGAGACGAGAUCACAAUAGAGAAUUUCUCAAACCAAGCACGAGGUGCUUGUUUGAGACCAUAUAAUGCUUUCUUAAGCUUACAAACAUAUCCAGAGUCAUGUGAAAUACCAGGAGGGGGUGCCAUAUAAACUUCUUCUUGAAGAUCUCCAUUCAAGAAUGCAUUUUUAACAUCAAGCUGAGAAAUAUGCCACUGACGAAUCGAAGCUACGGCAAUAAGAGUACGAAUAGUAGUCAUUUUGGCAACCGGGGCAAAUGUCUCCUCAUAGUCCAUACCAUACUGUUGAGAGUAUCCUUUUGCAACCAGCCUAGCUUUGUAUCGCUCAAUAGACCCAUCAGAAUUAGUCUUGAUCUUAUACACCCAACGACAACCAACAACACUCUUACCAGGAGGUAGAGGAACCAGAUCCCAAGUAUCUGUCUUAUGCAAAGCAGAAAGUUCCUCAUCCAUAGCUUGCUGCCAAAGCGGAUCAAGAAUUGCCUCUUUAUAGGAAGAGGGCUCAAAGAGACAAUGAAUAGAAGCUAAAAAGGAAGUAAAUGAUGAAGAAUAACAAGAAUAAGCAAAAUCUGGUAGUUUUGUGGACUUACGAAUGCGGAUGGACUGACGUGGAGGUGGAUCCACAAUCUCAGAUGAAGCUUGAGGGGCUGUAGAUGAGAAUGGAGCUUCAGAUGUGCCAGAGAGUAAAGUACCAGUACCUGCAGAGUUAUGAGUACAAAUUGAUCGAACAUAGGGAGAGGUAUCAUUACCAGAAUCCUCAGAAAAAGGAUCUAUAUGAAUAAGAUCAGAUUUUGUCAGGCUAUGAGUAGUGGAUGGAAUAGAAAAGAAAGGUAUAUGCUCAAGGAAGACAACAUGACGAGACACAUAAAGUUUCUGAGUUAUUGGAUCAAAACAACGAUACCCCUUUUUACCUUCACCAUAACCCAGAAAGACACAAAUAGCGGAUCGAGAGGAUAGCUUAUUGCGUUCUACAUGAGGACGAAGAACAAAACAAGUACAACCAAAGACUUUAAAUGAGGAAUAAUCAGGGACAUGCCCAUAUAGCUUUUCAAAAGGAGAUAGACCCGAACUAUGAGAAGAUGAAAUUGUAUUAAUCAAACUUACAGCAGUAAGAACAGCUUCUCCCCAAAAUUCACUAGGAACAAAAGCAGACAACAAGAGAGAACGAGCAGUUUCGACAAUAUGCCUAUGUUUUCUUUCAGCUACACCAUUUUGUUCAGGAGUAUCUGUACAUGAAGUUUGGUGGAUGGUUCCAUCUAAGGCAAGCAUUUGACAAAAUUUAUUAGAGGUGUAUUCCCCACCCAAAUCACACCUAAAGCAUUUGAUCACAGCAGAAUGUUGAGUUUUGAUAAGAGCUCGAAAAGCUGCAUAUAUCUCAAAGAAUUCAGAACGAUGUUUCAUUAAAUAAACCCAACAAUAACGAGUAUGAUCAUCAAUAAAAGAGACAUAAUAUCGAGACCCUCCUUUUGUGGAAACAGGAGAAGGUCCCCAUACAUCAGAAUGAAUCAAAUCAAAUGGUGAAGAUGAAACAGAAAUACUUCGAUUAAAAGGUAAAGCAUAAAAUUUUGCCAGUUUACAUCCACUACAAUCAGAAAUGUCACAAGUUUUCAAAUUUCCUAAAGCUCCUGUGGAUGCCAAAAAUCUCAAACGAGAAGACGAAACAUGACCUAGACGGGAAUGCCAUAAAUAAAAACUAGAAGAUGAAAGACUCAAACGAAAGGAAGACAAAUCAGCAGUAGCAGCAGCAGCAGCAGCAGCAACUGGCACUUUUAACUCAUCCAAAAUAUAUAGCCCAUUCUCCCUACGGCCUGUCCCAAUCAGCUUCUGAGACUGCAGAUCCUGUACACAACAAAAAGAACCAGAAAACAUGACUAAAUAAUCACCAGAAUCACAUAUUUGACCAACAGACGCAAGAUUCAAUUUGAGUUUUGGAAUAAGAUAAACAUUAGGGAGAGACAAGUGAGGUGUGACAACAGAACCAACACCUGCUAAGGGCAUAGGAGUGCCAUCAGCAGUCAUAACAGGAAUGGAGGACAAAGGGGACACUGAGGUAAAAGAUGAGGAAUCUGGAGACAUAUGAUGUGAAGCACCAGAAUCCAAGACCCAUUCAGAGUGUGACAUACCUGAGGAACUAUGAGGCAACUGACCUAUGGAAGAAGCGGACAUUGCUUGUGGCUGCAGGGAGAGAAACUUCUGAAAUUGCUCAGCUAAAGUAUUAGGAUCGGUAAUAGAGCCUGGGGAAGCUACUGCUGCAGUAUUGUGGUGUGGUGGUUUAUAACCCUGAGGUGAUCGAUGAGCAUUAGAUUGUGACUGACUGCCAGACUUCCAAGCUUGAUUCUGCUGUCUCAACUUAGGACACUGAGCCUUCCAAUGACCUUUCUGCUUACAGAAACUGCACUCAUCGAAGCCAACCCUUGUGUAAGGCUUGUUCUGAUGAUUAGAGAAUGGCUUAGAAGGUACUGCUAGUACAGAAGGAUUCGAAGCAGAAAGAAUUCCCUUUUCAGAAUAAGACUGAAGACGUAUUUCUUCAGCCAAUAACUCACUGACAACAGAGUCAACAGAGGGCAGUGGAGAACGAUGCAGAAUUGAACCUCUAAGUCCUUCGAAAUCACUGCGAAGUGCUGUUAAAAAUUGUACCAAUCGUUCUGCUCUCUACGUUCAAUAUAAGCACCACAUGCUUUUAAUUCUGCCGAUUCUGUAAGAGCCAAUUGAUCCCAAAGAUUUGUCAUGGCAGAAUAGAACUCCUGAAUACUCAUAUUCUUCUGGUGAAGAGCUCGUAUGUCAUUCUCUAACUGAUACUGUUUUGCAAAAUUUGAUUGCGUGAAUAACCGUUGCAGAUGAUCCCAAACCUCCUUUGCUGUCUCAUACUUUGCCAACUGUGUACCUAUAGAAUGCUCAACAGAAUUGUUGAUCCAAGUAAUGAUCUUUGCAUUGUUUGCUUCCCAUGUAUCUAUCGAGACAGUAUCUCCUUCUUCAGUAUUCUUAGGUACCACAUAAGUUCCACUAACAUAUCCCCACAUCUUCUUACCCUUAAGAAAAUUUCUCAUUACAUAGCUCCAAUACGAAUAGUUCUUCCCAUCCAACCUCACACUCACAGACUGAAGCGAAUCAUCUCUUUCAGUAGCCAUAAUCAACAAUCACAAAGAACCAGAAUGCAAAAGCAGCGGAAAACAAAAUACCAAAUUGCAGAAACUGAACAGAGAUUGCAGAAACUAAACAAAUAUCUUCUCAAACUUAUACGAUUACUCCAAAACACAAAACAAAUUUGCAGAAACUGAACGGAAUUACCAAAUUGCAAAAGCUGAAGGGAAGACGAAAUAUCAAAAUAAUUGCAGAAACUGACGAAAUACCAAAUUUUGCAGAAGCGGAAGACAAACCCCCAGCCAACUCACCGCAGAGUUGGAUCCGCGAAGCUGUGUUCGGGAUUAAACCUCGUUCCAUAAAACCAGCUCUGAUACCAUGUUAAAGUAAUUGAGAUCAAAUACAAAAAGGAGGCUACAAUUCUGAAUAAUCUGUUUAUUAUGAAUGCAUUGUGUUAACCUAAAUACAAAUAAAGUAUAUAUAGGUCAAACUGAAAGUAUUAUUCUACCCUUAAUAAAUAAGACUACAUAAAUAUUAUUUAACACGGGCCAGCUUACGAGCACCACGACUAAUUCUCGGACCUGUUGAAUACCCUACAAACCCAGUACACAAGUAAAAUACCGCAAUAAUAACAGUCAUGCAUACAAAAAUUUAAACUUAGGAUGCAGAGACAGAAACGUAGGUCACGAACUUCGGUGCAAUUGAAUUACAUCCUCAGUGUUAGUAAAGUGUAAUCUUGUUGUGGAAUGUGAAACAGUUAGGUGGUAGCAUUAAAAUAGACUUAAAUAUAUUUUUAACUAGGAAUUGGUCUCCUUCUUGCUGCUUAGAGUGGCUAAUUCUGAAAAAAAAAACUACAGUUUCUGUUCUUUUUGUUGUCAUGACUAAUGGAAAGCUUUGGUUGGAUGAUAGUGUAUGCCGGAAAAAUGGAAAAGGCAAAAGAAAAAAAAAAACUGCAUUCUCAUCAUUGCAGACCUCUCCAGUCCUUGGUACUUCUUUUUUCUCUGGGAAUAAUUGAAUUUAAAUAUUAAAAAAAAAACCCAACCUAAUUCUUCAAUUUGAAUUCACUGUAGGCCCAUUGAUUUGGUUUGAUUUUUUUUGUUCUUUGAUAUAUUAUGUUUUUAUCAUUUUUUUUAAUUUAAUCCUUUAUCUUUGAAACAAUGAGGGUUUUUGCUUGGUAGAUUUUUGUGAAAUUAGGUUUAGUUAUUUUAUUUUGUUUUUCUAAUAGAAUUAUCCUAAUAUCAUAACAUAUUUACUAGUUUAAUAAGUUAGUUUAAAUUUACUCAGUUUUUUUUUUUUUGGAAUUUUUUAGAUUUGAACUUUGUAACUUUUUUCAUUUCACCUUCUAUUGUAUUAUUACAUUCGUAUGAUUCGAGUUGCAGGAUUUGAUGGGCUUGCCCAAGUUUGUAGUUGUUUUUUUUGUUUUUUUUGUUAAUUGUUUUUUUUUUAAUUUCACCCUUCUACAUUAAAUUUGUUGAGAAUUAAGCUUUAUAUUUUUUUUAUUUGUUUUCUAUUAUAUUAGCCUCAUGAUCCAGUUUACAGGUUUGACAUGCUUAUUAAGGUUGCUUUUUUUAUUUUUUUUUAAAAACAAUUAUCCUUUGAUAUUGAGUUGAGUGAGUUUUAUUUUUUUUGGUUGUAAAAUGUUUUUUUUCUAUAUUAUUAUGAUUGUUUUUUUGUUUGUUUAUUGUUGUUGAAUGUUUUUUUACCAUUUAAUUAAAUAAUAUUGAUUGAUGUUAGGUAAGCUAUCAAGCAGCAUAAUUAAAGAACUCUAAAACGUGUGGGAUAUUCACUGUAGCAGGUUUGUUUUUUUUUUUUUUUUGCUUUUGUUUUUUUUUACAUGUUUUUUUUUUGCUUUUUUUUUACCCAAAAUUGAUUUCUUCUUCUUUUUUUUAAAAAAAAAAUUUGUUUCAAAAUUAUCUUUGCUAAUUGUUUUAAAUAUUGAGCUGGUUGAAAAUUUAACUAUGUAGUUUUUUUCUUUAAAACAUUGUGGAUUGCUAUAAUAUUCUCAUACAUUGUUUUUUUUUUUAUAAUUUCUUUAUUCUUUUUUUUUUCAAAAUGGUUUUUGUAGAUUUUAUUUUUUUUAUAUUAAGUUGGUUGAGAAUUUAGCUUUGUAGUUUUUUUUUUUUAAAAAAAUAUGGAUUGUUACAGUGUUUCCCAUACAUAGUUUUUGUUUUGCUGCAGUGUUUCCCCAUAUAUUUUUUUAAAAAAUUAUCUUUAUUGAAUUUAGUUUUUCAAUAUUGAGCUGGCUGAUAAUCUAGCUUUAGCUUUCCCCAUAUGUUUUUUUUAUUUUUUUUAUUUUUCUUUUUUUCCAAAAUUGUCAUUUUUUACAUAUUUUCUUUUUUUUUGUUUUGUUUUUUUCAGAAUUAUUUUUGUUGAUUUUAUUUUUUUACUAUUGAACUGGUUGAAAAUUUAGUUUUUUUGUCUUUUUCUUUAAAACACUGUAACUUUCCCCACGUUUUUUUUUCCGCUUUUGUUUCCUUUUUUGUACAUUUUUUUUUUCAUUUCUUUUACCCAAAAUUGACUUCUUUUUUUUUAGAUAGCCUUUGUCUGGUUGAGAGAUUAACUUUGUAGCUUUUUUUUUAAAAAAAAAUACUAUGGAUUACUACAGUGUUUCCCUUACAUGGUUUUUGUUUGGCUACAGUGUUUCCCCCACAUGUUUUUUUUUUUUAAAUUAGCUUUGUUAAAUUUAUUUUUUCAAUAUUGAGUUGGUUGAGAAUUUAGCUUUAGCUUUCCCCACUUUUUUUUUUUUUUAAAUUUUCCCCACGUUUUUUCAUUAUAAUUAUAAUUAUAAUUAUAAUUAUAUUGUAUUAUAUUAUAUAACUGUUUUUUUUCUUUUGUUUUUUCUUUUAAUUUUUUUUAAUGAAUUUUUUCUGUUUGAUUUAGUUUGUUAAUGUUAAAUUUUUUAUUUAUUUAGUUAUCAGAUUUUCAUGAUACGAAUCUCGGGUUUGAUGGGUUAACCUGAUUUGACGAGUUAUUUUUUUCAUUUAGUUUAGUUUGUUAAAGUUAAUUUUCUUUCUAUUUAAUUAUCAGACUUUCAUACUUUCAUGACACGUAUCCUGGGCUUGACGGGUUAACUUGGUUUGAUGGGUUAACCCGGUUAAUUCUAGGUAAACCCGUCAUUUUUUUUUCUAUUUAGUUAUCAAACUUUUAUGACGCAAAUUCCAGGUUUUACGGGAUAACCUGGUUUAAAAGGUUGACCCAAUUAAUUCAAUGUUUUUUUUUUCUUUUUUUUCAUUAGUUUUUUCCUUCAUAUUGGUUUUUUUUUCUUUGUUUUUUUUAAUUAAUCUAUUUAAUUAUCACACUUUUAUGACACGACCUUAUAGCCAGACCCACAUCCAGUAUUCUUGGGUCUGGUGUUACAGCCAGACUCACUUAAACUUGGGUCAUGCAAGUUUAAUUUUAUUAUUAAUAUUAUAAAUAUUACUCUUAGGUCAGGCGUUGCAGCCAAACCCAAGAUUUUUAGGUAUAACUUUGCAGAAAAACCCAAGAUUUUUAAAUUUUUAUUUUUUUUAAUAUUUUUUAUGCAAAAACAAUGACCCGCGGCAUCGUGCGGGUAUCAAAGCUAGUUAAAAAGAAAACGUGUUGAAAAGUUUCACGAUUAAUUUGUUUGAUUAGGUUUAAUAAUAUUAUAAAAAAAUCAUUCAUAUUAUUGAAAUUAAAAAAAAUUCAAAACUAGUGUAAAGGGCAAUUAGGUGCUGACAUUAUUGUUUUUUUGUUAUUACAAUGUUAGAUGAUGGGGGACUUGGUAUUUUACCAAAGAUAAAAAAUAAUAUAAAAAUUAAAAACUAUAGUAAAAUGGUCAAAAUGCUCUUAGAAAUCAAAAAAUUAAAAAUGUCCUAAAAGGGUUUUUGCUUUUUUUUUUCAAUGGUUUUUUCAUUAUUAUUAUGUAAGUUUUGGGAAAACUUGAUAUUUUUUAAUCUAUAAAAACAGUAUAAUUAAAAAGAAUUACGUGAGAAAGGUCAAGCUUUUGCUACAUUUAUAGCCUCUGGAUAUUCGUAAUGAUUCUGCAAUUGAAGGGCCGUGUUACUAACAAUGCGGUUAUCAUGAACCAACUACAAGAGCUCAUGAAAAUGUUGAUGCCCAGAAUAAAGAGCAUUUAUUUUUAUUUUUUUUUAUUUAUAUAUCCCAUUAAUUAUAUAUUAUUUGUUUAUUUAUCGGAUUUAGAUAUUAAAAAUCGUCAUAGUUAAUAAAUUCAUGGUUAAGCUUUAGAAUGGGUAUUUAAGGAGAGUUUUGCUGUUUGCAACUCUUUAGCCUACCUUUGUAUCAACAAUUUCAACAUAAGCUUUCUCAAGAUAAUUAUAUGAUGUUUUUCCUAAGUUUAUUUUGUAGCUCUUUAUUUUAUUUAUAUGCUUUCUUUCAAUUUACAUGUUUUAUCUAUCAAUUUCUUUAAAUGUUUUCUCUACAUGUUCUCAAUUAUUUUUAUUGUUUCUUUAUCAUGUAAAUUAGUGUGUGUACGUAUAUAUAUUGUAUUAGCUCGAUACUUCUAUGUUUUUCUUAUAAUAAUCAAGAUAGAAUAUUAAUAAGAUUUAGUUAGAGUCACAAAGAAAAUAAUAAACUGACUAAAAAAAUUUAUAGUGAAAAAAUAAAAAAACAACAAAAAAAUAUUAAUUCUAAAUAUUAUAUCACCUUAUCAUUGAAUAUUUAACUAGAUUAAUACCUAUAUAAGUAAAAUUCUAAAAUAAUAAACUUUAUUCCAACCAGGAUUGAUAAUAUCAAAAAUAGACUACAAGAUACAACGAACAACAAUCCAUACUUCUAUGUAAAUUCUAUAGUUUAUUAAUACAAAUAUUUAUGAUUUAUUGCUUGAUUUAAACCUAUAAUUUAUUGUUUAAUGUAAACUUUAAGAUUUAUUUCUUAAUUUAAACCUUUUUGUUUGAAGCUAGAGUGGACCUUAUUGUUUCUCGAUCAAUACAAACUUUACCAUUUAUUAUUUAAUAAAAUAUUAUUGUUUAUUGCUUUAUAUGGACUUAUUAGUUAUUAUAAACACUACAAUGUUAUGUCGAUGUAAAAAUUAUUUCUUCGUGUUAGGAAGAAAUAUUAGUUUAUGCUCAUAUGGGCUUAUCUUCAAUGACAAGUAAAGGAAAAGAAAAAGAAGAUAUCUGACCAAUGCUGUCCUCUUUUCCUUUCGGUUUUCUCGGGCCAGCCCUCCUCUCUUUUAUCCUCUCUUUUUCUUCCUCAACGUAUCUUCCAUGGCACAUUAAGGAAACACGCAAAAGAAGAGGAUAUAUCCUCGUUGUGGCACACAGAGGGUUAAAGAUCAACAAGCUGCCCUUGAUUAAUAACUGGUAAAACUUUCUUCCUAUUCGUCCAUUAAUUUCUCUCUGUUUUGGGUUAGAUUCUACUUGUUUGGCCAUUGCUGUAGCAUCAUUCAUGUUGUUUAUGUUAGUGAGUUUUCUCUUUUAGCUCAAAAUGACUGUGUAAUUAAGAUCUCAGCUAAUUUCCCACUAGCAUUGUGGCACAAAGAGGGUUAAAGAUCAACAAGCUGCCCUUGAAUAACUGGUAUGACUUCCUUCCUGUACGUACGUCCAUUAAUUUCUCUAUAGCUAUUCCAGUAACGAAUGUCAAUGAAAUCUCUCUGUUUUGGGUUCUAGUGAGAGUUGUUUUCUUUGCUACAGUAUUCUUAUAUUACUGAUCAUCAUAAUCGUUUGUUUUCUUUUUGCUUGUUACAGGGAAUAAUUAUCACAAGUAGAAAGCUUACGUCUACAUAUAUCAAGCGUAUAAAAAUAUGGCUUCCACUUCUUCUCCCACUACUCCAUAUUUGAAGCACGAUGUAUUCCUCAGUUUUAGAGGCACAGACACCCGCAAUAGUUUUACCAGUCAUCUUUAUGAUGCUUUGCAGCGAAACCAGAUUAAUGCUUACAUCGAUGAUAAACUUGAUGGAGGAGAAAAGAUCGAGCCUGCCAUCUUGGAAAGGAUUGAAGAGUCGUAUAUUUCGGUAGUCAUUUUCUCUGAAAAUUAUGCAUAUUCUACUUUCUGUUUAAGAGAACUCUCCAAGAUUCUUGAGUGCAUGGAGACCAAACAACAGAUGGUUUUACCAGUUUUUCACCAACUUGAUCCAUGCCAAGUUCAAAACCUGACUGGGAGCUAUGGAGAUGCACUUUGCAAGCAUGAAAAAGAUUGUGGUUCUAAAGAAGUAGAGAGUUGGAGAAAUGCUUUGAAAGAAAUAGCUAAUCUCAAGGGCUGGAAUUCAAACGUCAUUAAGUAAGUUAUUAAUCAGCUACAGUGUAUUAAACCCCAACAUAUAUAAACCAUUUUUGUUCGAGAAUUAAUAUUAUGUUUGAUGUUAUGAUAAAAUUUCUUAGGUUAUAGUUGCUUGUUUUACUUACUAGUCUGUCUUUGUUCUUAAUUUAUUAUGCAUUGUGCAGGGAUGAGACAAAGCUAAUUCAGGAAAUCGUUUCCGACAUUCAAAAGAAAUUGAACCAUGCGCCCUCAAUCGAUGCAGAACGCCUUGUUGGAAUGGAAUCACGCGUUGAAGACAUCGAAUCAUUACUAUCCUUUGGAUCAACCGGUACUGUGCUCAUUGUGGGAAUCUGGGGGAUGUGUGGUAUAGGCAAGUCAACAACGGCUGAAGCUGUGUAUCAUCGAAACUGUAGUAAAUUUGAAGGCCAUUGCUUUUUCCAAAAUGUUAGGGAAGAAUCAAAGAAGCAUGGAAUAGAUCAUGUACGACAGGAAAUUCUUGGUGAAGUAUUAGAGAAGAAAGAUAUGACUAUACGCACAAAAGUGUUACCCCCGGCCAUUAAUUAAGCGAAUGCUUCAAAGAAAAAAAGUUCUCAUAGUUCUUGAUGAUGUCAACGAUCCGCAAGUUUUAAAAUAUUUAGUAGGAGGGGAUGGUUUGUUUGGCCAAGGAAGUAGAAUCAUUGUGACAAGUAGAGAUAGGCAAGUGCUUAUAAAUGCAUGUGAUGAAGACAAAAUUUACGAGGUCAAAAUUUUAGAUAAAGACGAUGCUCUUCGACUCUUCAGCUUACAUGCUUUUAAACAAAAUAAUCCCAUAAAAGGAUAUAUUAGGCUAUCAAAAACCGUGGUAAGCUGUGUUAAGGGCAUUCCAUUAGUUCUCGAGGUUUUAGGUGCCAGUCUAUACAGAAAGACUAGUGUAGAAUACUGGGAAAGCAAGGUGGCACAGCUAAGAACAAAUGGUGGCGAGGACAUUAAGAAAUGUUUGGAAAUGUGCUAUCAUGAUCUAGAUCAGACACAAAAGAAAAUAUUUCUUGAUAUAGCAUGUUUCUUUGGACGGUGCAAAAGGGAUCUCCUCCAACAAACACUAGAUCUGGAAGAAAGAAGUGGGAUAGAUCGUCUCAUUGAUAUGUGUCUCAUAAAAAUUGUUCAAAACAAGAUCUGGAUGCAUGAUAUGCUACUAAAACUAGGGAAAAAAAUUGUCCUCCAAGAACACGUUGACCCUAGAGAACGUAGCAGGUUGUGGAAGGCUGAUGAUGUCAAUCGUGUAUUAACAACUCAGGUAACAUUUCUAAGUGAUUUAGUUGACUGUUGUUUGGGAUUCUUGUUUAUAGCCAGGAGAUGUAGCCUUGGACAAGAAUAAAGAUCAAAGCCAGCUUCUUCUUCUUCUUCUUCUGUUUUUUUUUUUUUAAGUUCUUUUUUUGUUAUAGUUAUAUACUGAUUUACACCUUGCUUGUGUUAAAUAGGGGACUAGAAAAGUGGAAAGCAUAAUCCUCAACUUGCUUGGAAUUACUAAAGAAAUGAUCUUAAGUCCUACAGCAUUUGAAGGGAUGUCUAAUUUAAGAUUGCUCAAAUUCUAUUAUCCACCUUUCUUUGGGGUUCCCUCAAAGGAGAAAAUUAUGAAUCGAAGGAGGGUCAGAAUUCACCUUCCUCAAGGGCUUCACUUUCUUUCCAAUGAACUAAGGAUUCUCCAUUGGUAUAAUUACCCUUUGAAAUCCUUACCAUCAAAUUUUUGUCCUGAGAAACUUGUUGAAUUUCACAUGCAUUGUAGCCAGCUUGAACAACUCUGGAAUGAAUUCCAGGUAUGCUUUAGCAUCCUUCUUUAUCAAAUAUAGGACAUUAUUUAAAUUAUUCAUGACAUUAUUUUAUGCCUUUUUUUUAAUUUGCAGCCACUUGAAAAUUUGAAAGUAAUGAACCUCCGUUCCUCCUCAAAGCUGAGCCUAAGUGAUUCAGACUUGUCUAAAUUCCCAAAUCUUGAGGUUCUAAAUCUGGGACAGUGUAGAGGUUUGGCUGGUUUACCUUCCUCUAUUAAAUACAGCACCAGACUUACUGAAUUGAUCCUUUACCAUUGUGAUAGUUUAUCUACUUUGCCAUCAUCAAUUGGAUGCCUCUCUCAGCUUGUUAAAUUGAAAUUAAUUUUCUGUAGAAGUCUUGCUAGUCUACCAGACAGCAUUGGUGAGUUGAAAUCUCUUGAAGAUCUUUAUCUUUAUUCUUGCUCAAAAUUAGCAAGUCUUCCAAACAGUUUUCGCGAGUUGAAAUGUCUUGCUAAGCUUAAUCUUAUUCGUUGCUCAGAACUAGUAAGUUUACCAGACAACAUUGGUGAGUUGAAAUCUCUUGUAGAGCUUAAACUUUUUUCUUGCUCAAAACUAGAAAGUCUUCCAAAUAGCAUUGGCGGGUUGAAAUGUCUUGCAGAGAUUUGUCUUUUUAACUUUUCAAAGCUAACAAGUCUACCAUACAGUAUUGGUAAGUUGAAAUGUCUUGUGAAGCUUAAUCUUAGUUAUUUCUCAAAACUUGCAAGUCUGCCGGACUGCUUCGGCGAGCUGAAAUCUCUUGUAUUGCUUCAUAUUUCUUUUUGUCCAAAACUAGUAAGUCUUUCAAACAGUAUUGGUCAGUUGAAAUGUCUCGCAGAGCUUAAUCUUAGUGGAUGCUCAGAACUAGCAAAUCUUCCAAACAACAUCUAUUAUCUGGAAUCUCUUAAAUGGAUUAACCUAGAACGUUGCUAUAUGCUGAAUAAAUCCCCAGUACUGAACCCGAGGUGUUCAGAAGUAGAAGAAAUAGCAUUUGGUGGAUGUCUCUGUUAAAAACAGAAAAGACUACAAUGAAAAACAGAGUAUAAGAGAGUUUGGUUCACACUAGUUUUUGCAGUCAAUCCACUAAUAUUCAAAGAACACGAUGGCCCUUUUUAAAGGCUUUACAAGAUAACUGAAAUGAAAUAAAUAGCCACGAUUUUACAGCACCUGCAAUCGUGGGAGUUAAUUAUUUUGAACGUGCAACGUUACUUCCUUCAUAACAAGAACCGUUAUGCAAGUGAAGCAAUAAACAAGGAAGACUGAAGAAAAUCCUAACAACUUAAAGAAAACGUCAACUUUAACAUCCUCCCUUAGACUAAAUACUAUUAUCAUUUAGUCUACUGCUGGAUAAGAACAAACACCCAACAUAUCUCGCAGCUUUAAGAAAACGUCAAGUUUCAAAGGUUUUGUAAGAAUGUCUGCAAUUUGCUUAUGAGUUGAACACUGAACCAACUCCACAAUUCCUUCCCUUGUAAGAUCACGGAGAAAGUGAAAACGAAUAUCAAUGUGCUUGCUACGACCAUGCAGAAUUGGAUUUUUUGAGAGCUUAAUGGCUGAUACGUUGUCACAAUAUACCACUGUAGAUUUGCUUUGAUCAUGACAUAGUUCUUUUAGAAUUCUCCUUAAACAGACAACUUGACAAGCACUAUAUGCUGCAGAAAUAAACUCAGCCUCAGUGGUGGAAAGGGUAACCACUGGCUGUUUUUUCGAAGACCAGGACACAGCACCAGAGCUCAUCAGAAAUACAUACCCCGAAGUGCUCUUUCUGUCAUUUUGAUCCCCUGCGUAAUCACUAUCAGUGUAUCCCAAGAGCUCAUGAUUUCCUUCUUUCUUGUAGAACACCCCGAGGCUACUGGUUCCCUUUACAUAUCGCAAGACUCUCUUUGCUGCCUGUAGAUGCAUUUUAGUGGGAUGUUCCAUGUAUCUACUGAUCAGACUCACAACAAAUGUUAUAUCAGGACGUGUGGCUGUCAGAUACAUAAGAAUGCCAACUAUUUUUUUGUAGAGUGUGCUGUCAAUCCUUACUCUAUCUUCAUCCUUGCUGAGUUUAUGCCCAGGAACAACUGGAUUUUUCACUGGAUUGCAUUGAUCCAUUUUGAACCUGUCAAGCACCUCCUGUGCGUAUUUUCGUUGUCCAAUGAAAACACCAUCUGGUCGUUGCAACACCUCAAUGCCAAGGAAAUACUUCAUCUUUCCAAGAUCAGUCAUCUCAAAUUCAUUCAUCAUGGAUUGUUUGAAAUCUUUGAACAUAGCUGCAUCAUUUCCAGUAAAUAUAAGGUCAUCAACGUAAAGACAAACAAAUAAUGUUGUACCUCCAUCCGUUGUUUUGAUGAACAAAGUAUGUUCAUAGGGGCAUUUUUUGAAACCUGCACUUAAGAAAUAAGUCUCUAUACGGCUGUACCAAGCUCUAGGAGCUUGUUUAAGACCAUACAAGGCUUUCUUAAGUUUGUACACCUUGUAUUCAUGGCCUGUUUUCUCAUAGCCAGGAGGUUGGGUGACAAACACUUCUUCAUUCAGUUCUCCGUUUAGAAAAGCAGACUUGACGUCUAGUUGAUAGAUUAUCCAACCUUUCUGAGCAGCAAGCGAAAUCACAACUUGAAUGGUGUCUAGCCUAGCAACUGGUGCAAAUACCUCAGCAUAAUCUACUCCAUACUGUUGGCUGUAACCUUUUGCAACGAGUCUUGCCUUGUACUUAUCUACUUCUCCUUUCUCAUUGAGUUUUGUCUUGUAAACCCACUUGACACCGAUAACUCUGCUGCCAAUUGGUAACUCUGUCAGUUCCCAAGUAUUAUUUCUUUCUAUGGCUUCAAUUUCUGAGUUCAUGGCCUGCCUUCAUUUCACAUUCUUCACUGCAUCUUCAAAAAAAAUUGGAUCACUGUCAACAGACAAUGCCAAAUAAGCAAAGUUGGAGACUUCUUCCUCAGAGAGACCUUGUCCACUUUCAUAGUCUUGCAUCCAUACUGGUGGUCUUCGUUGUCUUAAGUCAUGAGGUGAGUUCUCAUUAGUUUCCUCAUGAGAUGAGUCAUCCUAAGCAGCAGCAGUACCAUGAUCAACAUGAUCCAUUUCUUCGUUUUGAGCUGCAAUACCAUGAUCAGUUGUUUCACUACCCUCACUUUCUUCAGUGCUGUUAGCUUCAGAUUCCUCUUCAUUGGCACCAACACCUGUGCCCUCUCCUUCAUCUUGUUCCCACACAAGAUCAGAUACAAUUUCUUUGUUAUAACAAACCUCCCAAUCCCAACGUUGAUCUUCUUCAAAAACAACAUCUCUGCUUAUAAUUAUUUUAUGAGAAAUAUGAUCAAAUAAUCUGUAAGCUUUGGACUCGUCACUUACCCCAAAGAAUAUAAAUUUUCGGCUCUUGUUGUCAAGUUUCACUCUUUUGUUAUUAGGGACAUGAACGUGAGAUAUACAUCCAAAGACUCUGAAAUGACUUACUGAUGGUUUGAUGCCGCUCCAGGCCUCUUCUGGGGUCUUACUUCUCACAGCAAACGUGGGACUUCUAUUGAGAAUAUGCACAGUCCAGUUAACUGCUUCAGGCCAAAAUGUGUUUGGAACCUGCUUCCCAGAAAGCAUGCAACGUACCAUAUUCAUAAUUGUUUGAUUCUUCCUCUCGGCAACGCCGUUCUGCUGGAGUGUGUAUGCAGCUGUUAGCUGUCUUUGAAUCCCAUUCACACCACAAAAAUUAGUGAAGUCUUGUGAUGUGAAUUCUCCUCCACGAUCGGUACGUAGUGCUUUGAUGCAUGCUUCUGCUUCUUUUUCAACCUUAGCUUUAUAGUGUUUAAAAACAACAAAGGCUUCACUCUUUUCAACCAAAAAAUACACCCAAGUUUUUCGACUGAAAUCAUCUAUGAAAGUGAGGAGAUACCUCUUUUUGCUGUUUGACAUUGGAUUGAUUGGCCCGCAGAUAUCAGCAUGUACUAGCUGAAGAAUACUUGAUGCCCUCCAUGUGCUGACCUUUGGAAAUGGAUCUCUUCGUUGUUUGCCCACUAAGCAAUCUUCACAGACUUUAGAAGGGAUGCUAAACUGUUGUGGCAUGCCCUCUACCAUCUUUUUCUGUUGAAGAACUUGGAGACCAGUCCAACCUAGGUGCCCAUAUCGACAAUGCCAAAGAUGAGAUUGGUCUGUGAUAAGGGAGACAAAACACUUUUGUUCCUUGGACUUAUAUUUAGCAAUGAGAAUGAACAUUCUGUUAUGUGACAUGGCAGUUUCGAUGAUGAAGCCCCUAUUUGGAUGAAAAAUCUUACAGGUUCCAUGUUGCAUGAGAACUGCAAGACCUUUCUCUUGUAGCUGCCCAAUGCUCAGUAGAUUGUUCUUCAGGUCUGGCACAUAAAACACCUCAGUAAUCACAUGCAUAAUUCCAUCUAUCUCCAUUCGAAUACUGCCCUUUCCUUGUACUUGUAAGCUUGCAUCAUUUCCCAGUUUAACUGAGUCUUUGAAUUCUUCAUUAAAAACAUCAAACAACUCCUUUUUACCACACAUAUGGUUGCUGCACCCUGAAUCCAGAAACCAUAUGCAUUCACUUCUGACUUGUUUAUCAUCCACGUACGCCAUGAGUAACAUUUCUUCACUGGUCUCAGCAAAAUAUGCCUGCUUCUCCUUCUUGGUACAUUCCCAUUGAAAAUGGCUAAGUCCAUGACAAUUGUAACACUCAAUCAUGGAUUUGUCAAAAACAGACCGGCCUCGUCCUCUUCCUCUUCCUCUUCCACGACUCCAAUUUCUUCCUCCUGGUUGAACUGCAUUUGUAACUUGUAGUGCUUGUUCAUCCAACGUAUGCCUGCUCAUCCGUUGUUCAUGAACGAGCAAAUUGCUUUGAAGCUCGUCAAUGGACAAAACAUCAAUAUCAUUUGAUUCCUCAAUUGAGCACACAACAUAAUCAAAUUUUGGAGUCAUGGAUCUUAAGAUCUUCUCAAUAACUACCACAUCAUUCAUCUGUUCUCCAUGAAUUCUCAUCUUGUUAAUAAUAGUGAGAGUUCGUGCAAAAUAAUCAUUCACUGAUUCUCCCAUUUUCAUGUGAAGUACCUCAAACUCUUUGUAAAGAGCUUGCAGCUGGGCACGUUUGACUCUGGCUGUGCCUUGAUACUUCUGUUUCAAGGAGUCCCAAAUGUCUUUCGACGUGUCUUUCUUCAAAAUUGUCUCCAAUAUCGAUCGAUCAAUGGCUUGAAAUAGAUAGUUCUUCACCUUCAGAUCCUUUAGCCUAUGAUCUUCGAUUGUCUUUCUUUGUUCUUCUGUAGGAUCCAUCCCUUCUGCUGCUGCAGGGAUCCCAGUCGCUACCAAACUCCAGUAUUCCUUGGAUCGCAAGAAGUUCUCCAUGAGCAUGCUCCAAUGAUCAUAAUGCCCAUCAAACUUAGGAAUGGCUGGCUGCACAAAACUACUUUCACUCGCCAUGAACUUCACUCACUGGACUUAUGUUUCUUAAAACUUUUGAUCAAACCCCGUGUGGAGGCUCUGAUACCAAAUGUUAAAAACAGAAAAGACUACAAUGAAAAACAGAGUAUAAGAGAGUUUGGUUCACACUAGUUUUUGCAGUCAAUCCACUAAUAUUCAAAGAACACGAUGGCCCUUUUUAAAGGCUUUACAAGAUAACUGAAAUGAAAUAAAUAACCACUAUUUUACAGCACCUGCAAUCGUGGGAGUUAAUUAUUUUGAACGUGCAACGUUACUUCCUUCAUAACAGGAACCGUUAUGCAAGUGAAGCAAUAAACAAGGAAGACUGAAGAAAAUCCUAACAACUUAAAGAAAACGUCAACUUUAACAGUCUCCAAUAUUUGAAUUUGGGGGCUUCUGGCGUGUCAGAAAUUCCCGGUAGCAUAGGCUCUUUGGUGUCGCUGAGAGAUUUGAGAUUAUCUUGUAAUGAUUUUGAGAGGAUACCUGCAAACAUCAAGCAACUUCCCAUGCUAAUUAAACUCGAUUUGCAUGGUUGUGAGAGGCUUCAACAUUUACCAGAGCUUCCAUCGAGUCUACAGGUUUUAAUGGCGUCAUAUUGCAUCUCUCUAAGAUCAUUAGCAAGUAUAUUCAUACAAGGUGAGAAAGAGUAUGCAGCUGCUUCUCAGCAAUUCAAUUUCUCUAAUUGUCUCAAAUUGGAUCAGAAUGCAUGCACUCGAAUUAUGGAAGAUGCCCAUUUAAGAAUUCGACGCAUGGCAUCAUCAUUGUUUAAUCGGGUGAAUUCUUCUUCCCUCGAUCUUGCUUUAAAAAAAAACCAUGAUAAUUUUGUAAAUGUAUCUCACAUUCUCACUCUCUUCGGUGCAGGAAUAUUUUGGUAAGCCAAUUAGAGUUAGGCUGUGUAUUCCUGGGUUGGAAGUCCCGGAGUGGUUCUGUUAUAAAAAUACAGGAGGAUCUUCAUUAAAUAUUCCAGCUCAUUGGCACCGUACUACUAACACUGAUCAGUUCCUGGGAUUCACCUUCUGCGCUGUUGUUUCAUUUGGCCACAGUAAGAAAAAGCGUCCCGUUAAUAUUAUAUGUGAAUGCCAUUUGAUAACCCAAGGUGGAAACCAGAGUGAUCUCAAUUUCUACUGCUAUGAAGAAGUUGAAAGAAAGGAGCGGUGUUUAUGGGAAAGGGAUCAUGUUUUCAUCUGGAGUAUCAACUCUAACUGCUUUUUCAAGGAGGCCUCGUUUCAUUUCAAACCACUGUGGGGAACUGCUGAUGUGGUGGUUAAGUGUGGAGUCCAUCCACUGUUUGUCCAAGACUGUUGAUGAAUCCUCUGUUAUUCAAAGAAUGUGCAUGGUGUCCAUGUUCAUGUGUUCAAAGAGCCCCCCUGCCUUCACUUAUGCUUCUUCGGCUGGAACUAUACAGGCGACGUCUCAAGGUUUGUCUACUAUCCAGUGAUCGGAUUUUUGAGUGUCUUUGGUCUCUGUGAGCUAGCCUUUAUAAAAAAGCAGAAGGCAAAUAGAUGAUGCAUAAAGUUUUACUGGUGUAUUACAGGCUCUUUGAAUUGAUUUAACAAGCAAACAAAGCCACAGCUGUGGUUUACUUCUUAUGUCUUAUCGUUAACCUGUUCUUGCAUUGAUUCUGCAGUGUCUUGGAGGUGCCUUACGAUUGUUCAGCCGAGGUAGACUUGCUGUAUUCACUUAUCGUUAAAGCAAUCGAUUCCAGAAGCCAAGGAAGCAACCAGAGACUUCAAGCAAACAUGUUGAUUGGUUUUGAUAUUGAAACACCCAGUACAUUCGUUUUGACAUUUUCACUUUCAGAUUUUUUGUUCUGCUCAGGACUCAAAACUCAACACUAAAUAUGUGAGAUUUUCUGAUAUCAUUCAAUUGGACAUCUCAACUCCUUGAAUUAUGUAUCCUUUAAGUUCUCUGAAUGAUGUGUCCCCUACUUCCUUGAGUGACAUGAAGGAUUUGUAUGGUAUAUUUGCAGUUCAGGCAUGUCAAAGUUUCAUGUUUUUGUUCUUUUGGGGAUGUAUGGUUUGUACUCCUCUUAUUAACUUUAUGUUCAUUGUGAAUGAAACCAAAGUACAGUAUAAAAACUCUGUUUUCAUGACUAUGGUAAGAAUCUUCUGUCCUAAGAAAGGUGUCAUGUCAUGUAUAUUACAAAUUACCUGUCAAGGUUCAGACAGUUAAAAUCUUAUGCAUCUGCAUUUCUACACUGGAAAUUAUCACCUAAAGUCUAAUUUCUACUGAUAUAGACCUCUAUCAAACAGGUGGGAAAAGAGGAUUGAGGAGUAGUGUAUCAGACUUCAUUAUUAUUAUUGCUUGAUGACUCGUAUUCAGAUCAUUAAUUACUCACUGUGGCCCUCAGCUCAGGUUUCUGACAUGUAUAGUUCACAGAGUGAAGACCAUAGAAGACUUAUCUAGAUUACCGUGGAAGAAAAAUGAUGUGGUUGUCAAUGACAAUGGACAAAGUGUGAUAGCAUCAUAUGUUAAGAGAAAAACAGUAAAUUCUUCAGUGGAAACUUUAAUCAUGGUCUAGCAAGGGUUGUCUGGAAAAAGAUUCCGGAAGACCACCAGUAUGCGCAAGGAAAUCACUGCUUGGCAGUGGGACAUCCUACUUUUUGACUAGUUUAUACACCCAGCCAGCGUUUAACACAAGAUAGAGACACAAGAUAGAGCUCAACUUUUCCUCAAUAAUUGAUUGGAAAUUGGCAUGCCACUCUCUCAUCAAUUAUUUAAGAUUUGAUACAGGAGAUGGGAACAUGAUUGCUAUUAUCCACAAAAAAAAAAAAAAAAAUUAGUACGCUGUUAAACCAUAAACAUUCCUUCCUGGAAACCGACCUCAACUUUUCCUCACCGACAAAGGCAAGAAAAAGGAAAAGAAGAUUGAUGACUAAUUGGUGGUAUGAAACAAGGAAUUUUAACUGGUAAUCUUCUUGAUAUAGACAAAUAUUUUUUUAUAUUUAAAGUGUUAUUUUUGUGUUUUGAAAAAUGUUUUUAAAGAAAAAUAAUUUUUUUAUUUAUUUGUUUUACUUUAAAUUAAUUGUUUUUGGUGGUUUUAAACUGUUUUGAUAUAGUAAUAUUAAAAUUAAAAUUUAAAAAUAUUAUUUUAAUAUAUCUUAAAAAACAAUUUGUGUUGGGUUUGGUUGGAGAUAAUAAUUAAUAAAAUCUAAUUCCCCACGUAUUCUGGUCUAAUUCCUCCAUUAAUUCAACUUUUUAAAAUAAUUAAUUACAAAAAAAUGUUGAGUCUUUGUCUGGUGAGUCAACCCAUGCGAGUCUUUGAUGUUAUACACAUUCCUUCCAGGAAACUGACCUCAACGUCUCUUCCAUGGCACAUUAAGGAAACAAGAGAAAGAAGACGAUAUAUUCUCGUUGUGGCACACAGAGGGUUAAAGAUCAACAAGCUGCCCUUGAUUAAUAACUGGUACAACUUUCUUCCUAUUCGUCCAUUAAUUUCUCUCUGUUUUGGGUUAGAUUCCACUUGUUUGGCCAUUGCUGUAGCAUCAUUCAUGUUCUUUAUAUAUGUUAGUGAGUUUUCCCUUUUAGCUCAAAAUGACUCUGUAAUUAAGAUCUCAGCUACUUUCCCACUGGCUCCUCUCUUUAUAACUUUCAUUGCUCUUCUUUGCUGGGCUAAUAUUUUUCUUCUUAAAUAUCUCUGAUCUGUUCUUUCUAUCUCAUUAUCUCUGAGCCAACAACGACUAAUUAAAUAAGAACCAAAUUGGUUUUUAGUUAUGAAUUUUCUUGUAUUUUAACUGUACCAUGUUCUCUGACAUUUUGAACUUUUAAAGAAUUCUUCUGACAGUUAUAAUUCACUUCUAUCUCCUUCUUUCCGAUUUUCCACAUGUUUUGGGCUUGAACCUCUAAGCUAUAGACCACUAUGAUUGACACCGUUUUCUAGUUGGUGUUAAUAAUAUGGUUUUGGGUUUAAAAAAAUAUAAAAAAUAAAAAAAUUCAUGAACAUGUUUUCUUUGGUUGUAUAUCAUAUAUAGUCAACGUGAUCUUUACUUGUUAUAUUACUGAUCAUUGUAAUUUGUAAUCGUUUUUUUUUCUUUUUUGUUCUUGCAGGGAAUAAUUGUCAGCGGUAGAAAGCUUACUUCUACAUAUAACAAGCAUACAAAAAUAUGGCUUCGUCUUCUUCUCUCACUACUCCAUCUUCCAAGCACGAUGUGUUCCUCAGUUUUAGAGGCACGGACACCCGCAAUAGUGUCACCAGUCAUCUUUAUGAUGCUUUGCAGCGAAACCAAAUUGAUGCUUACAUCGAUGACAAACUUGAUAGAGGAGAAAAGAUCGAGCCUGCCCUCUUGGAAAGGAUUGAAGAGUCAUGUAUUUCGCUAGUCAUUUUCUCUGAAAAUUAUGCAGAUUCUACUUUCUGUUUGAGGGAACUCUCCAAGAUUCUUGAGUGCAUGGAGACCAAACAACAGAUGGUCUUACCAGUUUUUUACCGACUUGAUCCAAGCCAUGUUCAAAAUCUGACUGGGAGCUAUGGAGAUGCACUUUGCAAGCAUGAAAGAGAUUGCAGUUCUGAAGAAGUACAGAGUUGGAGACAUGCUUUGAAAGAAAUAGCUAAUCUCAAGGGCUGGGAUUCAAACUUCAAUAAGUGAGUUAUUAAUUUAGUUACAGCAUAUUAAACCUCAACUUAUUUAACCAUUUUGUUCGAGAAUCAAUGUUGUGUUUGAUGUUAUGAUAAACUUUCUUAGGUUAUGACAGCAUGUCUUUGUUCUUUAUUUAUUAUGCACUGCAGGGAUGAGACCGAGCUAAUUCAGGAAAUCGUUACUGACAUUCAAAAGAAAUUGAACCGUGAGCUGUCACCCUCAUUUGAUUCAAAACGCCUUGUUGGAAUGAAAUCACGCGUUGAAGACAUCGAAUCAUUACUAUCCUUUGGAUCAACCGGAGUGCUCAUUGUGGGAAUCUGGGGGAUGGGUGGUAUAGGUAAGUCAACAACGGCUGAUGUUGUGUAUCAUCGAAACCGUAGUAAAUUUGAAGGCCAUUGCUGUUUCCAAGAUGUUAGGGAAGAAUCACGGAAGCAUGGAGUAGAUCAUGUAAGACAGGAAAUUCUUGGUGAAGUAUUAGAGAAAAAAGAUAUGACUAUACGCCCAAUAGGUUUACCCCCGGACAUUAAGCAAAUGCUUCAAAGAAAAAAAGUCCUCAUAGUUCUUGAUGAUGUCAAUGAUCCACAAGAUUUAAAAUAUUUACUAGGAGAGGAUGGUUUGUUUGGCCAAGGAAGUAGAGUCAUGGUGACAAGUAGAGAUAGGCAAGUGCUUAUAAAUGCAUGUGAUGAAGACAAAAUUUACGAGGUUGAAAUUUUAGAUGAAGACGAUGCACUUCGACUCUUCAGCUUCCAUGCUUUUAAACAAGAUCGUCCCAUAGAAGAAUUUAUUGGGCUAUCAAAAACCGUGGUAAGCUGUGUUAAGGGCAUUCCAUUAGUUCUCGAGGUUUUAGGUAGCAGUCUAUACAAAAAGACUGGUGUUGAAUACUGGGAAAGCAAGGUGGCACAGCUAAGAACAAAUGGUGGCGAGGACAUUAAGAAAUGUUUGGAAAUUUCUUAGGUUACAGUUGCUUGUUUUACUACUAGCCUGUCUUUGUUCUUAAUUUAUUAUGCACUGCAGGGAUGAGAUCAAGCUCAUUGAGGAAAUUGUUUCUGACAUUCAAAAGAAAUUACACCAUGAGACUUCAAGCAAACAUGUUGAUUGGUUUUGAUAUUGAAACACCCAAUACAUUCGUUUUGACAUUUUCACUUUCAGAUUUUGUGUUCUGCUCAGGACUCAAAACUCAACACUAAAUAUGUGAGAUUUUCUGAUAUCAUUCAAUUGGACAUCUCAACUCCUUGAAUUAUGUAUCCUUUAAGUUCUCUGAAUGAUGUGUCCCCUACUUCCUUGAGUGACAUGAAGGAUUUGUAUGGUAUAUUUGCAGUUCAGGCAUGUCAAAGUUUCAUGAUUUUGUUCUUUCGGGGAUGUAUGGUUUGUACUCCUCUUAUUAACUUUAUGUUCAUUGUGAAUGAAACCAAAGUACAGUAUAAAAACUCUGUUUUCAUGAAUAUGGUAAGAAUCUUCUGUCCAAAGAAAGGUGUCAUGUCAUGUAUAUUUCAAAUUACCUGUCAAGGUUCAGACAGUUAAAAUCUUAUGCAUCUGCAUUUCUACACUGGAAAUUAUCACCUAAAGUCUAAUAUCUACGGAUAAAGACCUAUAUUAGAGGAUUGAGUGGUGGUGUAUCAGACUUUAUUAUUAUUAUUGCUUGAUGACUCGUAUUCAGAUCAUUAAUUACUCACUGUGGUCCUCGGCUCAGGUUUCUGACAUAUAUAUUUCAUAGAGUGAAGACCAUAGAAUACUUAUCUAGAUCACUGUGCAAGAAAAAUGAUGUGGUUGUCAAUGACAAUGGACAAAGUAUGAUAACUUCACCUAACUAUCAUCGCCAAGAAGGUAGGAAAAAAGCAUCCACUUGCAGGAAGUUAAUGCGCUCUGCUAGAGUACGUGGUUUGAAUAAUUCAUCAUGCCAUCCUUUACAUAUUAAGUUAAGAUUACCUUACAAGUCUUGGUAAAAAUGCAGCAAAAGUGCAAACCCCUGUGGAGCUUUUUAGCUCUCUCUGAAAACAACCUCACUGGGGUCAUUCCGGCCUUUUUGUCAAACCUGACAGAAUUGACACAACUAGAACUGGCUGUGAACUACUAUACGGGGCAAAUCCCUGUGGAGCUUGGAGCUUUGAGCAGGCUUGAGAUUUUGUUUUUGCACCUGAACUUUCUUGAGGGAACAAUACCUGCAUCACUAAGUAAUUGCACUGCAUUGCGAGCAAUUUAAUUGAUUGAGAAUUGAUUAUCAGGGGAAAUCCCUUCAGAAAUGGGGAACAAGCUCCAAAACUUGCAGAAGUUGUAUUUUAUUAACAACAAUAUUUCUGGUAGGAUUCCAGUGACAUUCUCAAAUCUUUCACAAAUAACUCUGCUUGAUUUGAGUGUCAAUUACUUAGAGGGUGAAGUUCCUGAGGAACUGGGGAAGUUGAACCUUGAAAUCCUUUACCUCCAUAGCAACAACCUGGUUAGCAAUUCUUCUCUUAGUUUUCUUACUGCUCUCACAAACUGUUCAUUUCUGAAGAAACUGCACUUGGGCUCAUGUUUAUUUUCUGGGAGUUUACCUGCUUCCAUUGGAAAUCUUUCAAAAGACCUCUACUAUUUCAAUCUUUUGAGUAACCGUAUAAGAGGAAAGAUUCCAGAUAGUACUGGAAACUUGAGUGGCCUCGUGACCUACAACUGUGGUACAAUCACUUGGACAGGACAAUUCCAGCAACUUUUGGAAAGCUGAAGCUGUUGCAAAGACUAUGUUUGGGGAGAAACAAGCCGCAAGGUUCCAUUGCAGAUGAAAUAGGGCAGAUGGAAAACCUUGGCUUACUUGAUCUUGCCAAUAAUUCCAUAACCUCUCACAGUUGAGAUACCUUUACCUAUCGCAGAACAGCUUAGCAGGAAAUAUUCCCAUCAAACUCAGCCAGUGCUCUCUCAUGAUGCAGCUGGAUUUAUAUUUUAACAGCUUGCAGGGGCCUCUUCCAUCAGAAAUUGGAGUUUUUGCUAACUUGGGGCUCUCCCUCAACCUUUCAAAUAACAAUCUAGACGGGGAAAUACCUGCAACUAUUGGAAAUCUGGUAUCUCUACAAGCUAUUGACUUAUCAGUGUACAGAUUUUCUGGCAUUAUACCAAAGUUCAGUUGGUAGUUGUACGGCUUUGGAGUCCUUGAACCUAUCCAAGAACGUGAUUGAAGGUACAAUUCCAGAGUCAUUGAAACAAAUUGCAUAUUUAAAAGUACUGGAUUUGGCUUUUAAUCAAUUAACAGGCAGCAUUCCAAUCUGGCUAGCCAAUGACUCAGUGAUGAAGAAUUUCAACCUGUCCUAUAAUUGAUUAUCAGGAGAAGUUUCAAGUAUGGGAAGGUUUAAAAACCUUCCUCUAAAUUCUUCGGCAUGAAAGAUCGCAUGUGUAAACUAGACUGGAUAUUUCAUUCACCUUGCAGUCGAUUAAGAUCAUUUGACCAAAAUGAUUAUUUUCUUUUUUCAUUUUGCUAACAGUGCUUUGUUGCUUGUAAACAGAAUAUGGACAGAGUAAUGAAGUAUCAGUUAGAGGAGACGUAUACAGCUUCGGUAUCAUGCUGCUGGAACUGAUAACAAGGCAAAGACCAACAGGAGAAAUGUUCACAGACGGGCUUGAUCUAAGGAAGUGGGUGGGUGCCGCAACCCCUCAUCAUAUUUUGGAUGUGGUAGACAAGUCAUUGAAGCGAGAGGCACAUUCAAGUGGUGCUUUAGAGAAGCUAAAGCAAUGCUGUGUUCUUGUGAUCGAUGCAGGAAUGAUGUGCACAGAAGAGAAUCCACAAAGCCGUCCUUCCAUAUCUUUGAUCUCCCGAGGGCUCCAAAACCUUUGGAAAGCGAUGGAAUUUGGGAAAUGAAGCAUGGUUAAGCUAAAUAAAUAGCGGUGAUGAUUGUGUCAGUGAAAAAUAAGAUGUUGAAUGAGUUUGGUGAGAUGUUAUUAGAUAAUCAUCAAGGUUUACAUCGUUUAUUUCUCUCCCUUGCUUGCUUUAACAAAAAUAAUAUCUAUGUUAUGCUUUUGGCCGAAGUAUAAAUAAGUGUUCUUCUCUCUCUCUCUCUCUAAGCAGUUAGGUGGCAGCAUUAAAUCUAUUUUAAUACUAGGAAUUCGUCUCUUUCUUGCUGCUUAGGAAAAAUGGAAAACAAAUAAGAACUGAUUUUGAAUGAUCAAGUUCCCAAUGGGAGAAUUGUUCCGCAAGAACAAUAUGCUCUCUCUGCUACCUGCAAAGCAUCAGUUCCGUAUACUGAUUUUAACAAAGGAAUGAGCAAAGAAUAGAAGCCAUCAUCUCCACAAGUUUUUCAGUGAAAAACUAAAACACCAUUCACUUGUAUGGAAGAUGUUUCCACAAUAAAUUUGGUGAUUCAAUCCACAACAGCUUCGAACAGACUGAUGGCAAGUUCAUCUUAACGUCUAGUAUGAAGAACAUUUCAAAAGUUGUUGUGGAUUUUUUUUCAAAAGAUCAGGCCAUAGUUUUAUUUCAACAUUUCAUGUCUAGUAUGAAGAACUAAACAUGACACAUUACCUGUUGAUAUAAUUAACAACAAUGCAGCAGCAAAUUGAAACAGAAUGUCAUCAUACAUGAAAAUGCAGGUUGCCAUACUCAGAUUUAGAACCAACCGAAUGAUUACCAUCAAGAACAUUUGGCCAUUCAGGAUCUUUCUUUCAAGCAGAAAAGAAAAUCACCAGGAAAUCACUGCUUGGCUGUGUUCAAAAAUCAAAAGGGGACACAGAAAGUAAAGCAUCCGCGUACACGACGCUUUAACUCCUUUUUGCCGGUGGGACAUCCUACUUUUCGACUAAUUUAUACACCCAGCCAGCGUUUAACACAAGAUAGAGCUCUACAUCAAUAAUUCAUAAGAAAUUGGCAUGCCACUUUCUCAUCAAUUAUUUAAGAUAUGAUACGGGAGAUAAGAAAAUGAUUGCUAUUAUCUACACAAAAAAUAAUAAUUAGUACGCUGUUAAACCAUAAACAUUCCUUCCUGGAAACCGACCUCAACUUUUCCUCACCAACAAAGUAAAGACAAAGGAAAAGAAGAUAAUCGUUUUGAAUUGAGGUUGAAAUUUUUUUUUUUUGUUAAAAUUUAUAUAUUUUUUAGUAUUUUUACUUUAUUGAUAUCAAAAAUAAAUUUUUUUAAAAAUAAAAAUAUUAUGUUAAUAUAUUUUCAAAUAAAUUCUUUAAUUAAAAAUCAAACUUUAAAUGAUUCCGGACUAUAUUUUCAAAUUUUUUGUUUUGUUAAAAUGUUUUAGCGUGUAUUUUGGCUGUAAUAAACAGUUUAUUAAAGUCAUGAAAACUAGGCCAAUAUUUAAAAAAUUCCAAAAAAAAUUAUUUUGGUUUUUUUAAUAUCUGAGAUUAUAAACUUACAUGUAAGACGUACUUCCACUAUUAACAUUAGUUUCUUUUGUUGACGUUAGAAUAGUUAGAUUUUAUCCGAUAAGAUAAGAAUCUUCUUACUGAGGAUAACUUUUCUUAAACCGUAAACAGACCAACAAUUAGAAAAUACGAUAAAAUCAUAACAUAUAUUAGAUAAUAAAACAAUGUAGCUUAUCUUAGAUAGGACGUAUUUGGAGUGCUAAUACAUUCUUUUUACACAACCAGUCCUCAUACCAAUCUUUGAAAUCAUUUAGAAUUUUUAGUGAUUAAAAUAAUAAAUAGCGACUCUUAUUUUUUUUCAUUAAAAAAAACAAGGAUUUAUUAUCUAUCUAUAUUUACCAGAUAGGUACAUCACCUGAGAAUAGACAAUUAUUACAACGCCACACACUUGCACCAUAUGGUUUUGUACUCCUCUUAUUAACUUUAUGUUCAUUGUGAAUGAAACCAAAAUAGAGUAUAAAAACUCUAUUUUCAUGACUAUGGUAAGAAUCUUCUGUCCAAAGAAAGGUGUCAUGUCAUGUAUAUUUCAAAUUACCUGUCAAGGUUCAGACAGUUAAGAUCUUAUGCAUCUGCAUUUCUACACUGGAAAUUAUCACCUAAAUUCUAUUUUUUACUGAUAUAGACCUCUAUCAAACAGGUGGGAAAAGAGGAUUGAGGAGUGGUGUAUCAGACUUCAUUAUUAUUAUUGCUUGAUGACCGUAUUCAGAUCAUUAAUUACUCACUGUGGCCCUCAACUCAGGUUUCUGACAUGUAUAGUUCACAGAGUGAAGACCAUAGAAGACUUAUCUAGAUUACUGUGGAAGAAAAAUGAUGUGGUUGACAAUGACAAUGGACAAAGUGUGAUAGCUUCAUAUGUUAAGAGAAAAGUAGUAAAUUCUUCAGUGGAAACUUUAAUCAUGGUCUAGCAAGGGUUUUCUGGAAAAAGAUUCCGGAAGACCACCAGUAUCCACAGGGAAAUCACCAGGAAAUCACUGCUUGGCUGUGUUCAAAAAUCAAAAGGGCACACAGCAAGUCAAGCAUCCGCGUGCACGACGUUUAACUCCUUUUGGCCGGUGGGACAUCCUACUUUUUGACUAAUUUAUACACCCAGCUAGCGUUUAACACAAGAUAGAGCUCUACAUCGAUAAUGACUGAUAUUUUAAAACCAUAAACAUUCCUUCCUGGAAACCGACCUCAACUUUUCCUCACCGACAAAGUAAAGAAAAAGGAAAAGAAGAUAGAUGAAGAAUGGAGGUUGAACAUUUUUUUUUUUUUGUUAAAAUUUAUAUAUUUUUUAAUAUUUUUGGAUUAUUUUUAUUUAUUUAUAUCAAAAAUAAAUUUUAAAAAAUAAAAAAAUAUUAUUUUAAUAUAUUUUUAAAUAAAUACUUUAAAAAUCAAACUUUAAAUCAUCCCGGACUAUAAUCCAUUUGGUUUACUUGACUAUUAAUGAUCCGGGCCGGGAUACAAUAACUAUGACAAAUAGUCAUAUUUUCUCUUUUUUUAGUUCUAAAUUUCUAUUCACAUUAUCAAGUGUUUUUGAUUUUAGACAAGGAAGUGAACUUAGCUCAACUAGAUGAAAUAGAUAGUGAAAUAGAGAGAUUAUUGUAGAGUUUAAUCUUACAACAAGGGAGUGAACAAUUUUUUUCUCCUAAAAAAUCCACAUAAUUCGUGGUAUGAAACAAGGAAUUUUAAUCGGUAAUCUUCAUGAUAUUAACAAGUAUUUUUAUUUAUUUAAAGUUUGUUAUUUUUGUAUUUUAAAAAUAUUUUUGAAGAAAAAUAAUUUUUUUUAUUUUUUUUGCUUUACUUUAAAUUAAUUGUUUUAGAUUGUUUUGAUGUGAUAAUAUUAAAAUUAAAUUUUAAAAAUAUAAAAAUAUUAUUUAAAUAUAUUUUUAAAUAAAAAAUAUAUGUAAUUUGUGGGGUUUGGUUGGAGAUAAUAAUUAAUAAAAUCUAAUGCAUACCUGGAUAAUCUCCAUUAAUUCAACUUUUUAAAAUAAUUAAUUACAAAAAAAAUGUUGAGUCUUUGUCUGGUGAGUCAACCCAAGCGAGUGUUCUAUUAAAUUAUUAAUUUUCAUUCCCAACUUAUAAUUGGUUAGAUAAUCCCCACUUGCUCAGCGUUUGCUAGUAAACAAUAGUAGUUUGAUGUUAUACACUUUCCUUCCAGGAAACUGACCUCAACGUCUCUUCCAUGGCACAUUAAGGAAACAAGAGAAAGAAGACGAUAUUGUUUCCUCGUUGUGGCACACAGAGGGUUAAAGAUCAACAAGCUGCCCUUGAUUAAUAACUGGUACAACUUUCUUCCUAUUCGUCCAUUAAUUUCUCUCUGUUUUGGGUUAGAUUCCACUUGUUUGGCCAUUGCUGUAGCAUCAUUCAUGUUCUUUAUAUAUGUUAGUGAGUUUUCCCUUUUAGCUCAAAAUGACUCUGUAAUUAAGAUCUCAGCUACUUUCCCACUGGCUCCUCUCUUUAUAACUUUCAUUGCUCUUCUUUGCUGGGCUCAUAUUUUUCUUCUUAAAUAUUCCGACUCUGUUCUUUCUAUCUCAUUAUCUCUGAACCAACAACGACUAAUUAAAUAAGAACCCAAUUGGUUUUUAGUUAUAAAUUUUCUUGUAUUUUUACUGUACCAUGUUUUCUGACAUUUUGAUCUUGUCCAACAAAUUUUUUGAAGAAUUCUUCUGACAGUUAUUAUUCACUUCUAUCUCCUUCUUUCUGAUUUUCCACAUGUUUUGGGCUAGAACCUCUGAGCUAUAGAUCACUAUUAUUGUCUGAUCAUUCUAAUACACUCUUGUUUGAUCAUAUUUAGCCUUUAUUUAUGAGAUAUAAGAACUCAAAUAAUCUCCCAACUGUCCUCCAUCCGCUAGCUUCUCUCUUUAUUUAUCAGGUGUAAGAUCUCAACUAGUCUUUGACUAAUAGUGAAUCAAUUUUUGCCAUCUGCCUUCUGAUCUCACUUCUCCAUUUGAAUUUUCCAGUUGGUGUUAAAUAAUAUGGUUUUCGUUUUAACGAAUAUUCAUCGACAUGGCUCUUACUAGUUAUAUUACUCAUCAUUAUAAUUAUAUCGUUUGUUUUCUUAUUGCUUGUUACAGGGAAUAAUUAUCACAAGUAGAGCUUACUUCUACAUAUAUCAAGCAUAUACAAAUAUGGCUUCCUCUUCUUCUCCCACUACUCCAUAUUUGAAGCACGAAGUGUUCCUCAGUUUUAGAGGCACAGACACCCGCAAUAGUUUCACCAGUCAUCUUUAUGAUGCUUUGCAGCGAAACCAAAUUGAUGCUUACAUCGAUAAUAAACUUGAUGGAGGAGAAAAGAUCGAGCCUGCCCUCUUGGAAAGGAUUGAAGAGUCGUUUAUUUCGCUAGUCAUUUUCUCUGAAAAUUAUGCAGAUUCUACUUUCUGUUUGAGGGAACUCUCCAAGAUUCUUGAGUGCAUGGAGACCAAACAACAGAUGGUCUUACCAGUUUUUUACCAACUUGAUCCAAGCCAUGUUCAAAAUCUGACUGGGAGCUAUGGAGAUGCACUUUGCAAGCAUGAAAGAGAUCGCAGUUCUGAAGAAGUAGAGAGUUGGAGACGUGCUUUGAAAGAAAUAGCUAAUCUCAAGGGCUGGGAUUCAAACGUUAUUAAGUAAGUUAUUAAUUUAGUUACAGCAUAUUAAGCCCCAACUUAUUUAAACAAUUUUGUUCGAGAAUCAAUGUUGUGUUUGAUGUUAUGAUAAAAUUUAUUAGGUUAUGACAGCAUGUGUUUGUUCUUUAUUUAUUAUGCGCAGGGAUGAGACCAAGCUAAUUCAGGAAAUUGUUUCCGACAUUCAAAAGAAACUUAGCCAUGAGCUGUCACUCUCAUUCGAGGAAGAAGGCCUUGUUGGAAUGGAAUCACGCGUUGAAGACAUCGAAUCAUUACUAUCCUUUGGAUCAACCGGUGUGCUCAUCGUGGGAAUCUGGGGGAUGGGUGGUAUAGGUAAGUCCACAACGGCUGAUUUUGUGUAUCGUCGAAACCGUAGUAAAUUUGAAGGCCAUUGCUGUUUCCGAAAUGUGAGGGAAGAAUCACGGAAGCAUGGAGUAGAUCAUGUCCGACAGAAAAUUCUUGGUGACGUAUUAGAGAAGAAAGAUAUGACUAUACGCACAAUAGUGUUACCCCCGGACACUAAGCGAAUGCUUCAAAGAAAAAAAGUCCUCAUAGUUCUUGAUGAUGUCAAUGAUCCACAAGAUUUAAAAUAUUUACUAGGAGAUGAUGGUUUGUUUGGCCAAGGAAGUAGAAUCAUGGUGACAAGUAGAGAUAGGCAAGUGCUUAUAAAUGCAUGUGAUGAAGACAAAAUUUACGAAGUUAAAAUUUUAGAUGAAGACGAUGCACUUCGACUCUUCAGCUUACAUGCUUUUAAACAAGAUCGUCCCAUAGAAGGAUAUGCUGGGCUAUCAAAAACCGUGGUAAGCUGUGUUAAGGGCAUUCCAUUAGUUCUCGAGGUUUUAGGUAGCAGUCUAUACAAAAAGACUGGUGUUGAAUACUGGGGAAGCAAGGUGGCACAGCUAAGAACAAAUGGUGGCGAGGAAGUUGAGAAAUGUUUGGAAUUGUGUUAUCAGGAAUUACGCGACACAGAAAAGAAAAUAUUUCUUGACAUAGCAUGUUUCUUUGGACGGUGCAAAAGGGAUCACCUCCAACAAACACUAGAUCUGGAAGAAAGAAGUGGGAUAGAUCGUCUCAUUGAUAUGUGUCUCAUAAAAAUUGUUCAAAACAAGAUCUGGAUGCAUGAUGUGCUAGUAAAACUAGGGAAAAAAAUUGUCCACCAAGAAAACGUUGACCCUAGAGAACGUAGCAGGUUGUGGCAGGCUGAUGAUAUCUAUCGAGUAUUAACAACUCAGGUAGCGUUUCCAAGUUAUUUAAUUGACUGUUGCUUGACUUUCUUGUUUAUAGCUAAGAGAUGUAGCCUUGGACAAGAAUAAAUAUCAAGGCCAGCUUCUUCUUCUUCUUCUUUAUUUGUUAUAUAUAUACUGAUUUACACUUUGCUUUUGUUAAAUAGAGGACUGGAUCAAAAGUGGAAAGCAUUUCCCUCAACUUGCUUGCAAUUACUGAAGAAAUGAUCUUAAGUCCUACAGCAUUUGAAGGGAUGUAUAAUUUAAGAUUGCUCAAAAUCUACUACCCACCUUUCUUAAAGGAUCCCUCAAAGGAGCAAAUUAUGAACGGAAAGAGGGUCGGAAUCCGCCUUCCAGGAGGGCUUCACUUUCUUUCAAGUGAGCUAAGGUUUCUCUACUGGUAUAAUUACCCUUUGAAAUCCAUGCCAUCAAAUUUUUUCCCUAAGAAACCUUUUCAACUUGAAAUGCCUUGUAGCCAGCUUGAACAAUUUUGGAAUGAAUACCAGGUAUAUAUGCUUUAUCACCCUUCUUCUUCAAAUAGAGGACUUUUUUGAAAUUAUUCAUAACAUUUAUCUCUUCUUACAUUACUUUUUUUUUUUUUUUACAGCCACUUGAGAUAUUAAAAUUAAUGAACCCCCCUUCCUCAAAGCCGAGCUUAAUUGAUUCAGACCUGUUUAAAGUCCCACACCUUGAGGUUCUACAUCCAGGUAUACCUUCCUCGAUUAAAUACAGCACCAGACUUACCACAUUAGAGCUUCCCAGACUCGAGAGUUUCUAUACUUUGCCAUCAUCAAUUGGGUGCCUCUCUCAACUUGUUAGAUUAAACUUAUCUUCAUGUGAAAGUCUUGCUAGUCUACCGGACAACAUUGAUGAGUUAAAAUCUCUUGUAGAGCUUGAUCUUUAUUCUUGCUCAAAACUAGCAAGUCUUCCAAAUAGCAUUUGCAAGUUGAAAUGUCUUACUAAGCUUAAUCUUGGUCGUCAGCCAAAACUAGCAAGUCUACCUGACAACAUUGGGGAGCUGAGAUCUCUUGUAGAGCUUAGUCUUUCUUCUUGCUCAAAACUAGCUAGUCUACCCGACAGCAUUGGCGAGUUGAGAUCUCUUGAAUGGCUUGAGCUUUAUGGUUGCUCAGAACUAGCAAGUCUACCAGACAACAUUGACAAGUUGAAAUCUCUCGAAUGGCUUCAUCUUAGAGGUUGCUCAGGACUAGCAAGUCUACCGGACAACAUUGGCGCGUUGAAAUCUCUCGAAUCGCUUGAUCUUAGUGAUUGCUCAGGACUAGCAAGUCUACCGGACAGCAUUGGCGCCUUGAAAUCUCUCGAAUCGCUUCAUCUUUAUGGUUGCUCAGGACUAGCAAGUCUACCAGACAGCAUUGGCGCGUUGAAAUCUCUCCAAUCGCUUGAUCUUAAGGGUUGCUCAGGACUAGCAAGUCUACCGGACAACAUUGGCGCGUUGAAAUCUCUCGACUGGCUUCAUCUUUAUGGUUGCUCAGGACUAGCAAGUCUACCGGACAGCAUUGGCGCGUUGAAAUCUCUCGACUCGCUUCAUCUUUAUGGUUGCUCAGGACUAGCAAGUCUACCGGACAGCAUUGGCGCGUUGAAAUCUAUCGAAUCGCUUUAUCUUUAUGGUUGCUCAGGACUAGCAAGUCUACCGGACAACAUUGGCGCGUUGAAAUCUCUCGAAUGGCUUCAUCUUUCUGGUUGCUCAGGACUAGCAAGUCUACCGGACAGCAUUGGCGCGUUGAAAUCUCUCAAAUCGCUUCAUCUUUCUGGUUGCUCAGGACUAGCAAGUCUACCGGACAGCAUUGGCGCGUUGAAAUCUCUCGAAUGGCUUCAUCUUUAUGGUUGCUCAGGACUAGCAAGUCUACCGAACAGCAUUGGCGCGUUGAAAUCUCUCAAAUCGCUUCAUCUUUCUGGUUGCUCAGGACUAGCAAGUCUACCGGACACCAUUGGCGCGUUGAAAUCUCUUCAAUGCCUUGAACUUAGUGAUUGCUCAGGACUAGCAAGUCUACCGGACAGCAUUGGCGCGUUGAAAUCUCUCGAAUCGCUUCUUCUUUAUGGUUGCUCAGGACUAGCAAGUCUACCGGACAGCAUUGGCGCGUUGAAAUCUCUCGAAUGGCUUCAUCUUUAUGGUUGCUCAGGACUAGCAAGUCUACCGGACACCAUUGGCGCGUUGAAAUCUCUCAAAUCGCUUGAUCUUAAGGGUUGCUCAGGACUAGCAAGUCUACCGGACACCAUUGGCGCGUUGAAAUCUCUUCAACACCUUGAUCUUAAUGGUUGCUCAGGACUAAAAAGUCUACCGGAAAGCAUUGGCGAGUUGAAACGUCUUACUACGCUCGAUCUCAGUGGUUGCUUAAAACUAGCAAGUCUUCCAAACAACAUCAUUGAUCUUGAAUUUAAAGGACUUGACAAACAACAUUGUUAUAUGCUGAGUGGAUUCCAGAAAGUAGAAGAAAUUGCAUCAUCCACCUAUAAAUUGGGCUGCCAUGAAUUUUUAAAUUCGGGAAAUUCUUGUGUGUUAAAAACUCAAGAGAGAUUAGGCUCUUUGGUGUCGCUAACACAAUUAAGAUUAUCUCAUAUUGAUUUUGAGAGGAUACCUGCAAGCAUCAAGCAACUUACUAAGCUAAGUACACUCUAUUUAGAUGAUUGCAAGCGGCUUCAAUGUUUACCAGAGCUUCCAUCAACUCUACAAGUUUUAAUCGCAUCAGGUUGCAUCUCUCUAAAAUCUGUAGCAAGUAUAUUCAUGCAAGGUGAUAGAGAAUAUAAAGCUGUUUCUCAGGAAUUCAAUUUCUCUGAAUGCCUCCAACUAGAUCAGAAUUCACACACUAGAAUUGUGGGUGCUGCCCAUUUACGAAUUCAACGCAUGGCAACAUCAUUGUUUUAUCAGGUGAAUUCUUCCUCCCUCGAUCUUGAUUUCUUUAAAGAAAAAAAUCACGAUAAUUUUUUAUAUGUAUCUCACAUUCUCACUCUCUUCGGUGCAGGAAUAUCAUGGUAAGCCAUUAAAAGAAGUCCGAUUGUGUAUUCCUGGGUCGGAAGUCCCGGAGUGGUUCAGUUAUAAAAAUAGAGAAGGAUCGUUAGUACAAAUUCAGCAACCAGCUCAUUGGCAUCGUGGUUUCACUUUAUGCGCUGUUGUUUCAUUUGGCCAAAGCGGGGAAAGGCGUCCCGUUAAUAUUAAAUGUGAAUGCCAUUUGAUAUGCAAAGAUGGAACCCAGAUUGAUCUCAGUUCCUACUACUAUGAAAUAUAUGAAGAAAGGGUGAGGAGUUUAUGGGAAAGGGUGCAUGUGUUCAUUUGGAGUGUCCACUCUAAGUGCUUUUUCAAGGAGGCCUCAUUUCAAUUCAAAUCACCGUGGGGAGCUACUGAUGUGGUGGUUGCGUGUGGAGUCCAUCCACUGUUUGUCAACAAGCCCUAAAAUUGAUGGAAAAUGCUUGACACCGGUAACUUAAUGCUAUGGAUGCAUGGUUUCGCUCGUUGACACUGGUAACUCAUCUUCUCCUCUUCUUUUUCUAUACAAAUAUUUAUGAAACAACUCAAUUAAAAUGAAACCAAAUAGUCUUAUGAAUUAGAGAUGAAAAGGAUAUAUUUAUCAAUUGGAUCCCAUCUAUCACAUAUUAUACCAAUUAACCCCACCAUUAAAAUUUAUGAUAUAAAUGACAUCAUUUUUAGGGGUGGUUCUAAAUUCGUAAUAAAAAUAAAUAAAUAAAAUUCAGGUUUGGUAAGUUAACUCGAGUUAAUUUUUAUUAUUUUUAACAGAUUUUUUUUCUUCUCAAUUUCAUCCUUCAACAGUAAGUUUUGUGGGUUACCAAAGAUGGCUCAAGUUUUUUUUGGUCAUUUUUUAAUUGAUUUUUUUAUUUUCAUCAUUUAACAUUGAGUUGAUUGAGAAUUUGACUUCAUAUUUUUAUUUUAUUUAUUUCUAUAGAUUCCCGAUCUUAUAAUCCGAGUUUAACAAGUUAACCAGGGUUGAAUUGAGAUAUUUUUUUAAUUGAUUUUUUUCAAUUGAAUCUUUCAACAUUAGGUUGAUUGAGAAUUGUAAUUUGUAAUUUAUUUUCUAUAGAAUUACUAAGAUCUCAUGACCCGGGUCGAUGGUUAGCUCGAUUGCCUCAAGGCUUUUUUUUAUUGAAAUUGUAUUUUAUAUUGAAAUUGAGUCAAAUUCGGUGCUGUAGAACUGUAGACAUUUGUAUUUUAUAUUGAAAUUGUUUUGACUCAAAAAGGUUAUUUUGAUUUUAAUGAAUUGUCAGGAGAAACUAUUAAUUCGGAGGAGGAGAGCGUAUCUAAUAGAAUUCGACAAGUUUCCCCAUCUCAGGGUCCAACACUGCCCAUUUUGCCUAUGGACAAACUGGAACUGGAAAGACAUUUACUAUGGAGGGCAGCCCAGAAAAUAGGGGAGUGAACUACAGAACAUUGGAUGAGUUGUUCUCAAGAGAGAAGUGGCAUUAUGAGAUAUGGUCCUUUUUGUUAGUAUGAUGGAGGUUUACAAUGAGAAGAUAAGGGACCCCUUGAUUGAGAGUUCCAACCAACCGCCUAAAAAGUUAGUUUCCUCUUUUAUUGCUACUGUAUUGAUCUGAUAAUCAAAAUAUAGUCAUUUAUGUCAAAAUUUUUGGUUGCAAAAAUUUUAUAUUAAUAAUUUUCUGUAGCACUGAUUUAUAUCAUUUUGCUACUUGGUGAGGGAAAUUAACUAUUGGUGAGGGAAAUUAACUAUUGGUUAAUACAAACAUCAUGCAUGAAGUUCUGUAUCAGCUCAAUUUUCAUUUGAGCACUCGAUAGCAAAUGAUAAUAAAUACCUUGCUCCUCUCUUGUGUAGAUAAGCAUGACAUCUAAUUGGGUUUAGGGUUUAAAAGAUUAUGUAAAGACUCCUAUUUGGAAGCCCACUGGUAUGAAAGAUUUAUAGUCUAACGUUAAGAAAUUGAGUUACAUGAAUGAAGUUUGAUGAAAUUUUAGUUUUCUUACAUGCAUGAAGGUUGGAGAUAAAACAAACUGCUGAAGGAACACAAGAAGUCCCAGGACUUGUUGAAACUCGGGUGACUGGCACGGAGGAUGUGUGGGAUUUACUCAAGUCUGGAAGUCGGGCCAGGUCUGUUGGAUCAACCAGCGCUAAUGAGCUUAGCAGCCGUUCUCAUGGGUAAAAAUGAACUCUGCUUUCUUUUCUUGGUUUAUUCUUUCUAAGAAUAUACUUUAUGGUAUAUCACAUUUAAUAGCAACUAAAUAGUUUUUUGGAUCUGUGAAUCCAAACUAUUCAAGGAAUAUACUGAUUAAUUAAAGUGGUAGUACUAAUGACCACAACAUUGUUGGUCUGUAGUUUUUUGCGAGUAACAGUGAAAGGGGAGAAUUUGGACAAAAGACAAGGAGUCACCUAUGGAUGGUCGAUUUGGCUGGAAGUGAACGUGUGGUGAAAGAUGGAAGGAAUCGCAAUUCAUUAAUAAUUCUCUUUCAGCACUUGGUGAUGUUAUAUCUGCCCUCGCAUCUAAAACUGGCCACAUUCCUUACAGGUCUUUCUCUCACACAGUCACUCUUGUAACAUGCUAUCCAAUUACCAUAUUAAUGAAGAUAUUUGUUUUCUUCCGAUCAGGAACUCAAAGCUAACCCAUAUGCUACAGAGCUCUCUCGGUGAGUAUUAAGUUUACUAUUUUUUAUGGUUACCAGUCAUUCUUAUUGUCUUGUUUGUCAGUAAAUGAUGCUAAGUGAAACAUGAAUGCAGGAGGAGAUUGUAUGUAAGACCUUGAUGUUUGUCCAAAUAAGUCCAAGUGUUACUGACCUUGGAGAGACUCUUUGCUCACUAAAUUUUGCGAGUCGAGUGCGAGGAACUGAAAGCGGUCCUGCCCGCAAACAGGCUGAUCUCACUGAACUUUUCAAAUACAAGCAAAUGGGGUAAAUACAUACUGCUCGUAUUUGAUGAAAUUUCUUUUGUCUCGGUUUCUUUUAUCUUGAUUCAUAUUUUCUUUCUUUUUUCUUUCCUUUUUUAAUUACAAAUAAUCAAGUUGAAAAGUUAAAGCAUGACGAGAAGGAAACAAAGAAGUUGCAGGAUAGCUUGCAAUCAUUGCAAUUGAGGCUUGCUGCUAGAGAACAUAUCUGCAGAUCUCUCCAAGAAAAGGUAAUUAUGAUGGCUUGAGCUCCAUUUAAUGCUUUUAUUUAUUUAUUAUUACUAUGAAACAUGUGGAAAAUUUAUUGGAGCUGUUUUUUCGUUUUUCUUUUGCGUUUAUUGUCCCUUAAAUGGCAUUUUUAAGUCAUUUUGUAGACUAACAAAUAACUUUUCUUACAAUAGGUUCGAGAGCUUGAGAAUCAGUUAGGUGAGGAAAGAAAAACUAGACUAAAGUAGGAAUCAAGAGCCUUUGCCGCUGCUGCUUCUCAGUCUACGAAACAAGUAGAAGAGAAGAGAAGAGAAAAGUAGAUAAGAAGCCACCUCCGUGUCCUUCAAAGUUGAGGAUGCUUUUGAGAAAAAUCACCAAUUUCAUGCCUCCACCAUCUCCUCUACAAAAACAGAAAACUGGUUCUGUUUUAUCUUCAAUGCAUGAAAAAGAAAACAAUCCAAGGACCACAGUUGUGGUUUACUUCUUAUGUCUUACCAUUAACUUGUUCUUGCAUUGAUUCUGCAGUGUCUUGGAGGUGCCUUAUGAUUGUUCAGCUGAGGCAGACUUGCUGCAUUCACUUAUCGUUAAAGCUAGGUUCGAGAACAAUCGAUUCCAGAAGCCAAGGAAGCAACCAGAGACUUCAAGCAUACAUGUUGAUUGGUUUUGAUAUUGAAACACCCAGUACAUUCGUAUUGACAUUUUCACUUUCAGAUUUUGUGUUCUGCUCAGGACUCAAAACUCAGCACUAAAUAUGUGAGAUUUUCUGAUAUCAUUCAAUUGUACAUCUCAACUCCUUGAAUGAUGUGUCCCCUACUUCCUUGAGUGACAUGAAGGAUUGUAUUCCUUCAUGAUAAUUUUGUGUAUGUAUCUCACAUUCUCACUCUCUUCGGUGCAGGAAUAUUUUGUUAAGCCAACUAGAGUUAGGCUGUGUAUUCCUGGGUUGGAAGUCCCGGAGUGGUUCUGUUAUAAAAAUACAGGAGGAUCUUCAUUAAAUAUUCCAGCUCAUUGGCACCGUACUACUAACACUGAUCAGUUCCUGGGAUUCACCUUCUGCGCUGUUAUUUCAUUUGGCCACAGUAAGAAAAAGCGUCCCGUUAAUAUUAGAUGUGAAUGCCAUUUGAUAACCCAAGGUGGAAACCAGAGUGAUCUCAAAAUCUACUACCAUGAAGAAGUUGAAAGAAAGGAGCGGUGUUUAUGGGAAAGGGAUCAUGUUUUCAUCUGGAGUAUCAACUCUAACUGCUUUUUCAAGGAGGCCUCGUUUCAUUUCAAACCACUGGGGGGAACUGCUGAUGUGGUGGUUAAGUGUGGAGUCCAUCCACUGUUUGUCCAAGACUGUUGAUGAAUCCUCUGUUAUUUCACUUCCUAGGACCAUAAUUGGGUCUUAGCCUUCUUGAGCUUUUCACCUGUGCCAUUCAAAGAAUUUGCAUGGUGUCCAUGUUCAUGUGUUCAAAGAGCCCCCCUGCCUUCACUUAUGCUUCUGCGGCUGGAACUGUAUUGGCAACGUCUCAAGGUUGGUCUACUAUCCAGUGAUCGGAUUUUUGAGUGUCUUUGGUCUCUGCGAGCUAGCCUCUAUAAAAAAAAAAAGCAGCAAGGCAAAUAGAUGAUGCAUAAAGUUUUACUGAUGCAUUACAGGCUCUUUGAAUUGAUUUAAUAAGCAAAUAAAGCCACAGUUGUAGUCUACUUCUUAUGUCUUAUCAUUAAGCUGUUCUUGCAUUGAUUCUGCAGUUUCUUGGAGGUGCCUUAAGAUUGUUCAGCUGAGGCAGACUUGCUGCAUUCCCUUAUCGUUAGAGCUAGGUUCUAGAACAAUCGAUUCCAGAAGCCAAAGCAACCAGAGACUUCAAGCAAAUAUGUUGAUUGGUUUUGAUAUUGAAACACCCAGUACAUUCGUAUUGAGAUUUUCACUUUCAGAUUUUGUGUUCGGCUCAGGACUCAAAACUCAACACUAAAUAUGUGAGAUUUUCUGAUAUCAUUCAAUUGUACAUCUCAACUCCUUGAAUUAUGUAUCCUUUAAGUUCUCUGAAUGAUGUGUCCCCUACUUCCUUGAGUGACAUGAAGGAUUUGUAUGGUAUAUUUGCAGUUCAGGCAUUUCAAAGUUUCAUGUUUUUGUUCUUUUGGGGAUGUAUGGUUUGUACUCCUCUUACUAACUUUAUGUUCAUUGUGAAUGAAACCAAAGUAGAGUAUAAAAACUCUAUUUUCACGACUAUGCAUGGUAAGAAACUUCUGAACAGCAUACUUCUUAGCAAGAUUCCCACAUAACAAAAACCACUUUCUUGCCCCCAAAUCAACAAACAGGAACGAACAUAUAACAAGAAACCCAGUGACCAAAAAGCAUUCAACUUUAUUAAUUACCUGAACAGAAUACUUCUUAGCAAGACUAGUAACAGAAUCUCCUCUAGCAAUCUUAUGUGAAAUAGCAAACUUCCAAAUCCCAUUCUCUCUCCAAAAACUCCCAGACACAGGCUCCCCCACUAUCUCCUUCAACUUCCAUGGUUCCACAAACGCAGGCCUCACAAUUGCAUCAUCAGAAGCCAUAUCUCUCCACAGCCUGCAAACACAGCUUGCACGUGCCAAGUCUCGAGCUCCAAGCUUUCGUAAGAUCAUAACUAGUGUGUCCCUGCAUGUGAAGGAUGCGAGUGACACGUGGGAGUCCAUUGCCUUGGUGGUUUUGUUAUUCUUGAGUGGUGUAUUGAGAGAGGGAGGGGUAGAGGAGGCCUAGUGUUAGGGAAGAGGGUAGUAGUAGAAGGUAAAGUCUUCCUCUUCGAUUUCAACUGAUUUGUUUAUGGGUUUUGGAUUUCUCUUGGUGGUGUUUUCAGUGGUGAUAGUGUCGGCGCUGGCGCUGGCGCUGGCGGCGGCGGAGGCGGCGAUUGUGUUUUGAUUGCCACUGGAUUAGGUGAAGAAGAAACGGUGGGUUUUCUUUUUGGGAAGAGGGUAAUAGUAGAAAAGGGAGUCUGUGUCAUUCAUCCUCUGUAUAGUUUGACUGGCUUGGUGUGUAUUGGAAAAAGCUUUUUAAUUUUCAUUAAAAUCUAGGUUUAAAAUCUAGGUUAAAAAAACCCAAUUGAUUAGGGCAAAACUCAAUUAAAGUUUCGUUGACUUUUCAAUAUUUUAGAUAAGCCUUUUUAAUCUAUGGCCCAAACCUUACCCUGUCUGUAUCAAUCCUAAAAUCUUAAAAUAAUGUUUUUGAAAAGCAAAUUGAUAUGAAUAUCUUUUUUAUCAUUUAAUAAAAAAAUAUCACCUAUUAAUAACAAUAUAAUAAAAUGUAGUGAUGAGUGCUAAGAUAUAUUUAAAUAAUGACGUUGACAUAAAUAAUUUACUGUAAAUUUAGUAUUUAGUAUGAUAUAAGAGUGAAUUCUGUAAAAGUAACAGAAAAAAAUUGCGUAUUAUAAAUGCUGUAGUUAAAUCCAUGGACGGUCAAGGAUUAUUUCAAACAUAGUUUUGAAACAUGAUUCGGUCUGGUGGGUUGAUCUAAGAUCCAAUCGAUCCGAGGCUGGAAUUGAACCGAGUUGAAGAAAAAAUAGAAAAAGUAAUGACCCGGUGUGACCUGGUUUUUUCGGUUUUGGCUCGGUUUUCUUCCGGUUUGAAUUUGGUUUGAUUUUUUUAGUUUGAGGCUUAUACAACCAAAACCGAACCGAACCGGUCGGUUUUUUAAAAUUUUAAUCAGUUUUUUUUCAUAAUUCGGUUUUUUUCGGUUAUUUUUUUCUGAUUUUCUUGGUUUAAUCGGUUUUUUGGUUUUUUUACUCAUUUUUAUUUUUAAUAAUCCUAAAAUUUAUGAGAUUCAAAUCAAUAAUUUCUAGAAAUCUAAUUAAUUUAGCUCCAUCCCUCUCAAUAUUAGUAAAAGUAAAGUGUAAUCUUGUUGUCCUAUGUGGAAUGUGUUAUUCUCUAUCUAUAAACAGUAAGGUGGUAGCAUUAAAAUAGACUUAAAUAUAUUUUUAACCAGGAAUUGGUCUCCUUCUUGCUGCUUAGAGUGGCUAAUUCUGAAAAAAAAAACUACAGUUUCUGUUCUUUUUGUUGUCAUGACUAAUGGAAAGCUUUGGUUGGAUGAUAGUGUAUGCCGGAAAAAUGGAAAAGGUGAAAGAAAAAAAAAAAAACUGCACUCUCAUCAUUGCAGACCUCUCCAGUCCUUGGUACUUCUUUUUUCUCUGGGAAUAAUUGAAUUUAAAUAUUAAAAAAAAAAUCAUCUAAUCUUUCUCUUGAAUUUACUGUAGGCACUUUGAUUUCGGCCCGUUUAUUUACUAAAAAGUAACUUUUUUAGGAAAUAAAUUCCAGAAAAUUAAAUUAUUUUCUAAUAUUUGGUAGUGUAAUGGAAAAUAAGUUGGAAAACACUUUCCAGUAUUUGGUUAUGUCAUGAAAAAUAAGCUGGAAAAUAACUUAUUAAUGUUUUAUUUUUUAUCAAGUUUAUUAAAAUAAUGAGGAAUAAAUCUUACAAAUUAAAAAGUUGAAUGAGAAUGAAAUUGAAAAAAAAUAUAAUUUUAUAAAUUAUCUCAAAUAAAAUAAAUAAUAAUCAAAAUAAUAGAGAUAAAAUCUAAAAAUUAAAAAAAAUAAAAGAUGAAAAAAUUAAAAUAAUAAUAAUUAACAUUUCAUAAAUUAUUUCAAAUAAAAUAAGUAACAAUCAAAAGAAUGAGGACCAAAUUUGAUAUAUAAAAAAUUUCAAUAAAAAAAUGAUAAGGGAAAAGCAAAUAAUAAUUAUAAAAAUGAGGACUAAAGUUAAUAUAAAAAUUAAAUUUUAAGAGAUGAAAUUGAAAAAUAAAUAUUCAAAACAAAAUAUAUAUAGCAAUCAAAAGUUUGAGGACCAAAUUUGAUAUAAUCAGCAAAUAAUAUGACAUUUCUAAAUUUUUCACAACUUCCAGAAAGUGUUUUCCGCCCAAAUUUUCCAAGAAAACACUUUCCUGGAAACUAAGCUAAAUUUUUCUUUGACUGGAAAGUGUUUUUCAUUAACCAACUUUUCAAAUGGCAAACAAAUACAGAAAAGUUUGGAAAGUGGUUUCCCGAAAAGUGAAUUCCAGGAAACAAACACAGCCUUGGUUUGAUUUUUUUUGUUCUUUGAUAUAUUAUGUUUUGGUCAUCAUUUUUUUUUAAUUUAAUCCUUGUCUUUGCAAUAAUAAGGGUUUUUGCUUGGUAGAUUUUUAUGAAAUUAGGUUUAGUUAUUUUAUUUUGUUUUUUUAUGAAAUUAUCCCAAUAUCAUGACAUGUUUAUUGAUUUAACAGGUUAGUUUAAAUUGACUUAGAUUUUUUUUGGAUUCUUUUAUUUUAAUUUAAUUUUUUUUUAUAUUGGAUUGGUUUUAGAUUUGAAAUUCGUAAUUUUUCUCAUUUCAUCUUUUAUUGUGUUAUCAUAUUCAUAUGAUUUGGGUUACAGGAUUUGAUGGGCUUGCCCGAGUUUGUAGGUGUUUUUUUUUUGUCAUUUUUGUUAAUUUUUUUUUAAUUUUACCUUUCUACAUGGAGUUUGCUGAGAAUCAAGCUUUAUUUUUUUUAUUUGCUUUCUAUUAUAUUAUCUUAGCCUCAUGAUCCAGUUUACAGAUUUGACGUGUUCAUUUAUGUAUUUUUUUUUAAAUUAUCCUUCGAUGUUGAGUUGGCUAGAAAUUAAGUUUUAUUUUUUUUUCUUUUGCAAAAUGUUUUUUUUUUACUAUUAUGAUUGUUUUUUGUUUAUUUAUUAUAGUUGUAUGUUUUUUCACCAUUUAAUUAAAUAACAUUGGUUGAUUUCAGUCAUCAGCUUAAUUAAAAAAAAAAAGAAUAUUGAAAGGUUUCAAUAUUAAUCUAUUUGGUCAGGUUUAAUAAUAUUAUAAAAAAAAUAUUUAUAUUAUUGAAAUUAAAAAAAUAAUUCAAAACUAGUGUAAUGGGCAAUUAGGUGCUGUCAUUAUUGUUUUUUCGUUAUUACAAUGUUACAUGACGGAGGGACUUGGUAUUUUACCAAAGAUAAAAUAUAAUACAAAAAUUAAAAUUAUAGUAAAAUGAUCAAAAUGGUUUUAGAAAUCAAAAAAUUAAGAAUGUUUUAAAGGGAUUUUUUCAUUUUUUUUCAACGGUUUUUUUUUUAUCAUGUAAGUUUUGGGAAAACUUGAUAUUUUUUAAUUUAUAAAAAUAGUAUAAUUAAAAAGAAUUACGUGAGAAAGGUCAAGCUUUUGCUACAUAGCCUCUGGAUAUUCGUAAUGAUUCUGCAAUUGAAGGGCCGUGUUGCUAACAAUGCGGCUGCCAUGAACCAACUACAAGAGCUCAUGAAAAUGUUGAUGCCCAGAAUAAAGAACAUUUUUUUUUAUAUAUCCCAUUAAUUAUAUAUUAUUUGUUUAUUUAUCGGAUUUAGAUAUUAAAAAUCGUCAUAGUUAGAAGCUCACUUCUAGCUAGGUCAGUUUCGAUUUUUUUUUUUUGAUUUACGUGGGUGUCUGGGCCAGCUUACGCGCACCACAACUAAUCUCACGGCCCACUGAACAUCCUACAAACCCAGUGAGCAUGUAAAGCACCGCGGGGGUGACAGGCGUGCACAGUGAGGUUUGAACUCGGGUGCAGAGGAAGGGAACAAGCCCCUACCACCGCUAGGCCAAUACCUCAAGUGCGGUCAGUUUCGAUUUCUUAAUUGCAACACAAGUAGCUUAAUUAAGCCUUAGAAUGAGUGUUUAAGGAAUCCCAUUAAUUAUAUAUUGUUUGUUUAUUUGUCUAAUUUGGACAUUAAGAAUUAUCAUAGUUAAUAAUUUCAUAGUUAGGUUUGUUUCAAUUUCGUACUUAAUUGUAACACAAGUAAGUAGCUUGAGCUUUAGAAUGGGUAUUUAAGGAGAGUUUUGCUCAUUGCAACUCUUUAAUUAGCCUACCUUUGUAUCAACAAUUUCAACAUAAGCUUUCUCAAGAUAAUUAUAUGAUGUUUUUCCUAAGUUUAUUUUGUAGCUCUUUAUUUUAUUUAUAUGCUUUCUUUUUAUUUACAUGUUUUAUCUAUCAAUUUCUUUAAAUGUUUUCUCUACAUGCACGUUCUUAAUUAUUUUUAUUGUUUCUUUAUUAUGUGUGUGUGCAUAUAUAUAUAUAUCUAUUUUUUUUAUAUAAUAAUCGAGAUAGAAUAUUAAUAAGAUUUAGUCAAUGUUAUUAAAAAAAUAACAAGCUGACUAAAAGAAAAACUUACAAUGAAAAAAAUCAAAAAAUAACAAAAAAAUAUUAAUCCUAAAUAUUAAAUCACUUCAUCACACAAUCUGAACAUUUAGCUAGAUCAAUACCUGUAUAAAUAAAAUUAUAAAUAACUCGAAGUUAUUAAGCUAAAUGAUGAAAAGUUAAAUCGUAAACUUUAUUCCAGUCAGGAUCAGUAUCAUCAAAAACUAAUUUGUUGCGGGUAAUUCAAAUAGACCACAAGAUACCACAACAAUCCAUACUUCUAUGUAAAUUUUAUAGUUUAUUAAUACAAAUAUUUAUGAUUUAUCGCUUGAUUUAAACCUAUAAUUUAUUGUUUAAUGUAAACUUUAAGGUUUAUUUCUUAAUUUAAACUUUUUUGUUUGAAGCUAGAGUGGACCUUAUGUUUCUCGAUCAAUACAAACUUUACCAUUUAUUAUUUAAUUAAAUCUUAUUGUUUAUUGCUUUAUAUGGACUUAUUAGUUAUUAUAAACACUACAAUGUUAUGCCGAUGUAAAAAUUAUUUCUUCGUGUUAGGAAGAAAUAUUAGUCUAUGCUCAUAUGGACUUAUCUUCAAUGACAAGUAAAGGAAAAGCAAAAGAAGAUAUGCUGUUCUCUUUUCUUUUCUGUUUUCUCGGGCCAGCUCUCUUCUCUUUUAUCCUUUCUUUUUCUUCCCCUCCAGCCUUUUGUACCGUCAGUCUAUAUUCGGGUAGCAUUUUAGCAUUAUGGCACAUAGAGGGUAAAAGAUCAACAAGCUGCCCUUGAUUAAUAACUGGUAAAACUUUCUUCCUAUUCGUCCAUUAAUUUCUCUCUGUUUCGGGUUAGAUUCCACUUGUUUGGCCAUUGCUGUAGCAUCAUUCAUGUUCUUUAUAUAUGUUAGUGAGUUUUCCCUUUUAGCUCAAAAUGACUGUAAUUAAUUAAGAUCUCAGCUAAUUUCCCACUAGCUUUGUGGCACAUAGAGGGUUAAAGAUCGACAAGCUGCCCUUGAAUAACUGGUAAGACUUUCUUCCUGUACGUCCAUUAAUUUCUUUAUAGCUAUUCCAGUAACGAACGUCAAUGAAAUCUCUCUGUUUUGGGUUCUAGUGAGAGUUGUUUUCUUUGCUACAGUAUUCUUAUAUUACUGAUCAUUAUAAUCGUUUGUUUUCUUUUUGCUUGUUACAGGGAAUAAUUAUCACAAGUAGAAAGCUUAAUUAUACAUAUAUCACAAGUAGAAAGCUUAAUUAUACAUAUAUCCUUCAAAACUAGCAAGUCUACCAGACAGCAUUGGCGAGUUGAGAUCUCUUAUUAUGCUUGAUCUUGAUGGUUGCUCCGGACUAGCAAGUCUACCGGACAACAUUGGCGCGUUGAAAUCUCUUCGAUGGCUUUAUCUUGAUGGUUGCUCACUAGCAAGUCUACAAAAAAGCAUUGGCGGGUUGAAAUCUCUCCAAUCGCUUCUUUCAAGAAUAGCAAGUCUACAAGACAACAUUGACGGGUUGAAAUCUCCCAAAUCGCUUUAUCUUAGUGGUCGCUUAGAACUAGUAAGUCUACCGGACAACAUUGGCGGGUUGAAAUCUUUCAAAUCGCUUUAUCUUAGUGGUCGCUCAGGACUAGUAAGUCUACCAGACAGUAUUGGUGCGUUGAAAUCUCUUGAAUACCUUGAUCUUAGUGGUUGCUCAGGACUAGCAAGUCUACCAGACAACAUUGGCGCGUUGAAAUCUCUCAAAUCGCUCAAUCUUAGUGGUUGGUCAGGACUAGCACUAGCAAGUCUACCGGACAACAUUGGCGCAUUUAAAUCUCUCCAAUCGCUUCGUCUUAGUUGUUGCUCAGGACUAGCAAGUCUACCGGACAACAUUGGCGUGUUGAAAUCUCUUGAAUCGCUUAAUCUUCAUGGUUGCUCAGGACUAGCAAGUCUACCGGACAACAUUGGCGCGUUGAAAUCUCUUGAAUCGCUUCAUCUUAGUUGUUGCUCAGGACUAGCAAGUCUACCGGACAACAUUGGCGCGUUGGAAUCUCUUGAAUCGCUUGAUCUUCAUGGUUGCUCAGGACUAGCAAGUCUACCAGACAACAUUGACGCGUUGAAAUCUCUUGAAUCGCUUGAUCUUCAUGGUUGCUCGGGACUAGCAAGUCUACCGGACAACAUUGGCGCGUUGGAAUCUCUUAAAUCGCUUGAUCUUCAUGGUUGCUCAGGACUAGCAAGUCUACCGGACAACAUUGGCGCGUUGGAAUCUCUCAAAUCGCUUGAUCUUAGUGGCUGCUCAGGACUAGCAAAUCUACCGGGCAGAAUUGGCGAGUUGAAAUCUCUUGAAUCGCUUGAUCUUCAUGGGUGCUCAGGACUAGCAAGUCUACCGGACAACAUUGGCGCGUUGAAAUCUCUCAAAUCGCUUGAUCUUAGUGGCUGCUCAAGACUAGCAAGUCUACCGGGCAGAAUUGGCGAGUUGAAACCUCUACUCCCCAUUCUUUCCUAAAUGCAAUUGUCGAGUUAUGGCCAUAUUCUGUCAUGAAAAAUCUUUUUGAUCAACAAUCUGAUGGCUUAGCCCUCACCACUCUAGUUGAAUUUGCAAUUUCCUGAUAAAAUGGUAUGCUGCAGGUGCCAAAUCCUCUUUUUGACCUUGCAGGUAUCUUGUGUGGGCAAUUUGGAAUUCCAUUUUGGAAGUUCUUCCUCGCAACAUUGACUGGAAAGGCAAUCAUCAAAACUCACAUUCAGGUUUGCAAUGCUCUAUUUUCUCGCGUUACUUGAUAUGAUGCAUGUGCUACUUAUGCGAGCACAUUGUAUCAUAUCCAAUUGGUGGUUGCUGCAGGUUCUAAGUUUUUCCUAAUUUUUUGUGUUCUCAUUUUUAUUUGGUUGUCAGUUGACAUUAGUUAUGUUGUUUUUAUUGUUGCAGACAGCUUUUAUCAUCUCGGUAUGCAACCAUCAACUCCUUGACUUGAUAGAAAAUGAGAUGAUUCGAUUGCUCAGCUUUGUCUCUGGACUUGCUACAGUUCUGCCAAAACUCGUUGCAAAACUACAAAUUAUUAGAAACAAGUAUAUGGCACCCACACCUACAGUUUCAAAUGUUGCGGUAAGAUGUCUUGUAGAAUCAGAAUACAUAUUUUCCUACGUUGGUUGCCAUUGUGCUUUGGCAUCAGCAUCAAAGCACAGAGUUUGAUUCUAGUCCUUGAUUAUGCAGCGUCCAAAGCAUAGUUUUGGACAUGUAUUUAUAUAUCCUUGAUUGCAGAGGUUUGCUUGCACUUUUAAGCAUGAUAAGCGUUACAUUAUUCACCAUGUGUUUGUGUGUGCAUGCUGACCAUGUGGAUGAAUUCUCAGAGUUGCGUAGGAACAUUUAGUCUUAAGAUGCUCUUUACCUAGGGGCAUUUCAAGAUGCAAUGCUUAACUGAUCUAGUUAUGCAAUUUUAUGCGAUUUCAAGAUUCCAUGGUUGUGUGCAUGUUCUUAUGUGCACUAAGUGACAUUUUUUUUUUAUUAUUAUUUUCUUCAGGUGGGAAAAUGGGACUUCUCACUUGCUUCAAUAUGGAACACGGUCCUAUUGCUCAUGCUCACGACCUUCUUCUUUAAAAUUGUGACAGCAACUGCACAGAGCUUUCUCAAGGAACAGCAGGAGAAAGAGCUAGCAUUGUUCAACUCCUCUUCUGCAUCAAGCCCUUCCUCAUCCAAAACCAUUUAAGCAUUGCAAAAGUUCGCCACUAAUUCCACCACAGAUACUUCUCCUCUUUGUGGUAAUUUUAACUUCGGUGGCAGAAAUUUUUAUAUCUGUCACAUGUAUACAAAACAAGAAAUUAGAAAGAAACACAGGAAAUAGCAGGUUAACAACCUUCAUUGUUGAGGUUCAAUUGCCAAUAGGGCCUUCCAAUAACUUUGUCAAAGGUGUGCUUGUCAGCCUAUCAUGUAUACCAAUAUUGAAAUGCAUGAUUAAAGCGCAUAAAUUAAUUUAAUGUAAUAAAUGCACUCUGUGUAAGAGUGUGUUUGGCAGUGUGGUUGCGGGUGCUUUUCAAAUAACUUUUUGUGCUAAAAUGCAUGUCAAUGAUGUUUUUUUAUUUUUUAAAAAUUAUUUUUGACAUCAGCACAUCAAAACGAUCCAAAACGUAUAAACCAUAUUAAAUUUUAGUAAAACAAAAAAAAAUUUCAAUUUUUUUGGGAACGCCGCCGCAGCCGCGUUCCCAAACGUUACCUAAUUAGACAAUGUAAAACAUGAGAAACUUGAAUUUCCUUCAACGCAGAGAACGCAAAGGCAAGCCAUGUUGUGUGGUACCAUAUAUAUGAGGUAUUAAUCCCUAUCCUAUGUUCUUUUUAUUUACCUCUCAGAAUUAGCCCUACACUAGUGUAAAUAAACAUGUUGUGAAUAUUGUAAUGGAUGUCAAAGUCCAUGGAACUCUCUCUCUCUUGUAAAAGUAAUUUUAUAUAAAAGAGAGUUGUCUUCCACCAUUUCUACCUUCCUACCAUCCUCCCAUGAUUUUUUUUCUAACAAAUUCCUUUUAGAAUACAUGUGUUUCCCUUCUUAACUCUUUUUUAAGUUGCUCCGAAAGUAGCCUAGCUGUAGACUAAAAAUACUUUAAAACAAUUUUGUCAAUGAUAGCUCAACUAACACUAGCAACCUUUUUUCUUUAAAAGAUCUCGAGUAAAUUGAGCAUUUUUUAAUUAAAAAAAUAUAUAAGAAAUUUAUAGUUAAAUAAUCACCGAUCGAGACUCAAGCAAACAAACAAAACAUCAUGAUUCAUGCAUGUUGAAGGAAAGGAAAGAGAAGGGAAAAUGACCAUGAUGGCUGUAGAACCCUAGUUUGCUUGCGCAAAGGAUAUGAUCACCCUUUCUUUAACUCAUUAACGUCGAUGGCUUGGAAGUUCAGGGACCUUGUCGUAUCAAGCACAGCAUCAAUGAACCUGUCAUCACCCAUCUCUCGAUCCCUCUUAAUCUUUCUCAAACUAAGUGAGAUCGGUACGAGACCUCUGUGCUCGAGAUCAAACACUUCUGGAGACCUCUCCCGCACUGUGAAUGAUAUUCCAGGUGGGAUCAUGGUCAUGGCCGGUCCUAGCUGGCUAGAUGCCUUUAGUCUUUGAUUUGAUGAAGAAACAACUCUGUAGACAGUAAUUGAAGUGCUAAGACACUAUCAGACAUAACUUAACAGUUGUAUAUCUAGUAGAUUUUUUAAGAAAUUGCAGGAUAAAAACAAAAAUCGCAGCACAACGAUGUUGUUUUGCUGUACUCCAUGCAAAAACGACAUAGUUUUCUGGGUGCAUUUCUUUUUCAAAAAAAAUAUAAAAUAAUUUGUAGAUAUAAGGCUCUAAAUACUAAUGUGAACAUAACUUUUUUUAUAUAUAUAAAUGAGAGUAUCAAACUUGAAAUUUAAAAUAAAACACAUUAAUAUAUGGUUAUCAAAACAACAUGUUUUAAAAUAAAUUCUAAAUUCAGAUCGAACUGUCUACCUUCCAACCUACAACACAGGCUGGUUAGAUGAUUACGUGGUAAUAGCAAUUAAAUUACAGCUCAUUGUUUCAGUAAUGGUAUCUUUUCGUAAUUAAAACCAAAUCAAAAGUCAUAGGAAUCCUGUGAUAGGACAGAUGAAAAUAGCAAGGAGAUGAGAGGGUAGAAGGCUCGAAAGAAUCGAGUUUGAUGACAUGAUAAUCAAACAAUAUAGUUAAAUAAAACCCAAAACGUAGUAAUACAUUGUCAGGGAUACAUGAAUUUCUGCAAAUCAACUGUAAAAUUUGCGGUGAAAAUCAAGUUGCAGAAGGUCAUCCUUUUUUUGGAAGAAGAAGAAGGUCAUCCUUGUUAACCAAAUGGAUGAUAGUCUCAAAGUAGAGAGUCACUUCAAAUGAUACCGCGACUAUGAACUACUUCCCACAUAUAAAUUUGGACAAACUCACUACUAAUGUCAUAAAAAAAUAUAUAUCCAUACAAGGGCAAUCCCAGGUUGCGGUACGGCAUUACAAAUUUGCGGGAUCAAUUAAGCUGUAUAGGAAAGGAAGCCAGAGCUGUGGAAGCUGGCCACAGCAUAGGCUCAUCGAUGUUCUAGCAUCGUCAUCUGAGUGCCUUGGAGAGCAAAUAUCCCUUGGAACAACUUUGUUUUUGUUUACAUCGUACAGGUUAAGAAAAACCACACAAUAUAAAGAAGGGAUUUGAUUCAGAGCAGUACUUUUUCGGUGCACAGCGUGUUUCCGAUUUCCAGCUAGCCAAACCCUGAAUCCCUCCCCCGCCUGAGGUCUGCUGAAAAUUCUGUCUCGAGGGUUACAAUUCAAAAUAAACCAGUAGUAUUGCGCAGUUCCAUCAUCAACUUGCAUGCUUCUCUUUACAGAAUCGAUGAUCCCUUUCACAUUAGCUUUUUGUCAGGCUGGCCUCCUGGAUAUAAUACCAACACUUCCCUUUUCGCAUAGGUAUCCAACUCUAUGUAGCAUAUCCCAUUUAUGAGACUGUUUGGAUUGAUUAUGGGGAUUAACAACCUCUCCCUUGAAUAUAUGCCAUUGUCACUUAACAUGUUAUUUAAAAGCUUUAUAUCCCUAACCUGUUCCAAGCAAAGAAAAUAUAUAUAAAUGUUCAGUGCAUUUACUUUGAAGCUUCUAUCAUAAAUCAACUACAAAAGACUCCAUAGUUCAAAUAAGAAAUAGCACAGCCAGCGAAUUACAGCAUCUCCCGCAGUUGGGAACUGCAGAAUGUUGGUUGUGUUUAGCAUUUUAAAGUGUUUUUCGCUUGUAAAUACAUUAAAAUAAUUUUUUUUAUUCUUUAAAAUUUAUUUUUAACAUCAGAACAGUAUAAAAACAUUAAAAAUUAAUUAAUUUGAAGAAUUUUUUUCUUUUGAAAAAUUCAGUGUGCCAACUUAAUCAAACACACCCUUAAAAAACAGACACCUUUACACUAAAAAUUGGUUGUGCUAUUUAAAAAAUAAAAACACAAUUCCCACCAGCAGUUUCUAUAAAAAUAACAGUUCCCAGCUGCCUUUUUUUAAUAACUUGCAGGUGGGAACUGCGGUUUUUCUAGCUGCGCUAUUUUCUAAAUUUUUUUUUGCACAUGCUAGCUUGCCAGUUUUUUUUAAAAAAAUCAUAAUUUACUCAUUAACAAUCUAGAAAGAAGAGCAGAACCAAAAUCAUGCGGUACAAACUUCAAGUGGCAUUACAUGAUACUGUCCUAUCAACCAAAUGAAAUGAUAGAGGACAGAAGCUUAAACUUCCCAUUUCUCAAUAACCAGAUACAGAGCAAUCAUACAGCAAAAACUCCACUGCCUACAAAGCACAAACCUUUCCAACUCUACAAACAAAGCAAUGAUACAACAAGAAAAACAGAAUCAUCUCCAAUUCUACAAAAAAAGAAGAAGAAGAAAACAAGCACAUCACAAACAUGGCAAAAACCACUCAUUUUAUCCAAUUCUACAAGCAAAAUAAGCAUAUCCCAAGAUUCCCACAUACCAAAAACCACUUUCUUCCCCCCAAAUCAACAAACAGGAACGAACAUCUAACAAGAAACCCAGUGACCAAAAAGCAUUCAACUUUAAUAAUUACCUGAACAGAAUACUUCUUAGCAAGACUAGUAACAGAAUCUCCUCUAGCAAUCUUAUGUAAAAUAGCAAACUUCCAAAUCCCAUUCUCUCUCCAAAAACUCCCAGACACGGGCUCCCCCACUAUCUCCUUCAACUUCCAUGGUUCCAUAAACGCAGGCCUCACAAUCGCAUCAUCAGAAGCCAUGUCUCUCCACAGCUUGCAAACACAGCUUGCACGUGCCAAGUCUCGAGCUCCGAGCUUUCGUAAGAUCAUAAUUUGUGUGUCCCUGCAUGUGAAGGAUGCGAGUGACACGUGGGAGUCCAUUGCCUUGGUGGUUUUGUUAUUCUUGAGUGGUGUAUUGAGAGAGGGAGGGGUAGAGGAGGCCUUGUGUUAGGGAAGAGGGUAGUAGUAGAAGGUAAAGUCUUCCUCUUCGAUUUCAACUGAUUUGUUUAUGGGUUUUGGAUUUCUCUUGGUGGUGUUUUCAGUGGGGAUAGUGUCGGCGGCGGCGGCGAUUGUGUUUUGAUUGCCACUGGAUUAGGUGAAGAAGAAACGGUGGGUUUUCUUUUUGGGAAGAGGGUAAUAGUAGAAAAGGGAGUCUGUGUCAUCCAUCCUCUGUAUAGCUUGACUGGCUUGGAAAAGCUUUUUAAUUUUCAUUUAUCCUAGAUUAAAAUCUAGGUUAAAAAAACCCAAUUGAUUAGGGCAAAACUCAAUUAAAGAUUCGUUGACUUUUCAAUAUUUUAGAUAAGCCUUUUUAAUCUAUGGCCCAAACCUUACCCUGUCUGUAUCAAUCCUAAAAUCUUAAAAUAAUGUUUUUGAAAAGCAAAUUGAUAUGAAUAUCUUUUUUAUCAUUUAAUAAAAAAAUAUCACCUAUUAAUAACAAUAUAAUAAAAUGUAGUGAUGAGUGCUAAGAUAUAUUUAAAUAAUGACGUUGACAUAAAUAAUUUACCGUAAAUUUAGUAUUUAGUAUGAUAUAAGAGUGAAUUCUGUAAAAGUAACAGAAAAAAAUUGCGUAUUAUAAAUGCUGUAGUUAAAUCCAUGGACGGUCAAGGAUUAUUUCAAACAUAGUUUUGAAACCUGAUUCGGCUCGGUGGAUUGAUCUAGGAUCCAAUCGAUCCGGGGCUGAAAUUGAACCGGGUUAAAAAAAAAAUAAAAAAAGUAAUGACCCGAUGUGACCUGGUUUUUUCAUUUUUGGCUUGGUUUUUUUCCGGUUUGAGUUUGGUUUGAUUUUUUUAGUUUGAGGCUUAUACAACCAAAACCGAACCGAACCGGUUGGUUUUUUAAAAUUUUAAUCGGUUUUUUUUCACAGUUCAGUUUUUUUCGGUUAUUUUUUUCUAGUUUUCUUGGUUUAAUCGGUUUUUCGGUUUUUUUACUCACUUUUAUCUCUAAUAAUCCUAAAAUUUAUGAGAUUCAAAUCAAUAAUUUCUAAAAAUCAAAUUUAAAAUCUAAUUAAUUUAUCUACAUCCCUCUCAAUCUUAGUAAAAGUAAAGUGUAAUCUUGUUGUCCUAUGUGGAAUGUGUUAUUCUCUCUCUAUAAACAGUAAGGUGGUAGCAUUAAAAUAGACUUAAAUAUAUUUUUAACUAGGAAUUGGUCUCCUUCUUGCUGCUUAGAGUGGCUAAUUCUGAAAAAAAAACUACAGUUUCUGUUCUUUUUGCUGUCAUGACUAAUGGAAAGCUUUUGGUUGGAUGAUAGUGUAUGCCGGAAAAAUGGAAAAGGUGAAAGAAAAAAAAAAAACUGCAUUCUCAUCAUUGCAGACCUCUCCAGUCCUUGGUACUUCUUUUUUCUCUGGGAAUAAUUGAAUUUAAAUAUUAAAAAAAAAACCCACCUAAUUCUUCUCUUAAAUUCACUGUAGGCACUUUGAUUUCGGACCGUUUAUUUACUAAAAAGUAAUUAUUUUAAAAAAUAAAUUUCAGAAAAAUAAAUUAUUUUCUGAUAUUUGGUAGUGUAAUAGAAAAUAAGUUGGAAAAUAUUUUCCAGUGUUUUAUUAUGUCAUGAAAAAUAAGCUGGAAAAUAACUUAUUAAUGUUUUAUUUUUAUCAAGUUUAUUAAAAUAAUGAGGAAUAAAUCUUAUAAAUUAAAAAGUUGAAUGAAAAUGAAAUUGAAAAAAAAUAUAAUUUUAUAAAUUAUCUCAAAUAAAAUAAAUAAUAAUCAAAAUAAUAGAGAUAAAAUCUAAAAAAUAAAAAAAAUAAAAGAUGAAGAAAUUAAAAUAAUAAUAAUUAACAUUUCAUAAAUUAUUUCAAAUAAAAUAAGUAACAAUCAAAAGAAUGAGGACCAAAUUUGAUAGAUAAAAAAUUUCAAUAAAAAAAUGAUAAUGGAGAAGCAAAUAACAAUUAUAAAAAUGAGGACUAAAGUUAAUAUAAAAAUUAAAUUUUAAGAGAUGAAAUUGAAAAAUAAAUAUUCAAAACAAAAUAUAUAUAGCAAUCAAAAGUUUGAGGACCAAAUUUGAUAUAAUCAGCAAAUAAUAUGACAUUUCUAAAUUUUUCAUAACUUCCGGAAAGUGUUUUCCGCCCAAAUUUUCCAAGAAAACACUUUCCUGGAAACUAGGCUAAAUUUUUCUUUGACUGAAAAGUGUUUUUCAUUGACCAACUUUUCUAAUGGCAAACAAAUACAGAAAAGUUUGGAAAGUGGUUUCCCGGAAAGUGAAUUCCGGGAAACAAACAUAGCCUUGGUUUGAUUUUUUUUGUUCUUUGUUAUAUUAUGUUUUGGUCAUCAUUUUUUUUAAUUUAAUCCUUGUCUUUGCAAUAAUAAGGGUUUUUGCUUGGUAGAUUUUUGUGAAAUUAGGUUUAGUUAUUUUAUUUUGUUUUUUUAUGAAAUUAUCCCAAUAUCAUGACAUGUUUAUUGAUUUAACAGGUUAGUUUAAAUUGAUUUAGAUUUUUUUGGAUUCAAAGAUUUUAAUUUAAUUUUUUUUAUAUUGGAUUGGUUUUAGAUUUGAAAUUCAUAAUUUUUCUCAUUUCAUCUUUUAUUGUGUUAUCAUAUUCAUAUGAUUUGGGUUAUAGGAUUUGAUGCGCUUGCCCGAGUUUGUAGGUGUUUUUUUUUUGUCAUUUUUGUUAAAUUUUUUUUAAUUUCACCUUUCUACAUGGAGUUUGCUGAGAAUCAAGCUUUGUAUUUUUUUUAUUUGCUUUCUAUUAUAUUAUCUUAGUCUUAUGAUCCAGUUUAUAGGUUUGACAUGUUCAUUUAUGUAUUUUUUUUAAAAUUAUCCUUCGAUGUUGUUGGCUAGAAAUUAAGUUUUAUUUUUUUUCUUUUGCAAAGUGUUUUUUUUUCCUGACUAUUAUGAUUGUUUUUUGUUUAUUUAUUAUAGUUGUAUGUUUUUUCACCAUUUAAUUAAAUAAUAUUGGUUGAUUUCAGUAGCAGCGUAAUUAAAAAAAAAUAUUGAAAGGUUUGAAGAUUAAUCUAUUUGAUCAGGUUUAAUAAUAUUAUAAAAAAAUAUUUAUAUUAUUAAAAUUAAAAAAAUAAUUCAAAACUAGUGUAAUGGGCAAUUAGGUGCUGUCAUUAUUGUUUUUUCGUUAUUACAAUGUUACAUGACGGAGGGACUUGGUAUUUUACCAAAGAUAAAAUAUAAUACAAAAAUUAAAAUUAUAGUAAAAUGAUCAAAAUGGUUUUAGAAAUAAAAAAAUUAAGAAUGUUUUAAAGGGAUUUUUUCAUUUUUUUUCAACGGUUUUUUUUUUAUUAUCAUGUAAGUUUUGGGAAAACUUGAUAUUUUUUAAUCUAUAAAAAUAGUAUAAUUAAAAAGAAUUACGUGAGAAAGGUCAAGCUUUUGCUACAUAGCCUCUGGAUAUUCGUAAUGAUUCUGCAAUUGAAGGGCCGUGUUGCUAACAAUGCGGCUGCCAUGAACCAACUACAAGAGCUCAUGAAAAUGUUGAUGCCCAAAAUAAAGAACAUUUAUUUUUUAUAUAUAUCCCAUUAAUUAUAUAUUAUUUGUUUAUUUAUCGGAUUUAGAUAUUAAAAAUCGUCAUAGUUAGAAGCUCACUUCUAGCUAGGUCAGUUUCGAUUUUUAUUUAUUUAUUUACGUGGGUGUCUGGGCCAGCUUACGCGCACCACGACUAAUCCCACGGCUCACUGAACAUCCUACAAACCCAGUGAGCAUGUAAAGCACCGCGGGGGUGACAGGCGUGCACAGUGAGGUUCGAACUCGGGUGCAGAGAAAGGGAACAAGCCCUUACCACUGUUAGGCCAAUACCUCAAGUGCGGUCAGUUUCGAUUUCUUAAUUGCAACACAAGUAGCUUAAUUAAGCCUUAGAAUGAGUGUUUAAGGAAUCCCAUUAAUUAUAUAUUGUUCGUUUAUUUGUCUAAUUUGGACAUUAAGAAUUAUCAUAGUUAAUAAAUUCAUAGUUAGGUUUGUUUCAAUUUCGUACUUAAUUGUAACACAAGUAAGUAGCUUAAGCUUUAGGAUGGGUAUUUAAGGAGAGUUUUGCUCAUUGCAACUCUUUAAGUAGCCUACCUUUGUAUCAACAAUUUCAACAUAAGCUUUCUCGAGAUAAUUAUAUGAUGUUUUUCCUAAGUUUAUUUUGUAGCUCUUUAUUUUAUUUAUAUGCUUUCUUUUUAUUUACAUGUUUUAUCUAUCAAUUUCUUUAAAUGUUUUCUCUACAUGCACGUUCUUAAUUAUUUUUAUUGUUUCUUUAUUAUGUGUGUGCAUUAAUAUAUCUAUGUUUUUUUUUUAUAAUAAUCGAGAUAGAAUAUUAAUAAGAUUUAGUCAACGUUAUUAAAAAAAUAACAAGCUGACUAAAAGAAAAACUUACAAUGAAAAAAAUAAAAAAAUAACAAAAAAUUGUUAAUCCUAAAUAUUAAAUCACUUCAUCACACAAUCUGAACAUUUAGCUAGAUCAAUAAGUAAAAUUAUAAAAUGUAACUCGAAGUUAUUAAGCUAAAUUAUGAAAAGUUAAAUCGUAAACUUUAUCCCAAUCAGGAUCAGUAUCAUCAAAAGCUAAUUUGUUGCGGGUAAUUCAAAUAGACCACAAGAUACCACAACAAUCCAUACUUCUAUGUAAAUUCUAUAGUUUAUUAAUACAAAUAUUUAUGAUUUGUUGCGGGUAAUUCAAAUAGACCACAAGAUACCACAACAAUCCAUACUUCUAUGUAAAUUCUAUAGUUUAUUAAUACAAAUAUUUAAAGCAAUAAUUUAUUGUUUAAUGUAAACUUUAAGGUGUAUUUCUUAAUUUAAACUUUUUUGUUUGAAGCUAGAGUGAACCUUAUUGUUUCUCGAUCAAUACAAACUUUACCAUUUAUUAUUUAAUUAAAUCUUAUUAUUUAUUGCUUUAUAUGGACUUAUUAGUUAUUAUAAACACUACAAUGUUAUGCCGAUGUAAAAAUUAUUUCUUCGUGUUAGGAAGAAAUAUUAGUCUAUGCUCAUAUGGACUUAUCUUCAAUGACAAGUAAAGGAAAAGAAAAAGAAGAUAUGCUGUUCUCUUUUCUUUUCUGUUUUCUCGGGCCAGCUCUCUUCUCUUUUAUCCUUUCUUUUUCUUCCUGAUAGGAUUCAAGAUAAUAUUGACAGAUUGUAUAGCUAGAAUCAAGGCAGUAGAAUAGCUAAUGUUUAGGCUAUAAAUCAGGAAAUUGAUAUGUAUAACGUCUUUGUGAUUUACAUGACACUAUAAUAUAAAUACAUCAAAUCCAACCCUUAAGUGGUUGAGAGAUUCUUCUGCUAAACCCUUUUCUUCUCUAUUUCUCUACAAUAUUUUCUCCACUCUUUCAUGGUAUCAGAGCAAGACUGCGUAUUCACCAAUUAAUUAAAAUCUCCCUCUUACAAAAUGACCACUCCAGCGUCAUCAUCGUCCUCUGUCUCUGUCACUUCUUCCAAUCUUCCCAUCUCCCUUGCUGCGUUAACAAACAAUUUCUCAACCCAUCUCAAUUCUGAUAAUUAUUUGCUCUGGCGAGAUCAAAUCACUCCUCUUCUCAUCUGCAACGAUCUCUAUGGCCAUAUUGAUGGCUCUGAUCCGCCACCUUCAAAAACAAUUAUUAAUGAGGGCGUCGUUACCCCAAAUCCUGAUUAUACCCGUUGGUUCAAAAUAGACCAACUUGUUGUGGGAGGAAUCAAGAAUACGUUGUCUUCAACCGCUUGCGCGGAGGUCCUCGGUAAACACGUUGCCAAAGAUGUUUGGGACACACUUGAAACACUCUUUCAUCAGCAAACUCUCUCUCGUGCUGAUAUUCUACAUGAUACUCUUCUUGAUACAUAUAAGAAUGAUAUGUCCAUUGAAGCCUACCUUGCCAAAAUCAAAGGCAUCGCAGACCAACUUGCUGCCAUCAGCCAGCCUGUUCCAGACAGUGAACUGGUGAAAAGAACACUGUGUGGUCUCCCUCACACACUGGAAUACCAGCCAUUUGCCCAGGGUAUUGCCAACAGACACACUCCAAUCACCUUCACAGAGCUUCGUGCGCAACUUCUUGUUCAUGAACAAGAGCUUGAGCGUAUUCGUGGACGUGCAGCUCCACCACUGUCCUCACCCUCACAUCAUGCUUCUGUUACACAACAGCACUAUCAGCAGUCCCGUAAUCCUCACCAUGGAAACUAUCGUCGAUUUAAUCGACCAAAACAAGGUACUGUGUCUCAAAAUUUUGGGAAUUCCUCUGCUAGCAUACUUGGUCAGUACCCCACUCAAAAUUCUCCCUCUUUUGCUGAUUUCUCUAAUAAAUCAUUCAAUAAUAAUGGGCAACAUGGUAGAAAUCGUUUCCAGAAUGGAAACAAUUAUGGGAAUCGACCCCAAUUUGGCAGAUCACGCUAUCGUGGUCGCUGCCAAAUAUGCAAACAGGAGGGACACUCAGCCUCCAAUUGCAAUUAUCGUUACACACGGUCUGAUUCCACCAAUUCUGAUAAUUUAUCUGCUCAGUUUGCUGGUGUUCAUGUUUCUGAAUUGACAGCACCAACAGAGGGCACUCUUGAUUGUGUAUCUCCACACUGGCUUGGAGAUACCGGUGCCACAAAUCAUAUGGCAACUAACACUGAUUUGGUGCAGCAGCCUCUCCCCUUUAAUGGCACUUCAGGUGUGUAUGUUGGUAAUGGUGCUUCUCUUUCUAUUUCACAUAUCGGUAACUCAUCAAUUAAUCUGGGUUCAAAAUCAUUGUCUCUAAAGGAUAUUCUUGUGGUGCCGCAAUUAAAGGAAAAUCUUAUAUCUAUUGCCAAACUCACCAAAGAUAAUUAUUGUGUUUUUGCUUGCAUUCCAUGGGGCUUUGUUAUAAAGGAUUUGGCAACCGGGGUGAUACUUUUGAAGGGGCUAGUUAAAGACAAUCUUUAUUGAUGUAACCAUAUUAUUCGAUAGUUUCACCCACAUCUACCUAGUGUUUUGCUUAUGUUUUAUAUAUAUAAUGCCUUGAUAUUCUUUGUUUUAUGUUUUGAAGGCACUUUUGGAUGGAAGAUGCAAAAAAGAGUAAAUUGGAGGUAAUUGGCAGAUUUGAUGUUCAGUCGAUGUUUUGUGCAGAGCGUGAGUUCUAGAGAUCGAAAUGAAGUGAUUCCAGUGGCACUAAAAAGCUAACAUCCAUACCUUUCUGGAUAUGUAAUGCAAGAAAAAUAAAAAGAGAAAGAUCAUGGAAAUCACAUCCUGCAAAGUCAAAUCUCGCAUUCUGCUAGUGUUGACCUUUGGCCAUUAAAAAUUUAAUAUCUGGAGCUACAGAAGUCCAAUUGAUGCAAAAUUAAUUUUAUUGGCUUCAUGACGUAAAGACCUAUCAACGCUCCAAAUUUCAGCCAAAAACGAUGUCAUAUGAAGGAGAUAUGAUUUUUCAAAGAUGACAACUGAAUUCUGCCAGCAAACAAGUUUCGUGAAGAAACAAGUCCAAACUACAUUCCGAAGCAUCUAAACCGACAUCCAAGUUUUUAUAUCAUCAAUUUAGCUCCUCUAAGUCAGAGCUUGAAGAUUUCAUGCAAGAAUAUUUCUCCUUUUAGGAAAAAUAGUUAUUGAAGUACUUAAAUGUAAACUGCCACCUCAAGGAAGGACUAUUUUGUAAAAUAGAGACUAGGGUUUCUUAGCAUAUAAAAAGAAAGAGAGAAGGAGGCAGCAGCUAGCAGAAAAGAGGGAGAGCAGAAGGAGGCAGCAGCCAGCAGAGAAUAAACACAAAUUCUCUCCUCUACAAACCCAAAAAAUCAUGCUCUUUUCAUUCUUUAGAAGUAGUUGUUCAAUAGUUAUGCAAGGCUAAGCUCUUUUCUUGGUUGCAAGGACACAACAAACCUUCGGAUUUCAAGAACCGUGAGAUUUAUUCUUCCUUUUAUUUUCAGUUUAUGUUAUGAAUGAGUAUGAUUGUUUUCCUAUGCAUAUUUCCUAUGAUUGUUGUUGAUGAUUGCUAGAGCGGACUCUAAGUUAUUGUUGUGAACAAUCUAUUGCUAAGUUUAAUAUCAAAACCGGAGUUGUGAUAUAUGAACUUGUGAAGCAACUAAGCUUGAUAAUUGUGGCGGAACUACGUUAUUGAACUUAGGGAGAACAUUUGAACAAAGUGACACAAGCUACGGAUAGCUUGUAUGUUAAUCUUGAUGAAAUUAUCUAGUUCUUAAAGCUACCAUUAAAUUGAAUCAUUAGUGCGGACACUUUGAUUGUUUGUUGGUUAGGAUUAAUUAUACGGCGGAUCCAUUAAUUAAUCAACAUUAAGAAAAGAUAAAAUUUCAGAACAUAAACUGCAAUUUUUGUUUCAAGGAUCGGUUCUAAUUUCCGUUCGUGGAUGUGUGCUUGCGACCAAGGUUUGUUUUCUUGAUAAGUUUCGGUUUUAAUUGAUUUUGUUUGCUAGUUUAAUUGCUGCCAUAGUUUAGAUAAUCACAAACCAAAUCCCCCCAAUUACAUAACGUACAACAUAAAAAUCUGACUUGAAACUUCCUCGUGGGAUCGACCCCUUGCUUGCUCUAUACUAUCUUGUGUGUUGUGUUUGAAGCUAGGGUAAUUAAUUUGUGCGACCACGACAUCGCAACAAAUUUUGGCGCCGUUGCCGGGGAAGUAAUUUUAAUUGAUUCUUGUGCUUGUACUGUUAUUUUUAUUUGCUGUGAUUCAAAAAAAAAAAAAAAAAAAACAGAAUUUUUGCUUGCGGCGGUACUGUUCAAAACAGAGUUUUUGGUGGAAUUAGAUAUCGGCCUUUUGUUUUCUGAAGGGAAACGACGUUCUGAACAGGACUAGUGAUUAUCACUAGCCCCACCCUAUUGAGGCCAAAUUCCGCUUUUUUCUAGUGUUUUUAGGCAGUUUUAGUUUUCUACCGUAGGAUUUUCGUACAAUUUGCAUUGUUUUCGAUCUCUUGUGUGGUUACUCUCUUUUGAGUUUUCUUAGCAAUUUAUGCCUGUGACCCAUUCUACUAAUCAAAUUCAAGUGCAGGUUGAUCUUGAAAUAGAAAGCACUUUACGCAGGUUAAGAAAGGAAGCUCGCCUCAACACCAUGGCUAUUGCACGACAACAAACACUCAAGGAGCUUGCUGCUCCUAAUGUGGAAAAUCAACCAUUGUGCAUAAACAUUGACAAUAAUGUAAACUUUGAGCUCAAAUCUGGUUUUAUACAUUUGUUACCAACAUUUAAUGGUCUUGUAGGAGAAGAUCCUCAUACUCAUCUCAAGGAGUUCCAUAUGGUUUGUGUUGGCAUGAAACCGAAUGGAGUUGAUGAAGAACAAGUUAAGUUGAAAGCUUUCCCUUUCUCUUUGAAGGGGGCAGCAAAGGCAUGGCUUUUCUCUAUUCUCCCAGGAUCUAUUGGAACUUGGAAUGCCAUGAAGAAGAUUUUCCUUGAGAAGUAUUUUCCAGCAUCUCGAGUUGCCAACAUAAGGAAAGAAAUAUGUGGGAUUCGGCAAUCUCAUGGAGAGACUCUCUCCGAAUAUUGGGAAAGAUUUGAGCAACUCUGUAUUCAAUGUCCUCAUCAUCAUUUAUCCAAUACCAGCUCAUGCACUGUCUGCAGCCUUUCGCAAAUUAUCAUGCCAUAGCGCAAUUGCUCGCACUACUAAAAUUGCUCCGUGUUCAACAUGGCACCGUCGGCUUGGACAUCCGGGUUCGAAGAUAUUGCAACAGUUGGUUACCGAUAAUUUAAUUUGUACUUCGGAUAAACUUUCUUCUAUGAUGUUUUGUGAUGCUUGUCAAGCUGGUAAAAGCAAACAUUUACCCUUUCAUUUAUCUGGAAGAAUUUCUAGUCAUGUUUUGGAAUUGGUACAUUGUGAUAUUUGGGGACCCUCUCCUGUUAUUACUACAUCUGGUUAUCGGUAUUACAUUAUUUUUGUUGAUGACUACAACAGAUUUUGUUGGCUUUAUCCCUUGAAACAACGCUCGGAUAGUCUUGCUUGUUUCACCAAUUUCAAAAAUAUGGGUGAGAAUCAAUUUAAUCAGCGUUUAAAAUUAUUCCAAUGUGAUGGUGCUAAGGAAUUGAUUGAAGGACAGUUUCGUUCCUUCCUGGAUGCUAAUGGUAUUUAUCUAAGGGUGUCUUGUCCUCAUACUUCGCAACAGAACGGUAUAGCCGAAAGAAAACAUCGGCACAUUCGGGAAAUUGGCUUGUCUCUCUUGCAUCAGGCAUUUCUGCCAAAAAGCCUCUGGCUUGAAGCCUUUUCUACUGCUAUAUUCCUCAUUAACAGGCUGCCAACUCCAGUUCUUUCAGGAAUAUCCCCUUAUGAGGCUUUAUUUGGUACUCGCCCAGACUAUACAUUGCUCAGGACUUUUGGUUGCUCAUGCUACCCUUUUCUUGGUGAUUACGGUCAAGACAAAUUAAGUCCUAAGUCCCGUCGCUGUGUUUUUAUUGGAUAUAGCACUAUCCAUAGAGGCUAUCGAUGUUUAGACUCUACCAGUGGUCGUGUCUUCAUCUCUCGGCAUGUUAUUUUUAAUGAAGCCGAAUUUCCUUAUGAAUUGAAGUCUGUCAUGCCGUCUGUUGCUUCACAACCAGUUGCCACUCCAUCUCCUGCUGCAACCAAGACUCCUUUGGCUAUAGUUUUUGAACCUCUGCUCAGUCAUUCAUCAUCAAUGAAUGACUCUCCUACUACAUCCACAUGCCAAAUGGCACCCUCAUCUUCUGCAACUCCAACUACUUCGACUGCUGAUUUUUCACCCGUUCUCUCAUCAACUGCUUGUGCUCCACCUGAUCAGCCUGCACUUCCAUCUACUGCCUGUGUUCCCACUCCUCCACCAGCUGCAAUUAUUUCAAAUAAUCACCCCAUGAUCACUCGUGCCAAAGAUGGAAUUCGCAAACCUCGUGCUCUUUGUGUAAGUAAUUAUCCAUUACCUAACAAAUAUAUAGCACUGCUUGCUACUUCAAUUUCCCGUGAGCCUGCUUCUUUCAAGGCUGCCAACCUUGAUUCCAACUGGAUUGCUGCCAUGAAGGAUGAAUACCGUGCACUCAUUGAUAACCAGACAUGGUCCUUAGUACCCCGUUCACCUUUAAUGAAUGUUGUGGGAUGUCGCUGGGUUUAUAAACUCAAAGAACGUGCUGAUGGUUCCAUUGAACGACACAAGGCACGCCUUGUUGCAAAGGGGUUCAACCAAGAACAAGGCGUUGAUUUCACAAACACCUUCAGUCCAGUGGCAAAAGCAACAACAGUUCGCAUCCUUCUCUCUAUUGGUCUCUCUCGGCAAUGGAGUAUUCGUCAACUUGAUGUCAAAAACGCCUUCCUUCAUGGUGCUCUAGCCGAAGAGGUUUACAUGUCACAACCGCCUGGAUUCAUUGACUCUUCAUGUCCUGACUAUGUUUGCAAACUACAUCGUUCCAUCUAUGGCCUGCGUCAAGCUCCAAGAGUAUGGUUUCAAAGUUUCAGUCAAGCACUACUCUCCCUUGGCUUUCAAUCCAGCCAGGCCGACAACUCCCUCUUCACACUACAUUCAUCUGCUGGUUCAGUGUUACUACUUGUUUACGUUGACGAUAUUAUUAUUACAGGUUCCACAGAUUCCCUCAUUAAUCACAUUGUCAAUCAACUCUCUCGGCGCUUCCAUAUGAAGGAUCUCGGUGAUCUACAUUACUUCCUUGGCCUUGAAGUUCAUCGGUCUUCUGGUCACCUUCGGCUCACACAAACUAAGUAUCUACUUUCUAUACUUAGUUCUGCCAAUAUGAUUGACUGCAAACCUCAGCCCACUCCUGUCACCUCUGGUCGCAAACUCUCCAUGUCUGAUGGUCUUUUGUUACCUAACCCGCAUGAAUAUCGUCGGCUUGUUGGGGCUCUUCAAUAUCUGACAUUCACAAGACCAGAUAUCUCCUAUUCUGUGCAACAAGUAUGCCAAUUCAUGCACUCUCCACGUGAUGCUCAUCUACAAGCUGUUAAACGUAUUUUGCGUUACCUCAAAGGAACACCUGGUCUUGGCAUCAACUUCUCUGCCAACUCUCCUUCCACUUUAUCCUGUUUUGUUGAUGCUGAUUGGGCAGGAUGCCCUGAUACUCGUCGCUCCACAAUGGGACACUAUGUCUUUAUUGGCCACAAUCUCAUCUCUUGGAGUGCAAAGAAACAGCUUACAGCUGCGCUUUCUAGUACUGAGUCCGAAUACAAGGCACUCUCUCAUGCUUCUGCCGAUCUCUUAUGGAUUUCUUAUCUUCUUCGUGACAUUGGCUUUCCUGCACCUCUGCCUUGCAAUCUUUUCUCGGAUAACAUGGGUGCUACUCAGCUGGCUCACAAUCCUGUCUUCCAUGCUCGCACCAAGCAUGUUGAAUUGUCUUAUCACUUUGUACGUGAACUUGUCUCCAAAGGCUUCCUUCAGGUCUCCUUCGUUCGCUCCAGCAAUCAACUUGCUGACAUCUUUACCAAAGGAUUACCUUCAUCCCAAUUCUGCUACUUUCGUGACAAGUUGAUGUGGCAUCCUCCCCAUCACCUUGCGGGGGGAUGAUAGGAUUCAAGAUAAUAUUGACAGAUUGUAUAGCUAGAAUCAAGGCAGUAGAAUAGCUAAUGUUUAGGCUAUAAAUCAGGAAAUUGAUAUGUAUAACGUCUUUGUGAUUUACAUGACACUAUAAUAUAAAUACAUCAAAUCCAACCCUUAAGUGGUUGAGAGAUUCUUCUGCUAAACCCUUUUCUUCUCUAUUUCUCUACAAUAUUUUCUCCACUCUUUCACUUCCCCUCCAGCCUUUUGUACCGUCGGUCUAUAUUCGGGUAGCAUUUUAGCAUUAUGGCACAUAGAGGGUUAAAGAUCAACAAGCUGCCCUUGAUUAAUAACUGGUACAACUUUCUUCCUAUUCGUCCAUUAAUUUCUCUCUGUUUUGGGUUAGAUUCCACUUGUUUGGCCAUUGCUGUAGCAUCAUUCAUGUUGUUUAUAUAUGUUAGUGAGUUUUCCCUUUUAGCUCAAAAUGACUGUAAUUAAUUAAGAUCUCAGCUAAUUUCCCACUAGCUUUGUGGCACAUAGAGGGUUAAAGAUCGACAAGCUGCCCGUGAAUAACUGGUCAGACUUUCUUCCUGUACGUCCAUUAAUUUCUUUAUAGCUAUUCCAGUAACGAACGUCAAUGAAAUCUCUCUGUUUUGGGUUCUAGUGAGAGUUGUUUUCUUUGCUACAGUAUUCUUAUAUUACUGAUCAUUAUAAUCGUUUGUUUUCUUUUUGCUUGUUACAGGGAAUAAUUAUCACAAGUAGAAAGCUUAAUUAUACAUAUAUCAAGCAUAUAAAAAUAUGAAGCACGAUGUAUUCAUCAGUUUUAGAGGCACAGACACCCGCUAUAGUUUUACCAGUCAUCUUUAUGAUGCUUUGCAGCGAAAACAAAUUGAUGCUUACAUCGAUGAUAAACUUGAUGGAGGAGAAAAGAUCGAGCCUGCCAUCUUGGAAAGGAUUGAAGAGUCGUUUAUUUCGGCAGUCAUUUUCUCUGAAAAUUAUGCAGAUUCUACUUUCUGUUUAAGAGAACUCUCCAAGAUUCUUGAGUGCAUGGAGACCAAACAACAGAUGGUUUUACCAGUUUUUUACCGACUUGAUCCAUGCCAAGUUCAAAACCUGACUGGGAGCUAUGGAGAUGCACUUUGCAAGCAUGAAAAAGAUUGUGGUUCUAAAGAAGUAGAGAGUUGGAGACAUGCUUCGAAAGAAAUAGCUAAUCUCAAGGGCUGGAAUUCAAACGUCAUUAAGUAAGUUAUUAAUCAGCUACAGUGUAUUAAACCCCAACAUAUAUAAACCAUUUUUGUUCGAGAAUCAAUAUUAUGUUUGAUGUUAUGAUAAAAUUUCUUAGGUUACAGUUGCUUGUUUUACUACUAGCCUGUCUUUGUUCUUAAUUUAUUAUGCACUGCAGGGAUGAGAUCAAGCUCAUUGAGGAAAUUGUUUCUGACAUUCAAAAGAAAUUACACCAUGAGACUUCAAGCAAACAUGUUGAUUGGUUUUGAUAUUGAAACACCCAGUACAUUCGUUUUGACAUUUUCACUUUCAGAUUUUUUGUUCUGCUCAGGACUCAAAACUCAACACUAAAUAUGUGAGAUUUUCUGAUAUCAUUCAAUUGGACAUCUCAACUCCUUGAAUUAUGUAUCCUUUAAGUUCUCUGAAUGAUGUGUCCCCUACUUCCUUGAGUGACAUGAAGGAUUUGUAUGGUAUAUUUGCAGUUCAGGCAUGUCAAAGAUUCAUGUUUUUGUUCUUUUGGGGAUGUAUGCAUGGUUUGUACUCCUCUUUUUAACUUUAUGUUCAUUGUGAAUGAAACCAAAGUAGAGUAUAAAAACUCUAUUUUCAUGACUAUGGUAAGAAACUUCUGUCCAAAGAAAGGUGUCAUGUCAUGUAUAUUACAAAUUACCUGUCAAGGUUCAGGCAGUUAAGAUCUUAUGCAUCUGCAUUUCUACACUGGAAAUUAUCACCUAAAUUCUAAUUUCUACUGAUAUAGACCUCUAUCAAACAGGUGGGAAAAGAGGAUUGAGGAGUGGUGUAUCAGACUUCAUUAUUAUUAUUGCUUGAUGACCGUAUUCAGAUCAUUAAUUACUCACUGUGGCCCUCAACUCAGGUUUCUGACAAGUAUAGUUCACAGAGUGAAGACCAUAGAAGACUUAUCUAGAUUACUGUGGAAGAAAAAUGAUGUGGUUGUCAAUGACAAUGGACAAAGUGUGAUAGCUUCAUAUGUUAAGAGAAAAGUAGUAAAUUCUUCAGUGGAAACUUUAAUCAUGGUCUAGCAAGGGUUGUCUGGAAAAAGAUUCCGGAAGACCACCAGCAUCCACAAGGAAAUCACCAGGAAAUCACUGCUUGGCUGUGUUCAAAAAUCAAAAGGGCACACAGAAAGUAAAGCAUCCGCGUACACGACGCUUUAACUCCUUUUUGCCGAUGGGACAUCCUAGUUUUUGACUAAUUUAUACACCCAGCUAGCGUUUAACACAAGAUAGAGCUCUUUUUAAACCAUAAACAUUCCUUCCUGGAAACCAUGUUUUUUAAACAAUUUUGUUCGAGAAUCAAAAUCUGACUGGGAGCUAUGGAGAUGCACUUUGCAAGCAUCAAAGAGAUUGCAGUUCUGAAGAAGUAGAGAGUUGGAGACAUGCUUUGAAAGAAAUAGCUAAUCUCAAGGGCUGGGAUUCAAACGUCAUUAAGUAAGUUAUUAAUUUAGUUACAGCAUAUUAAACCCCAACUUAUUUAAACAAUUUUGUUCGAGAAUCAAUAUUGUGUUUGAUGUUAUGAUAAAAUUUCUUAGGUUAUGACAGCAUGUCUUUGUUCUUUAUUUAUUAUGCACUGCAGGGAUGAGACCAAGCUAAUUCAGGAAAUCGUUUCCGACAUUCAAAAGAAAUUGAGUCAUGAGCUGUCACUCUCGCUCGAUGCAGAAGGUGUUGGGAAUUCCGACCGGGAAUGUACUGAUAAUUGCUCAAACGGAGGGAUAGCACACUAGCACACAAUUUAACGUGGUUCGGCAAAUCCGCCUACAUCCACGGGAGAGUCUAUAUUAUUGAGAUAUAUAAAGAAAGGAUUACAAUAUAUAUGGAGGAGGAGGAUCACUUCACUCUCUCAACUCCCAGCUCUUAAUUACUGCAUUUGCAGCUGCUGCAAUGGCAGCAAGGCUGCUGCCAUUGCAGCUCUCUUUCUCUCCACUCUCUUGCACACACUCACGUUUUUACUCCUCUCAUUUUGCUCUCACAUAAUGCCUCUAUUUAUAGGCAUUUCAUGGCAGCUGUUCCACUUGUUCUGCUGUCAAACAUGGCUGCAAGGUUAGGCAUGGUAGGUUGCCUAACUAUUGAAAAUGGUGGCUGCCAAUAGUCAAUGGUUGGUGCCAACCAUUUGAUGCACAUGCAAUGACAACAACCCAACAGAAGGCCUUGUUGGAAUGAAAUCACGCGUUGAAGACAUCGAAUCAUUACUAUCCUUUGGAUCAACUGGUGUGCUCAUUGUGGGAAUCUGGGGGAUGGGUGGUAUAGGUAAGUCAACGACGGCUGAUUUUGUGUAUCAUCGAAACCGUAGUAAAUUUGAAGGCCAUUGCUUUUUCCAAAAUGUGAGGGAAGAAUCAAAGAAGCAUGGAUUAAAUCAUGUCAGACAGGAAAUUCUUGGUGAAGUAUUAGAGAAAAAAGAUAUGACUAUACGCCCAAUAAGGUUACCCCCGGACAUUAAGCGAAUGCUUCAAAGAAAAAAAGUCCUCAUAGUUCUUAAUGAUGUCAAUGAUCCACAAGAUUUAAAAUAUUUAGUAGGAGAGGACGGUUUGUUUGGCCAAGGAAGUAGAAUCAUUGUGACAAGUAGAGAUAGGCAAGUGCUUAUAAAUGCAUGUGAUGAAGACAAAAUUUACGAGGUCAAAAUUUUAGAUGAAGACGAUGCACUUCGACUCUUCAGCUUACAUGCUUUUAAACAAAAUAAUCCCAAAGAAGGAUAUAUUGGGCUAUCAAAAACCGUGGUAAGCUGUGUUAAGGGCAUUCCAUUAGUUCUCGAGGUCUUAGGUGCCAGUCUAUGCAGAAAGACUAGUGUAGAAUACUGGGAAAGCAAGGUGGCACAGCUAAGAAAAAAUGGUGGCGAGGACAUUAAGAAAUGUUUGGAAAUGUGCUAUCACGAACUAGAUCAGACAGAAAAGAAAAUAUUUCUUGAUAUAGCAUGUUUCUUUGGACGGUGCAAAAGGGAUCUCCUCCAACAAACACUAGAUCUGGAAGAAAGAAGUGGGAUAGAUCGUCUCAUUGAUAUGUGUCUCAUAAAAAUUGUUGAAGACAAGAUCAAGAUGCAUGAUGUGCUCCUAAAACUAGGGAAAAAAAUUGUCCUCCAAGAAAACGUUGACCCUAGAGAACGUAGCAGGUUGUGGGAGGCUGAUGAUAUCUAUCGUGUAUUAACAACUCAGGUAACGUUUCCAAGUGAUUUAAUUGACUGUUGCUUGACUUUCUUGUUUAUAGCUAAGAGAUCUAGCCUUGGACAAGAAUAAAUAUCAAGGCCAGCUUCUUCUUCUUCUUCUUCUUCUUUAUUUGUUAUAUAUAUAUAUAUAUAUACUGAUUUACACUUUGCUUUUGUUAAAUAGGGGACUGGAUCAAAAGUGGAAAGCAUAUCCCUCAUCUUGGAUACAACUUAUAAAGACUUAAGUCCUACAGCAUUUAAAGGGAUGCAAAAUUUAAGAUUGCUCAAAAUCUACUACCCACCUUUUUUAAAGGAUCCCUCAAAGGAGCAAAUUAUGAACGGAAAGAGGGUCGGAAUCCACCUUCCAGGAGGGCUUCACUGUCUUUCAAGUGAGCUAAGGUUUCUCUACUGGUAUAAUUACCCUUUGAAAUCCAUGCCAUCAUCAAUUGGGUGCCUCUCUCAACUCGUUAGAUUAAACUUACCUUUAUGUGAAAGUCUUGCUAGUCUAGCUCAAAACUAGCUAGUCUACCCGACAACAUUGGUGAGUUGAGAUCUCUUGUAGAGUUUCGUGUUUCUUCUUGCUCAGGACUAGCAAGUCUACCAGACAGCAUUGGUGGAUUGAAAUCUCUUGAAUGGUUUGAUCUUAAUGGUUGUUUUGGACUAGCAAGUCUACCAGACAGCAUUGGUGGAUUGAAAUCUCUUGAAUGAUUUGAUCUUAAUGGUUGCUUUGGACUAGCAAGUCUACCAGAUAGCAUUGGUGGAUUGAAAUCUCUUCAAUGGUUUGAUCUUAAUGAUUGCUUUGGACUACCAAGUCUACCGGACACCAUCAAUAUUGACGCGUUGAAAUCUCUUCAAUCACUUAGUCUUUGUGGUUGCUCAGGCAUAGCAAGCCUACCGGACAUAAUUAGCGGGUUAAAAUCUCUUAUGUGGCUUAAUCUUUCUGGUUGCUCAGGACUAAAAAGUCUACCGGAUAGUAUUGGCGAGUUGAAACAUCUUACUACGCUCCUUCUUAGUGGUUGCUUAAAACUAGCAAGUCUUCCAGACAACUUCAUUGAUCUUGAAUUUAGAGGACUUGACAAACAGCGUUGUUAUAUGCUGAGAGGAUUCCAGAAAGUAGAAGAAAUUGCAUCAUCCACCUAUAAAUUGGGCUGCCAUGAAUUUUUAAAUUUGGGAAAUUCUCGUGUGUUAAAAACUCCAGAGAGCUUAGGCUCUUUGGUGUCGCUAACAAAUUUGAGAUUAUCUCAGAUUGAUUUUGAGAGGAUACCUGCAAGCAUCAAACACCUUACUAAGCUACGUGAACUCUUUUUAGAUGAGUGCAAGCGGCUUCAAUGUUUACCAGAGCUUCCAUCAACUCUACAAGUUUUAAUCGCAUCAGGCUGCAUCUCUCUAAAAUCUGUAGCAAGUAUAUUCAUGCAAGUCUACCGGACAGCAUUGGCGCGUUGAAAUCUCUUCAAUGCCUUAAACUUAGUGAUUGCUCAGGACUAGCAAGUCUACCGGACAGCAUUGGCGCGUUGAAAUCUCUUGAAUCACUUACUCUUUGUAAUUUCUCAGGACUAGCAAGUCUACCGGACUACAUUGGCGUGUUGAAAAUUUUAAAAUCGCUUUAUAAGGGUUGCUCAAGACUAGCAAGUCUACCGGACAACAUUGGCGCGUUGAAAUCUCUCAAAUCGCUUCAUCUUAAUUGUUGCUCAGGACUAGUAAGUCUACCGGACAGCAUUGGCGCGCUGAAAUCUCUUCAAUGCCUUGAACUUAGUGAUUGCUUAGGACUAGCAAGUCUACCGGACAGCAUUGGCGCGUUGAAAUCUCUUCAAUGCCUUGAACUUAGUGAUUGCUCAAGACUAGCAAGUCUACCAGACAGCAUUGGCGAGUUGAAAUCUCUUAAAUCGCUUCAUCUUAAUGGUUGCUCAAGACUAGCAAGUCUACCAGACAACAUUUACGAGUUGAAAUCUCUUGAACGCCUUGAUCUUAAUGGUUGCUCAGGACUAAAAAGUCUACCGGAAAGCAUUGGCGAGUUGAAACAUCUUACUACGCUCGAUCUCAGUGGUUGCUUAAAACUAGCAUGUCUUCCAGACAACAUCAUUGAUCUUGAAUUUAAAGGACCUGACAAACAGCGUUGUUAUAUGCUGAGUAGAUUCCAGAAAGUAGAAGAAAUUGCAUCAUCCACCUAUAAAUUGGGCUGCCAUGAAUUUUUAAAUUUGGGAAAUUCUCGUGUGUUAAAAACUCCAGAGAGAUUAGGCUCUUUGGUGUCACUAACACAAUUAAGAUUAUCUCAGAUGGAUUUUGAGAGGAUACCUACAAGCAUCAAGCAACUUACUAAGCUAAGUAAACUCUAUUUAGUUGAUUGCAAGCGGCUUCAAUGUUUACCAGAGCUUCCAUCAACUCUAGAAGUUUUAAUCGCAUCAGGUUGCAUCUCUCUAAAAUAUGUAGCAACUAUAUUCAUGCAAGGUGAUAAAGAAUAUGUUUCUCAGGAAUUCAAUUUCUAUGAAUGCCUCCAACUGGAUCAGAAUUCACGCACUAGAAUUAUGCGUGCUGCCCAUUUACGAAUUCAAAGCAUGGCAAGAUCAUUGUUUUAUCAGGUGAAUUCUUCCUCCCUCGAUCUUGAUUUAUUUAAAGAAAAAAAUCACGAUAAUUUUUUAUGAAUAUGCUGGUAAUCCAUUAAAAGCAUUCCAGUUGUGUAUUCCUGGGUCGGAAGUCCCGGAGUGGUUCGGUUAUAAAAAUAGAGAAGGAUCUUCAGUAAAAGUCCGGCAAGCAGCUCAUUGGCAUCGUCGCUUCACUUUAUGCGCUGUUGUUUCAUUUGGCCAAAGCGGGGAAAGGUGUCCUGUUAAUAUUAAAUGUGAAUACCAUUUGAUAACCAAAGAUGGAACCCAGAUUGAUCUCAGUUCCUACUGCUACAGCAAAUAUGAAAGAAAGGCGAGUAGUACUAUAUGGAAAAGGGAGCAUGUGUUCAUUUGGAGUGUCCACUUUCAUUGCUUUUUCAAGGAGGCCUCGUUUCAUUUCAAACCACUUGUUGUAACCCAAUUUUGGAUUCACCAAGAUUUUCUUGAAUGUUAUUUUAUUUCUAUUAUUAUUUACAAAAAUCCAAAAAAAUUAAGAAAAAGUUUAAAAUUCAAAAAUAUUUUUCUCGAGUCAACCGCAUCUUUCCGUCAAAACUGAGUCCACCAGGUCAAUACGGGUCAAACCAUGUCGACCAGGGUAAAAAAUGAGUUUUGGGCCGUUUCGGGUCAAAACCGUCAUUUUUGACCAAAACCGAGUUCACCGGGUCAAACCAUGUCGACCAGGGUAAAAAAUGAGUUUCGGGCCGUUUCGGGUCAAAACCGUCAUUUUUGACCAAAACCGAGUUCACCGGGUCAAUACGGGUCAAACCAUGUCGACCAGGGUAAAAAAUGAGUUUCGGGCAGUUUCGGGUCAAAACUGUCAUUUUUUACCAAAACCGAGUUCACCGGGUCAAUACGGGUCAAACCAUGUCGACCAGGAUAAAAAAUGAGUUUCAUGCCGUUUUGGGUCAAACCUGUUAUUUUUUUGGUCAAAACCCGGUCCACCGGGUUUAUAUCCAUUGAAAGUUUUUUUUUAUGUUUCAACAUAAUUUUCGGUAAUUAAAAUUGAUUUUUAGCGGUUGAAUCGGGUUUUUUUCUAAUACUGAUUUAAGUUUUAAUUUUACCUAUAUAAAUAUAUAUUAUUAUAUAUAAUAAAACAAAAUUAAUAAUACAGGAUUGUCAUAUUAGGCGGGGCAGUUACAUUUAUUGUAGGCGAGCAGUUGGAUGGAUACAUUUUUUUUAUUUAAAGCAGAUGCUUGUUGUCCCCUCUCAUUGGCUAUAAAUAGCCAGUGAUAGUUCGCCAGAGAAGAAGAAAGAAAAAAAGAAGAAAAAGAAAAAAAAUAACAGGAGAGAAGAAUAGAGAGACGAUCCUAUAUCACUAUUCAUAUUUUUUUUACUAUUUCUUCAUGCGAGUAAGAUAUUGAUUUUGAUUAAAAACAAUCUGAAAAAUACCAAAAAUAUCCUAACCGUUAGAUUUAAUAGUGUUUAGAUCUGAACCGUUGAUUUAAUAGGAUACAAUAGGGCUUACCACACUAGAUUAAAACCCAAACACAUCUCAGCCUUUGAAAUAAUCUAAGAUUUGAUCCCGUUGCGCCACGUCACUCGGUGUACCGAGAUUUCGGUGCACCGUGCCACACCAGAUCAAAGCUCCGCUCAUCCAGGCCGUUCGAUCAGCCUGCAGAUCUAGCCAAUCACAGCCAUCCGAUCGUUUCAUCCGAGAUCCAACGGCGCACAGUGAUCAGCGGUACUGGUGUACCAUACACGCGUUCACACCGUACCGUAAUCUCGGACUCCCUCUCUCCUCUCGCCGGCGACGCUCUCUCUCUCAUCCGAUCUCCACUUUCCGGCCGUCUCCAGCCUCCGCACCACCACAGAAAGGUUUCUACCCUGCUGUAAAGAAAAACCCUGGUGGUUUUAAUCGUUUUCUCCGCCCCAUGUGGCCGGAAAAGGGCCGCGAUUUUCGUCGGCCACCGAAGCUUCAAACCGACGAUUCUCCCUCGUCAGCCAUCAACGGCCGUCGAGACCACCGCCAUCAGAAUGCUCGCCCUUAGAUCUACCAGAAGCAACCAUUUGUUGGCCGGAAAUCUCGCCAGAAAAUUUCACCGCCUCCAACAGUAACCGCGCGUGGACCACACGCGCCGCCAGUGGCAUUUUCGUAAAUUUCGGAGAAAUUCAAGGGUAUUUCAUUAUUUUACCUCUACAGUGACACUCAAGUAAUUUUUUGGGUUUCUACUGAUAUUUUUGAUAUUUUUUUCAUAUAUAAAUGCUUGUAAAUUUUCUUGCAUGUUGUAAAAAAAUACAAAAACCAAAGUCGACACGUCUCUUUUUUUAAAAGGACCGAUGUCAAAAAUGUAAAUACCAAAUAUGGAUUAUGUCCAUUAUUUCUUUUGGUAACCCAGACGUGACUCUCCUUUUUAGGGUUAAAACGUCAUAUUUUAGACAAGUCUCCUAAUUUUUAGGGACUGAUGUCAUUUUUAACGUGUCUCCUAUUAUUAGGGACCGACGUUAACCAUUUUAAAAAACAAAUUGCAAAUAAACCCCAAAAUAUAAUAACAUUUGAAUCAAAUAAAAAACACACAAGUAAGGGUAACCUUUCUUUUGAAAGGAUGUUUUAAGGGUGGUGUCUACCUUCCCUUAAUCAUAACUAACCCCGUACCCGAAUCUCUGGGACCAGUGUCUAAUUUGGGAUUUCUAGUUCCCUCAAAUUACUAGAUGGCAACUCCAAUAAAAUCUUUAUUUCCCCUAAUCAAAGAAAAAAAACCUUUUUUGUUAAAUAAACAAAAAAGCGGGAGCCGUCGCCCGACAUCGUGUAUCGACAGAAUGGCGACUCCACUGGGGACUUAGGGUUGAGCCAACUGCUUGUGUUUGCUUUUCAUUUGCUCUUUCUUAUCGCUAUUUAUUUUUGGGCACUUAUUUCAUUUGCAUUAUUUAUUUUAUGCAAUAUCUACUGUGAUUCUUUUCAAUUUUUCAUUUCAUCACAUACAUACAUAUUAUUUAUUUGUGUAUUCACACACUUCACUAUGAACCCAUAAAAGCUCUGGACCCGAGCUCGUCCUUUUUAAGAUUAGAAAAGAGAGAUUCAAGUGGCAAGUGUGACUUAUGUCCACUGAUGCUCAUUUGGACUUUUGCUUGGAUUGUAACUCACCCUAUGCAACUAGUACUGUGGAGUCUUUCUCCCCUACUCAUGUUGUAUAAGGUUAAGAGGCCGAUUACUUCACGAGUAAUUCGGGCAAUCUAAGAACCGGAGAAUAUCUUUAAGGAUAGACUAAACUGAGCCAAACCUUAUGAGCUAGAUCCUAUCAAGUAGGAUAUACCCAUUAGGACACAAACAAAUGUCAAUGCAUGAACAUACAUGUUCACAUACAUUUCAUGUGCUCAUUAAAUCUCCACCGAUCCUUACAGGAAGUGUGAGAUGGAAAAAUCCAUUACUAUUGAGGAAUUUUUGACCAGAUCAGAAUUGAGCCAGCAUGAUGAAGGGGAUUGUUUGCCAUCAGAAUUUAAGUCUCAGUUGCCAGAGCAUGUUAAAUUAGAUGACAGACCACUUGGUACAGGACAACUGCUAGACUGCUGGGAAAAGUUAUCCUCUCAUGAUCAAAUCACUUUUCAGAAACAAUAUGGGGAUCUAUCAUAUUUACUGAAGAUUAGGGUCCAACAUGCUUGUUUUCAGGCCAUGAUAGGGUUUUGGGAUCCAGAAUAUCGGUGCUUCACAUUUGAUACUGUGGAUAUGACUCCUACUAUCGAGGAGUAUGAAUCCCUGCUAAAUUGUCCUAAGCAGAAAAGGUGUACUUUUACACACCUAUAGAGCAUGCACUUUCUAACUUUGCUUGGAUUACCCAGACAGACUAUCAACUAGCAAAAUCACAUGCAACUAAACGAGGAAAUAGCCAGGGUUGGUUUUGGAAUGAACUAGAAGCCAUAUUCAAAAGGAGAUUACAUGAUGAAAGCAAUGAAAUCCGAUUGAGAAUUUUGGCCUUAGGGAUAUAUGGUUUGGCUCUUUUCCCAUCUGCCGAAGGAAUGAUUGACUUUGAGGCUGUUAAUGUAUUCAAAAAUGUGGUGACCCUUAAAAUUAACCCUGCUACAGCAAUAUUGGCAGAAACUUUCUCAUCCUUGAAUUAUUGCAGAAAAGCUGGAAGGGGUCGUUUAAGAUGUUGCUUGCAGUUAUUGUUUGUCUGGACUGUGAGUCAUAUGAUUGAGGGGAAGAUUUCAGGUUUGGUUGGUACCCCGUGGCAUCUUUAUUCUCAGCUGGAGAAUUUUGCUGAAAAACACUUGCAUGAAGUAGGAAAAACCACAUGGGAAUCAAUGUUCCUAAGUCUAAGUAAAUCUCAAUUUCAUUGGAGAAGUCGAUAUGCUUAUUUCAAAUCUUAUCUGGCGUAUUGUGGUGAGUACCCAUGGGUCCCGUUGAUAGGAGCUCGCUGCUGUAUUAGUUACUGUCCCAACCUGGUUUUACGACAGUUAGGAUUUGAGCAGUUUAUUCCAAGGACUACUAACCUAGCAACAUUUUAUGAAGAUUUCAAGACCUCAAAGAAAUUAUUGGAGUCAGUGAAGAAGGCAUGGAAACAUCUUGGUAGGGUUACUUCCGCUAAGAGAGUAGAAGGAAAAACAACUGAAGGAUAUCCAAUAUGGCAAAAGAAAAGAGGGAAAGGGUAUAAAGUUCCUCCUUUUGAAGGGCCACCCAGGUCUUUGAUUCAGUCUGCUGAAGACAUACAUGAAGAAGUUCGCGCCCAACAAGAAUCUUAUAACCUAAGUUUGAAUGCUGAAGUGGAAGAGUUAUGGGCUAAAAAAAGAAAGUUAGAAUCUAAUCUAGUCACUCGAGAAAAAGCUUUGGCUAUCAUAAAACAAGAAAAGGAUGACUUGUCAGCUCAGCUACAACAUCAACAACUUGAGUUCCAGCAAUUACAAGGAAAAUAUGUACUUUUGUCAGAAGAUAAGAGGAAGCAAGAUGUCAACAUAAAGAAAUGGGUUAGAAGAGCAUCAAAAGCUGAGAAAAUGGUAUUAAAAUUGGAAGAGAAAAAUGAAUCACUUCAAGAACAGUGUCAAAAUCAUGAUACAAUCAUUGCCAAUUUAGAUGAGCAUAUGGACCAUUUGCUUUCUAUUGAGCAAACCUUAUCGUCAGAAAAAGAAAAUGCAGAAAAAGAGGCAGAAUGUUGGGCUUCUGAAGCUAUGCGCUAUCAUGUACAAGAAGAUGAUGCCAAGAAUUAUGCUUUAGGAUUACGAGGCCUAGCCCAACAAAUAGCAGAUGGUGAGCCAAUGACCAGAAAUGAAUUCCAUCAAUUUUUCGGGUUGAUCAGAGAUGGAAUUAAUGAGAUCUCAGCAUAUGACGGUCCAAGGCUUUGGAAAUAUUGACUUGUUGUACUUUUAAUAAAAUUAAUAAAAAGGCAAUUUCAUCUUCUUUCCAUCAUGAGAAAUGCUUAUUUUGAUUCUGAUUUAUGGCAUCAAAUUUCUCCCCCAAAUCGGUUCAAGUUCCUGUAGGUUUGGAGUCCUCAGUGAGAACUUUCUUAAGAGAAUCUGAUCUGGUCUAUUCCUCGUCAUAAGGAAACCUUGAAACAAAUAACAAGCAUGCAUAAAACAUAUGGCAUUUUGCAUCCAUUUGUGCAUUUCAUUCAUUUAUCAAGCAUGCACACGGUUGAAACAUAAGUUCCCCCACCUGCUGAGGUCUACUCGACUCAUAAAUCUGUUUGAAUAAGUGUUGAGCUUCAAGAGUGGAAAGGGAACGUUUGCACAAUCUCUUGCUGGGAACACUACUUGUCCACGUUCCAUUGAAGUUGCACCUUUCCUUUUUCGUCAUGAACAAUGACAGCAAUGCCUUCAGUCACAAUUAAUGACAACAACCCUUGUUCUCGUUCAACUGCACUGAUAGUCAUUCAAAGCCUUCACAUAUUCCAAGGGCACAUUAUAGUUGCUAGCUUUCUGUUCCUGGUGCAUUGGCUUUCUUUCCAGACAUCUCUUGUGAACAUCAUUCCGGUCCAGCAGUAUCGGAUGUUGCUCUGAGAAAAAUAAGAGCAGACAUUGAAACUUUAACAGAGCAGAAUUCCCACUAUAGGUGUUUGUUUGUUGCACUGCCAGUGAGGAAUCGAAGAGGAGACAAAAGGGUUUCAGAUUCAUCAUUUUCUCUCCCAGUUGAGACAACGCAUGAUUCCACACAUUGGCAGUGGUGGUGCUGCAUGUUUUUGUGCGUUACUAAGAUCACCUGGUUGUUGGAAAGUUUCUAUCAAUCCAUAAAUAACCACAACAACAUUGGAAGAUUUACAUGAGGUUGUGAGGAUUGUCGAAAGAAUUGAACAAGCUAUAAAGAGGGGAAUGAUUGAAGAUUCUGCCAAGGAUUCUAGAACAAUAAUGAGAGAUGAAUCAAAGGAUGACUCUGACGAUGGGAAGCCUUAAUUAUGUGGUCCAACCAAGUUUCACUGUAGCAUUAACUGCUAAAAUGUCUUUGCCAAGAUUGACAUAUCUCGACCACUCGAGUUUGUCCACCAGCAUCUGUUAGACUCCGGACUUAUUGCCCUGACUCUGUCAAAUCCCAUACAACCAUCGUUUUCUAGGUGGUAUAAUCCAGAAAAGAGAUUUGAAUAUCAUUGGGGGAUUUUGUGCCAUUUAGUUGAACAGUUGCAAGAAUUUCAAGAAUUAAGUUGAGUUUGUGCAAAAUGACAUCAUCGACCAUAUUGUCACCUCAACAUCCUCAGAUUGACAAGUGAUCGAAAUGCUUGGCAAAACACAGAUAUCGCCAGAAAAACUGAUCCAAGAAGAGUGUUAAACUGUCGAUCCUUUUUGUUAUGAGUUUUGUCAUUCUGCAUUUUAUUUUGGGAUCAUAUCUCAUCUUUUAACGAAACAUGUCUUUUCUUUGUCCCUUUGUUGUUCUGAACGCAUGAGAUGUUUCUUUCAAAGGUUAUUUACAAAAUAUUUUGAUCAAGCUCCAACAUGCGUUUAAGAUUAGUCAAUCCUGAAGAUUAAAAUUAUGUUGCUUGAAUGACUCAAUGCUUAUUGAAAUAACAUGAGGUGACCAAGAAAAUUUUGAGCUCACACAUGAAAUUCAACCACACACCAUGUAACUAUGUUUUAGCAGUAUGCAUAAUGACACGUAGUGGAUUCAUUAGUUAUGGACUCGUGAAUUAUGAUUCUUACAAGUCUAAAUCAUUACAUUGGAUGAGAUCAAAAUUUAUCGGUUCUAACCGACCUUGCUUGAGAUGAGAAAAGGCCAUUUUUGUUUCAUCCUUUCACAAUUCUUGAAAUAUAUAUCCCUUGCAGUCCCAUUUUGAGCUGAUAGAAUAUUUUUUUCAUAAAAAACCCUGACUAGGAUCACACCCCACACUGGGGGCAAUGAGAGUUUUUUUUUUCUAGAAAAGACGAAGACAAUGUUAGAGUCGAAGGAUCAAAGGGAAGGCUUAGAACAAAAGUCCAAUGAUUGAGAAAGGGCUAGAAGAAGAAAGCCAAAGAUUGAUAAAGACACAACAAAUACCAAAAGUUAACAUGAAAAAUCAAGUGUUAUGUCUUUUGGUGUGUCUAUGAUAAAGCCUUUACGAUCUUCAAAAGAUUAGAUUGGUUAUUCAUCAAAGAAAAAGUUGGAUUUGUGUUAUGACUUAUGUUAAACGAAUUUUGAUCUUUGAGAUUAACAAGGUUAUAUGUCACUGUCUCUACAAAGACAACGUGAAGAAAAGAGAUUGAUGAGUAAUUGAUGUUGAUCCUAGGUUCUUGAAACCCUCAAACACCUUUUGAGCUUGUGAAAUUCCUUUCUUUCAUAGCCAUGAACCAUAGCCUACAUUACGUGCUUUAGAAAGUCCUUUUUAAUCAAGUAAGCAAUCUGAACCGAUAAAUGGCGAUCUCAAAAAUUGAAGAGUUGUUCAUACAGGUCUUGACUUCAUGAAUCAAGCUACUGAUUAUUAUGCAUGCUGAUAAAAUUGUUGCUAAGAAAAAGAAACAAUCUUUCUUGAUAAAGCCUCAAGUUUUGACUCGGGUACCUUGUUUUUUCUUGAAAUUCAUAAAAGGUCACCUCAUCACAGACAAUCAAAAGAUAUACCCAAAAUUAGAGUUUUAAAAUGGAUACAAAGAACCAUGGAAAAGCCAUUUUAAUCUUACAACGAGUCAAUUUCUUUUCUCUCAAAAUACAAGACAAUCAAAGGACUACAUUGAAUAGCGUGUGUUGGAUCUUUGACCAAUAAAGCUUGAUUUCCAAAAAUACUUUCAAAAAUUGACAUCUCUCUGAUUUCAUUUCAACAAUCAGACUUGAAUAGACAUGACCUUUGAAAUGUGAGAUUUGAUUCCAAAAUAAGAAAGAUUUUCAAACAAGAAAAACAUUGACCGAGUUUGCAAAUUCCUGACAGAAAUGACAUCAAUUCUUCUCGACACUUCUGGGGCAAUACAAUGGACCUCUGAGAAGGAAAACAAAUAGUUUUUUCAAUCAGCUGGGGGGUAGAGAUGGUCAAAUGAUGAAUCAAUGAACUGAGGACAAUAUGGUUCAAAGAAAGAUAAUAAGUGAAUGAGCACAUUCAGAUCAAUUAAGGGCAAUGAUGUUUAAGAACGAUUUAUGAUCUAGUAAACCCCGACAACAAUUAAGAGCAAAGAUGUACCUGAAGGACAUCUUCAUAUCUUCAUCUUGGUUUAUCAUCUCCAAUAUGGCUAUGACUAUUGAAAGAUGUUAUCACAUGAUUGCUUUUGAAUCAAUGUUGGGAGGAUGCACCGCACCCGCCUAGACUGACCGUGAGACCAUCUGAUUUGAAGCUCAAAUGCGCACUGCACCACAUGAGUAUGGGUGAUAAAAACAACAUCAUUGAUGAGGGCGAGACACUUCUUUUCACAAUCUGGUUAGAUGAGUUGAGAAGAAUUUAUUGAGAAAGAAACUGAGCAUACAACGAUGAGCUUUUUACUGCAAAGUAUGAAAUGCAGGUCUGAAUGACAUGACAGUUCCAUGAAAGUGGAUGACUGCAUAUACUUGAAGGGUAUGUUUCAACUGGAGGUGAGUUCAUAACUGAUUGACAAUCUUGAUGGGUGUUGGCACGAUGCGCACAAUCAAUCAGAGAACAAUUCUUGAAAGAAUCCAGGAGAUGAACGUUUGUUAAACUUCUUAAUGAUGAAUCAAGCAACACUACACUUGGGGGCAUUGUCAAGCUUGAUAAACAAUGAGAGCAGUAAUUAUCGCGGACAGCCCAAGAUGGGCACUGCAUUUACAGCUGAGCGGGUGGCUAGCACAUGAAUAAGCCAAUACAUCGAAAGAACAAAGAAGGCUUUGGAAUGCAAACAAAGCCACCCUAUGACGAUGAAGCAUCAAAGAGGGGGGGACCUAUAUUUCAAAAACAGGUAAGAUGCAUUGCAUAUCAUCUAACUUCACAUGCAUUGUAUAAUUGUUUUGCAGAUAUUUCACGAAACAAAAUUCCCACUGGGAUCCAACGAGACUCACAUGACUUGAAGUUCUUGUAAAUCACAUCAAAUAUGGAAAUUCCACAAAAGCAAAAUUCAUAAAUGAAGACAAGAAAGAUGGAUUUUUAUUCAUCGAAAAAGGGGUUUACAAGUACAAAUGUUAAACAGUGCGAGGACGAUCAGGGAUAUUUUCAUCUUGAUGGUUAAUCAUGCCUCGGAAUUCCUUGAAUUGCUUAUGCAUGCGCUCCAUCUCUUCCUCGAACUCGAGGUGUCGUGUGUUAACGUAGUUCCUCCAAAAGUCAACACGUGCAUUCAGCUCUUGGUUUCUCCUCUCCAAGUUGUUUCUGUGACGUCUCUCAUCACGGAGUCUAUUCCUUAAAUUCUCAAUCUGAUGAUGGAGAUCAAGAACCUGAGUAUUCAACUCAAGUCUUCUGGCAUGAAGACGCUCUGCAACGUUCACCAAAGAUGAAGUAGCUCUAAUACUGAGAGCAAGUGACUGAUUCACUGCUUCAAUAUCGGUCCUAGCUGCCAACAUUAUUUCAUCACGAGGAAGGAUCAUGUCUCUGGCCACGGCUACAACAAUAUCUUCAUUGUCCAUUACAGUAUCCUCUAUUGUAACUGGACGACCAUUCACUUCAAAGGUAGUACGCCAAACUGCAGGCUCUACUUCAGGAACAGGGUUUGGGUUCGCAUUGGAAGAAGAAGAAGACAUGGUUAGAGCUUCAAAAGUUAAGAACUUUCAGAGUAUUGAAAAUGCAAGAAGUUGAUGAUGUCUUUUGCCAAAUACUGCGUGAUUUAUAAGGAAUUUACUCCUACCAUCACUUUGAACGGCAGAAAUCGCAGCCGUAUAUACAAGACUUUCUUGAGAAGCUUUCUUCAUAUUUUGGGAUCCACAAAUCAAAUCCCAGCCGUACAUACAAGACUUCCUUGAGAAGCUUUCCUCAUUUUUUGGGAUCCACAAAUCAAAUCUCAGCCGUACAUACAAGACUUUCUUGAGAAGCUUUCUUCAUUUUUUGGGAUCCACAAAUCAAAUCCCAGCCGUACAUAGACUUCCUUGAGAAGCUUUCCUCAUUUUUUGGGAUCCACAAAUCAAAUCCCAACCGUACAUACAAGACUUCCUUGAGAAGCUUUCCUCAUUUUUUGAGAUCCACAAAUCAAAUCCUAACCGUACAUACAAGACUUCCUUGAGAAGCUUUCCUCAUUUUUUGGGAUCCACAAAUCGAAUCCCAACCGUACAUACAAGACUUUCUUGAAAAGCUUUCCUCAUCUUUGGGAUCCAAUUACAAAUCAAAUCCCAACCGUACAUACAAGACUUUCUUGAGAAGAUUUCAUCAUCUCUGAGAUCGAUUUACAAAUCAGAUCUCAACCAUACAGGUAUGACUUCCUUUAGAAUUUUUCAUCAACCCUGAAGCUCAUUGUUGAAAUCACUUUCAUGUAUUUCACAAAAAUAUUGAAAUCACUUUCAUGUAUUUCACAGACGGGUCGGUUCACAAAACCAUUGCUGAAAUCACUUUCAUGUAUUUCACAAAAAAACAUUGUUGAAAUCACUUUCAUGUAUUUCACAAAACCAUUGUUGACAUCACUUUCAUGUAUUUCACAAUGCUAAUCUGAAAUCACUUUCAUGUGUUUCAAAAAACAAAUGUUGAAAUCACUUUCAUGUAUUUCACAAAACCAUUGUUGAAAUCACUUUCAUGUGUUUCAUAAAACAAAUGUUGAAAUCACUUUCAUGUAUUUCACAAAACCAUUGUUGAAAUCACUUUCAUGUAUUUCACAAAAAAAAAAAAAAACCAAUGUUGAAAUCACUUUCAUGUAUUUCACAAGAUCAAUAUUGAAAACACUUUCAUGUUUUUCAUUUGGGCAGGUCGCCCAUAAGAAUUAGACCAACUGGAAAAUCUGUGUAUUUUUCAACACUUCCAUCGUUUUUCUUUACAAAACUUACUAUGCAAAGUCAAAAGAAAAUGAAUUUUCCAAUGCCUUUGCACCGUAAGCAUUGUAAAGAGGGGGCAACUGUUGUAACCCAAUUUUGGAUUCACCAAGAUUUUCUUGAAUGUUAUUUUAUUUCUAUUAUUAUUUACAAAAAUCCAAAAAAAUUAAGAAAAAGUUUAAAAUUCAAAAAUAUUUUUCUCGAGUCAACCGCAUCUUUCCGUCAAAACUGAGUCCACCAGGUCAAUACGGGUCAAACCAUGUCGACCAGGGUAAAAAAUGAGUUUUGGGCCGUUUCGGGUCAAAACUGUCAUUUUUGACCAAAACCGAGUUCACCGGGUCAAACCAUGUCGACCAGGGUAAAAAAUGAGUUUCGGGCCGUUUCGGGUCAAAACCGUCAUUUUUGACCAAAACCGAGUUCACCGGGUCAAUACGGGUCAAACCAUGUCGACCAGGGUAAAAAAUGAGUUUCGGGCCGUUUCGGGUCAAAACUGUCAUUUUUGACCAAAACCGAGUUCACCGGGUCAAUACGGGUCAAACCAUGUCGACCAGGAUAAAAAAUGAGUUUCAUGCCGUUUUGGGUCAAACCUGUUAUUUUUUUGGUCAAAACCCGGUCCACCGGGUUUAUAUCCAUUGAAAGUUUUUUUUUAUGUUUCAACAUAAUUUUCGGUAAUUAAAAUUGAUUUUUAGCGGUUGAAUCGGGUUUUUUUCUAAUACUGAUUUAAGUUUUAAUUUUACCUAUAUAAAUAUAUAUUAUUAUAUAUAAUAAAACAAAAUUAAUAAUACAGGAUUGUCAUAUUAGGCGGGGCAGUUACAUUUAUUGUAGGCGAGCAGUUGGAUGGAUACAUUUUUUUAUUUAAAGUAGAUGCUUGUUGUCCCCUCUCAUUGCCUAUAAAUAGCCAGUGAUAGUUUGCCAGAGAAGAAGAAAGAAAAAAAGAAGAAAAAGAAAAAAAAUAACAGGAGAGAAGAAUAGAGAGACGAUCCUAUAUCACUAUUCAUAUUUUAUUUCUUCAUGCGAGUAAGAUAUUAAUUUUGAUUAAAAACAAUCUGAAAAAUACCAAAAAUAUCCUAACCGUUAGAUUUAAUAGUGUUUAGAUCUGAACCGUUGAUUUAAUAGGAUACAAUAGGGCUUACCACACUAGAUUAAAACCCAAACACAUCUCAGCCUUUGAAAUAAUCUAAGAUUUGAUCCCGUUGCGCCACGUCACUCAGUGUACCGAGAUUUCGGUGCACCGUGCCACACCAGAUCAAAGCUCCGCUCAUCCAGGCCGUUCGAUCAGCCUGCAGAUCUAGCCAAUCACAGCCAUCCGAUCGUUUCAUCCGAGAUCCAACGGCGCACAGUGAUCAGCGGUACUGGUGUACCAUACACGCGUUCACACCGUACCGUAAUCUCGGACUCCCUCUCUCCUCUCGCCGGCGACGCUCUCUCUCUCAUCCGAUCUCCACUUUCCGGCCGUCUCCAGCCUCCGAACCACCACAGAAAGGUUUCUACCCUGCUGUAAAGAAAAACCCUGGUGGUUUUAAUCGUUUUCUCCGCCCCAUGUGGCCGGAAAAGGGCCGCGAUUUUCGUCGGCCACCGAAGCUUCAAACCGACGAUUCUCCCUCGUCAGCCAUCAACGGCCGUCGAGACCACCGCCAUCAGAAUGCUCGCCCUUAGAUCUACCAGAAGCAACCAUUUGUUGGCCGGAAAUCUCGCCAGAAAAUUUCACCGCCUCCAACAGUAACCGCGCGUGGACCACACGCGCCGCCAGUGGCAUUUUCGUAAAUUUCGGAGAAAUUCAAGGGUAUUUCAUUAUUUUACCUCUACAGUGACACUCAAGUAAUUUUUUGGGUUUCUACUGAUAUUUUUGAUAUUUUUUUCAUAUAUAAAUGCUUGUAAAUUUUCUUGCAUGUUGUAAAAAAAUACAAAAACCAAAGUCGACACGUCUCUUUUUUUAAAAGGACCGAUGUCAAAAAUGUAAAUACCAAAUAUGGAUUAUGUCCAUUAUUUCUUUUGGUAACCCAGACGUGACUCUCCUUUUUAGGGUUAAAACGUCAUAUUUUAGACAAGUCUCCUAAUUUUUAGGGACUGAUGUCAUUUUUAACGUGUCUCCUAUUAUUAGGGACCGACGUUAACCAUUUUAAAAAACAAAUUGCAAAUAAACCCCAAAAUAUAAUAGCAUUUGAAUCAAAUAAAAAACACACAAGUAAGGGUAACCUUUCUUUUGAAAGGAUGUUUUAAGGGUGGUGUCUACCUUCCCUUAAUCAUAACUAACCCCGUACCCGAAUCUCUGGGACCAGUGUCUAAUUUGGGAUUUCUAGUUCCCUCAAAUUACUAGAUGGCGACUCCAAUAAAAUCUUUAUUUCCCCUAAUCAAAGAAAAAAAAACCUUUUUUGUUAAAUAAACAAAAAAGCGGGAGCCGUCGCCCGACGUCGUGUAUCGACACCACUGUCGGGAGCUCUUGAUGUGGUGGUUGCGUGUGAUCAAAACUAGCUAGUCUACCCGACAGCAUUGGUGGAUUGAAAUCUCUUGAAUGGUUUGAUCUUAAUGGUUGUUUUGGACUAGCAAGUUUACCAGACAGCAUUGGUGGAUUGAAAUCUCUUGAAUGGUUUGAUUUUAAUGGUUGCUUUGGACUAGCAAGUCUACCGGACAGCAUUGGUGGAUUGAAAUCUCUUCAAUGGUUUGAUCUUAAUGAUUGCUUUGGACUACCAAGUCUACCGGACACCAUCAAUAUUGACGCGUUGAAAUCUCUUCAAUCACUUAGUCUUCGUGGUUGCUCAGGCCUAGCAAGCCUACCGGACAUAAUUAGCGGGUUAAAAUCUCUUAUCUGGCUUAAUCUUUCUGGUUGCUCAAGACUAAAAAGUCUACCGGAUAGUAUUGGCGAGUUGAAACAUCUUACUACGCUCCUUCUCAGUGGUUGCUUAAAACUAGCAAGUCUUCCAGACAACUUCAUUGAUCUUGAAUUUAGACGACUUGACAAACAGCGUUGUUAUAUGCUGAGAGGAUUCCAGAAAGUAGAAGAAAUUGCAUCAUCCACCUAUAAGUUGGGCUGCCAUGAAAUUUUAAAUUUGGGAAAUUCUCGUGUGUUAAAAACUCCACAGAGCUUAGGCUCUUUGGUGUCGCUAACAAAUUUGAGAUUAUCUCAGAUUGAUUUUGAGAGGAUACCUGCAAGCAUCAAGCACCUUACUAAGCUACGUGAACUCUUUUUAGAUGAGUGCAAGCAGCUUCAAUGUUUACCAGAGCUUCCAUCAACUCUACAAGUUUUAAUCGCAUCAGGCUGCAUCUCUCUCUAAUCUGUAGCAAGUAUAUUCAUGCAAGGUGAUAGAGAAAAUGAAGCUGCUUCUCAGGAAUUCAAUUUCUCUGAAUGCCUCCAACUGGAUCAGAAUUCACGCACUAGAAUUAUGGGUGAUGCCCGUUUACAAAUUCAACGCACGACAACAUCAUUGUUUGAUCAAGUGAAUUCUUGCUCCCUCGUUCUUGAUUUAUUUAAAGAAAAAAAUCACGAUAAUCUUUUAUAUGUAUCUCACAUUCUCACUCUCUUCGGUGUAGCAAUAUCAUUGCAAGCCCAUUAGAGUCCGGUUGUGUAUUCCUGGGUCGGAAGUCCCGGAGUGGUUCAGUUAUAAAAAUAGAGAAGGAUCGUCAGUAAAAAUCCAGCAACCAGCUCAUUGGCAUCGUGGUUUCACUUUAUGCGCUGUUGUUUCAUUUGGCCAAAGCGGGGAAAGGCGUCCGGUUAAUAUUGAAUGUGAAUGCCAUUUGAUAAUCAAAGAUGGAACCCAGAUUGAUCUCAGUUCCUACUACUACAGAGAAUAUGAAGGAAUGGCGAGCAGUACUGUAUGGAAAAGGGAGCAUGUGUUCAUUUGGAGUGUCCACUCUAAGUGCUUUUUCAAGGAGGCCUCGUUUCAUUUCAAACCACUGUGCGGAGCUACUGAUGUGGUGGUUGAGUGUGGAGUCCAUCCAUUGUUAAAGUAGGAGCAACCAUACGCUAAAAUGGACAAACUUGUGACAUUGGUAACUCGUCUUCUCCUCUUCUUUUUCUAUACAAAUACUUCUGAAACAACUCAAUUAAAAUGAAACCAGAUAGUCUUAUGUAAGAGAGAUGAAAAUGAUAUAUUUAUCCUCCUACUUCAACAUGAUUCUUAACUAGGUCCCCGAACAAAACAAAAAAAUAAUUAUCAAUUGGAUCCCAUCUAUCACAUAUUACCAAUUAACCCCACCAUUAAAAUUUAUGAUAUAAAUGACAUCAUUUUAAGGGGUGGUUCUAAGUUCAUGAUAAAAAUAAAUAAAAAAAUUCGGGUUUAGUAAGUUAAUUUGAGUUAAUUCUUAUUAUUUUUAAUAGAUUUGUUUUCUCAAUUUUAUCCUUCAACACUAGGUUGAUUGAGAAUUUGGCUUCAUAUUUGUUUUUUUUUUAUGGGGUUAUUGAGAUCUCAAGAUCUAGGUCACAAGUUUUGCGGGUUACCAAGGAUUGCUCAAGUUUUUUUGGGUCAUUUUUUAAUUGAUUUUUUUAUUUUCAUCAUUUAAUAUUGGGUUGAUUGAGAAUUUGACUUCAUAUUUUUAUUUUAUUUAUUUCUAUAGAUUCCCGAUCUCAUAAUCCGAGUUUAACAAGUUAACACGGGUUGACUUGUGAUAUUUUUUUAAUUGAUUUUUUUCAAUUGAAUCUUUUAACAUUAGGUUGAUUGAGAAUUGUGCUUAAUUUGUAAUUUGUUUUCUAUAGAACUACCAAGAUCUCAUGACCUGGGUCGAUGGUUAGCUCGAUUGCCUCUAGGCUUUUUUGUAUUCUUUUUAAAUGCAUUUUUUUUUCAAUUUCAUCCAUUAAUAUUAGGUUAAUUGAGAAUUAGGUUUUAUAAUUCAUUUCAAUUUGCUUUCUAUGAAGAUAUUCUGACCUCAUGACUCGAAUCAUGGGUUUAAUUGGUUAAUUCGAGUUAUUUUUUUAUGUUUCUUGUUAAUUUUUUUUUUACAAUUUUCUUUUUCAAUAUUGGAUUGAUGGGGAAUUUAGUUUUCUAAUUUUGAUCUAACCAGAGCAUAGCGUCAGCAAUUAUAUAGUAUUAACUAUAAACUAAAAUAGGAGAGGUUUUUACCGUACCCCUCCUCACAAAGCACUAUUAAUUGGAAUAAUGGUUUGCUUCUUUUUUUCUCUUUGCUUUUUUUUUUUCAAUCAAUUUUUUUUUUAAUUUCAUCCUGUAAUAUUAAAUUUGCUUUUUUUAUUGAGUUAUCUCACUCUCAUGGCAGAGAUCACUAGUUUGACGGGUUAACCUUGUUAACUUAGGUUUUUUUUUUUAAUUUUAUUCAUUAAUACUAGGUUGAUUGGAAAUUAGACUUCAUGAUUAUUUCAUCACUUAAUACUAGGUUGAUUUUAAAUUAAACUUCAUAAUUUGCUUUGUUUACUUUCUAUUGUGUUAUUCUGGUAUCAUGACCGGAGUACUUAACGAGUUAACUCGAGUUGACUCAUAUAAUUUUAUUGUGUCUUGUUUUAAUUAUUUUUUUAUGUUAUCAUUCAUCAUUGAGUUGGUUAGAAAUUGAACUUUGUAAUUUAUUUUGAUUUGCUUUUUAUGAGUAUAUCUUGGUUUUACGAUUAAGGUUGCGAGUUUCGGUAUUUUAACACUAACUAAAUUUAGUUCUUUUUUUCUUUAUAAGAGGUUAUCUUAAUUUCAUUAUCUGGGUCACAAUUUUUUCAACAUUGGAUUUGCUUUUUAUUAGAUUGUCCACGUCUCAUAACCUAGAUCGUUGGUUUGACAGAUUAACCCAAUUGACUUAAUUUUUUAUUUUUUUAUUUGAAUUUUUUAUUUGUAAUUUAUCAUUUAAUAUUGUGUUUGAUUGGAAAUUAGGCUUCAUGAUUUAUUUUGGUUUGCUUUUUAUUAGGUUAUCCAAACCUCAUGACCCAAGAAUAGUGUUUAAUUAACGGGUUAACCCAGGUUGACUUGGCUCAAUUUUAUGUCAUUUUUUUAUAUUAAAAUUUAUACAAACUUCAUCGUUCAUUUUUUUAUUAAAAAUUAUACAAACUUGAUCUGUUUUCCAUAGGGUUAUCUCGGUUUUAUGACCCGAGUCAAGAUUUUGACAUGUUAUCACAGAUAGCAUUUUUAGAUCAUUUUUUAAUUUUAUUCUUCAACAUUGAUUAAAAGUUAGAAAUCAUAAUUUAAUUUGAUUUACUUUCUAUGGUUUACUUCUUUAUGUCUUAACAUUAACUUGUUCUUGCAUUGAUUCUGCAGUGUCUUGGAGGUGCCUUAAUUAUGUUUGUGCAGCUGAGGCAGACUUGCUGUAUUCCCUUGUCGAUAAAGCGAGGUUCGAGAAGCCAAAGAAGCAACCAGAGAUUUCAAGCAAACAUUUUGAUUGGUUUUGAUAUUGAAACACCGGCCACGGCGAACCGAGAGUCAUCUAUCUGAAAUUAACUAGUUAUAAUGAAAGCUCAAUUACUGUAUUGGAUCUUUUGCAGUGAUAUCUUGUAGGAUUGGAUGUGGAACAAAAAUCACCUUAGAAUUAAUAUGGUUUAACCCAAUUAUGAAAUCUUGUAGUGAAUGAUGUCUGGCAAACUUGCUAGCUCUGAGCAACGACCAAGAUUAAGCUUAUUUGGAAAACUUGCUGGUUUUGAGCAAGAAUAAAGAUUAAGUUCUACAAGAGAUUUCAACUCACUAAUGUUGUCUCGUAGACUAGCAAGACUUUCACAUAAAGAUAAAAUCAAUUUAACAAGUUGAGAGAGGCACCCAAUUGAUGAUGGCAAAGUACAUAGACUCUCGAAUCUGGAAAGCUCUAAUGUGGCUAGUCUGGUGCAGUAUUUAAUAGAGGAAGGUAUUACCAGCCAAGCUACUUCAUCGUCCCCACAUGUAGAACCUCAAGGGUGUGUGUAUAUAUAUAUGGGGUUAUUGCAGUCCGAAGACCCGAGUCACAAGUUUUACGGGUUAGCAAGAUUAGCUCGAGGUUUUUUGGGUCCUUUUUUAUUUUUAUUUUUUAUUUUCAUCAUUCAACAUUGGAUUGAUUGAGAAUUUAACUUUAUAUUUUUAAUUUAUUUUUUUCUAUAGAUUUCUCUAGGUCUUAUGAUCCGAGUUUGACAAGUUAACCCCGGUUGACUCAAGAUAUUUCUUUAAUUUUUUUUUCAAUUAAAUUCUUCAACAUUGGGUUGAUUGAUCUCAUAACAUGGGUCGAUGGUUAGCUUGGUUGUCUCGAGUUUUUUUAUGUUCUUUUUAAAUGCAUUUGUUUUUGAAUUUCAUCCAUUAAUAUUGGGUUAAUUGAAAAUUAGACUUCAUAAUUUAUUUUGGUUUACUUUCUAUGAAGAUAUUCCAAUCUCAUGACUCGAGUCACGGGUUGGUUUGUUAACCUAGGUUGACUUGAGUGGUUUUUUCAUUUUUUUUGUUAAUUUUUUUAUUUUAUUUUAAAAUAUUGAAUUGAUUGAGAAUUGAGUUUUUUAGUUUUGAUCUGACCAGCAGUGUAGCAUGGACAAUUAUCUAGUAUUAACUAUAAACUAAAAGAGAAGAGGUUCGAGAACAAUCGAUUCCAGAAGCCAAGGAAGCAACCAGAGACUUCAAGCAUACAUGUUGAUUGGUUUUGAUAUUGAAACACCCAGUACAUUCGUUUUGACAUUUUCACUUUCAGAUUUUGCGCUCUGCUCAGGACUCAAAACUCAACACUCAAUAUGUGAGAUUUUCUGAUAUCAUUCAAUUGGACAUCUCAACUCCUUGAAUUAUGUAUCCUUUAAGUUCUCUGAAUGAUGUGUCCCCUGCUUCCUUGAGUGACAUAUAUGAAGAAAGGGUGAGGAGUUUAUGGGAAAGGGAGCAUGUGUUCAUUUGGAGUGUCCACUCUAAGUGCUUUUUCAAGGAGGCCUCAUUUCAAUUCAAAUCACCGUGGGGAGCUACUGAUGUGGUGGUUGCGUGUGGAGUCCAUCCACUGUUUGUCAACAAGCCCUAAAAUUGAUGGAAAAUACUUGACACCGGUAACUUAAUGCUAUGGAUGCAUGGUUUCGCUCAUAGUCUUAUGAAUUAGAGAUGAAAAGGAUAUAUUUAUCAAUUGGAUCCCAUCUAUCACAUAUUAUACCAAUUAAACCCACCAAUAAAAUUUAUGAUAUAAAUGACAUCAUUUUAAGGGGUGGUUCUAAAUUCAUAAUAAAAAUAAAAAUAAAAAAUUCAGGUUUGGUAAGUUAACUCGAGUUAAUUUUUAUUAUUUUUAACAGAUUUUUUUUCUCAAUUUCAUCAUUCAAUACUAAGUUGAUUGAGAAUUUGGCUUCAUAUUUGUUUAUUUGUUUUCUAUGGGGUUAUUGAGAUCUCAAGAUCCAGGUCACAAGUUUUGUGGGUUACCAAAGAUGGCUCAAGUUUUUUUUGGUCAUUUUUUAAUUGAUUUUUUUAUUUUCAUCAUUUAACAUUGAGUUGAUUGAGAAUUUGACUUCAUAUUUUUAUUUUAUUUAUUUCUAUAGAUUCCCGAUCUCAUAAUCCGAGUUUAACAAGUUAACCCAGGUUGAAUUGAGAUAUUUUUUUAAUUGAUUUUUUUCAAUUGAAUCUUUCAACAUUAGAUUGAUUGAGAAUUGUAAUUUGUAAUUUGUUUUCUAUAGAAUUACCAAAAUCUCAUGACCCGGGUCGAUGGUUAGCUCGAUUGCCUCAAGGCUUUUUUUAUUGAAAUUGUAUUUUAUAUUGAAAUUGAGUCAAAUUCGGUGCUGUAGAACUGUAGACAUUUGUAUUUUAUAUUGAAAUUGUUUUGACUCAAAAAGGUUAUUUUGAUUUUAAUGAAUUGUCAGGAGAAACUAUUAAUUCGGAGGAGGAGAGCGUAUCUAAUAGAAUUCGACAAGUUUCCCCAUCUCAGGGUCCAACACUGCCCAUUUUGCAGAAAAUUAUCAAUUUAAGUGAUAAAAUUCAGGUACUUAUUUUGAACUUUGGUGGUGUUGGGUAUCGUAUAGAUGACUUGAAAAGACUUGGUUUUUGUAGAAUUCAGGCAAUUUUAAAUUUCAUUGUGUUAGCGGAGUUUGCAUUAUUAUGUUGAUGGGGGUAUUGAUUUGUUAUCUUUCUUUGAAUUUAGUUGUUGUUGUUUUAGAAUUUGAAGAAAGAAAGGAUUCCUUUCUUGGCCCCAAUAUUUUAGACACCCUUCAAAAACUCGGUGAGUAUCCAAUAGUGGAACUAAUUUAUUUCUUCUUUUCAUUUUUUAUUUUUUUAGAGGGGUUUGGUUUUGAUAGUUUACUAGUUGAAAUAUUGGACCGCUAAACUUUACAACGUUGUCCAUGUUGGUCAGUUAAUGAAUAUGAACUUCUUAAAAAGAAGUAUCUACAAGAGUUGUCUGAGAGGAAGAGGCUUUACAAUGAGGUGAUCGAGCUUAAAGGGAAUAUUAGGGUCUUCUGUAGAUGCAGACCACUAAAUCAAGUUGAAAUAACACAUGUUUCGAACUAUGUAGUUGAUAGUUUACUUGUUGAGAUAUUGGUCAGGUAAUGAAUAUGAACUUCUUAAAAAGAAGUAUCUACAAGAGUUGUCUGAGAGGAAGAGGCUUUACAAUGAGGUGAUCGAGCUUAAAGGGAAUAUUAGGGUCUUCUGUAGAUGCAGACCACUAAAUCAAGUCGAAAUAACAAAUGGUUCGAAGUAUGUAGUUGAAUUUGACUCUUCCCAAGAUAAUGAGUUGCAGAUCACUUCCUCUGAUUCUUCCAAAAAGCAAUUUAAGUUUGACCAUGUUUUUGGGCCUGAGGAUAAUCAAGGUGAUCUGAUGUUUUAUUUAUGUAUUGCUACUGCAGACAUCCUGUUAAAGAUUAUGUGUGCAAUUGAAGCUUUUAAUCCUAUGUCUGUAUGAUAUGCAGAGGCUGUUUUUGUACAAACUAAACCAAUAGUCGCUUCAGUUUUGGAUGGCUACAAUGUCUGCAUAUUCGCCUAUGGACAAACUGGAACUGGAAAGACAUUUACUAUGGAGGGCAGCCCAGAAAAUAGGGGAGUGAACUACAGAACAUUGGAUGAGUUGUUCCGAGUUUCUCAAGAGAGAAGUGGCAUUAUGAGAUAUGGUC